CAUUGUAUUGGUAAGAAGAAAUCACGAUGGAGAAUUCCAAAAUGAGGAAUUCGAAAUAUUUUUGAAAGAGAACAAUAUUUAGUAUACUUUUUCCACUCCACAAACUCCCAAGCAAAGUGGGGUAGUAGAGAGAAAAAACAUAUCUCUAAAAGAGCUUGCGAAGACGAUGCUAAUGAGAUAAAUAUUCCAAAAUACUUUUGGGAGGAUCUUGUAAGCACUACUUGCUAUGUUAUGAAUUGUGUCUUAAUAAGUCCAAUUCUAAAGCACGCGUGCUAUGAGCUAUAUAGAGGAAUAAAGUUGGAUAUAUCUCACAUAUAAGUCUUUGGGGUGAAAAUGUUUUAUCCUUAACAACAGGAAAGAUAACCUCAAAAAAUUUGAUGUAAAAGGAUAACGAAGGCAUAUUUAUAACAUACUCCACUUUGAGCAAAACAUUAAGAUUAUUUAAAAAAGAACUCUAACUAUAGAAGAAUCGAUUCACGUUAAUUUUGAUGAAACUAACUCUAAACUUGUAGAAGUAGAGGUUGCCGAUUUUGUAGAUAUCUUGGAAAAGACAAAUAAAAAAGAAAAGGACAAAGAUUAAGUUCUAGAACAAGUUCAAGAUCUAGAUAAGUAAACUCAUGUAAAUCAUCAAGGUCUUCUGAUGGAAUGGAGGAUAGCCAAGGACCAUCCUAAUAUAAAUGUCACUAGAGAUAUUUCGAAUGAAGUUACUACUUGGAACUCCCAUAACAAGGCAUGUAACUUUGUAUCCUUUAUUUCCCAAAUUGAGCCAAAAGUAAUUGAUGAGGCUAUCAUUCAUUAACAUUGGUCUUUUUCCAUGCAAGAGGAGUUAAAUCAAUUUGAACAAAACAACAUUUGGGAACUUGUUCCCAAAGCUUCAAAUAAUCAAGUGAUUGGUACCCAUUAGGUCUUUCGCAAAAAUCUUAAUAAAGAUGGAAAUAUUUUUUUUAAAAUAAAGCUAAACUUGUUGUGAAGGGGUACAAUCAACAUGAAGGUAUAUAUCUCAAUGAAACAUAUGCCCAUCUAGCUCGAUUAAAGGCCAUAAAUAUGUUAUUAGCCUUUUCCUGCAUCAUGAAUUUUAAAUUCUUUCAAAUGGAUGUAAAUAGUGCUUUCUUUAAUGGUUACAUCCAAAAGGAAGUGUUUUGUUGACCAACUUCAGGGUUUCAUCAACUCAAGAAAUCUAUAUACAGUAUGAAGCAAGCUCCUAGAGAAUGAUACAAUAGUGUAAGAAAGUUCUUGCUUAAAUAAAAGUUUCAAAGAGGACAAGUUGAUAAAACUCUUUUUAUCAAUAAAAUAGAGCAUGUCAAUUUAAUGGUUGAUAUUUAUUUUGAUGAUAUCAUUUUUGAUUCUACUAACGAGUCUUUGUGCAAGGAUUUUUCUUGAAUGAUGUAGAACAAGUUCGAUAUGUCAAUGAUGGAGGAAAUUUGAUACUUCCUAGGGAUUUAAAUUCAUCAAGCUAAGGAAGAAAACUUCAUAAAUCAAUCCAAGUACUACAAAGGCCUUAUAAAGUGGUUUGACAGGUAGAAUGCCAAAGUUGUAGAAGCUGCAAUGGCCACCUCAUGCAACCUAGACAAGCACGAGAAGGGAAGACCAGUCAAGGAAAGAAAAUAUCGAGGAAUGAUAGGUUAUCUUCUUUAUCUCAUUGCAUCUCGUGUUGAUGUCAUGUUUGGUGUGUGUCUUUGUGCUUGUGUUUAAGCAUCCUCGAAAGAAUCACAUAUUAGUGUUUUCAAACGCAUAUUGAGAUAUCUCUCUGACACACCAAAAAUGGGUUUAUGGUACCCUAAGGGAGUGGAUUGUGACUUAGUCGGAUACGCCAACUAUGAUUUUGCUGGGUUCAAAUUGGAUAUGAAAAGUACUAGCGGUACGUACUUGGAAACUCACUUGUCUCUUGACAUAUCAAGAAAUAAUAAAGUGUAGUGCUAUCCACGUAGAAGCAUAACAAGUUGUUGCAAGUAUAUGUUGAACGCAAAUUAUUUGGAUGAAACAACAACUCAAUGAUUACGCUAUUAAUCUUGAAUUUGUCCCAAUAAAAUGUGACAACACUAGGCAAUAUACCUUACCCAAAACCCGACACUUCACUAUUAGGAUAAACAAAUUGAGGUUAUACACCUCUUUAUUAGAGAUCAUGUUUAAAUAUUGGAAUGUGUACUUGAGUUUGUGUCCUCAUCUAAUCAACUCACAAUUUUUUUUAGAAAAACUCCAUUUUCAUAAGAACUGAACUAAAAAUCUUAAAUAAACAUGCAUGAAUUAAUAUUCUAAUUCUUAACCAACAAUGACUAUCACAUCAUUGUUAAUCACUUUUGAAAAAAUGACAAUUAAAAGAUUUAUAACAGUAAUAGAGGUUAGGAAAAAAAAGGUAAAGAAAAGAAUAAAAAGAUUAUAGUCAAAUCAUGAGGUUAUGAUUUGAACAAAAGAAAAAAUUACUUGAAUUAAGGUAGUAAGAUGAAGAGCUUUUCAUUUUCAUUUAAAUGAUGAUUGUUAUUCAUGAUAAAGAUAUUUGAGUCUUAUGAUUUGAGUCAAAAAUUUCUAUGCUUGGAGUCAAAGAGUGAUGUGAUUCGAAUCACACACAUCUCUUAUUCUAAUCAGAUAGUCAGUGUCAAAUCCUGCUAUUGGUUUAAUGUUUGAUUCGAGUCUGCUUAAUAUUUGAUUCGAAUCAAGCUUUAGAAAAAACUUGUAUUAAGUUUUUUGAAUUGUCAUUCAAGAUACAUUCAACUCAUUGACUUAGUCAACUUGUUUUUGUUAAAAAAACACAUUGAUAUGGGCUCAAAACUAAUAAUUGAAUGUAAGAGUAGCUCAAGGUACAAAUUUAAUCGAAUAAGCAAAAUAAAAAAAUUACACACAUAGCACAACUAGAGAUAACUCAAAUCAAAGACACAUCAAAUUUAAUAGUAGAACAUAAAUAUAAAUUGUGAUAACGACUACAAUUUCACAUUCAAACACCUCUACCUACUAACAAUUAUGACACCAACUUUGCACCCCCAACCACGCAUGAAAAGAAACACAUAGGGCCCUCCUAGAGACUAAUUUUCCUACCAGCCCCUCCUCACACACACCAAACUAGCCCUACAUGUUUCGUUUUUCUAAAUUCUGCAACUUUGUCCCCUCUCCCACUAUCACCAUCUCAUCCAUUGGGUUUUAGUUUUUAGCAAAACACAAUCCAAGUCGUCUGAGCCUACAUUGGAUUAUGAAUUCAACCAAAAUCUCUGUUAAUUAUUUGCUUUUGGACUGCAUUAAGUUUUUUUUUCAUUAUUGUUUCAGUUCUGUUUUAGUCAAUUAGUGCAUCAUAAAAUUUAGGAGCAAGUUUAGUCAGUUACCCCCACGUUCCUAAUGUGGUGGUGGUUAGUUUUACUUUUGUAAACACUAUAAGUGUUUUGGCUAUUAUGAAUAAAAGUAUUGAAAUUCCCACUUUCUCAAUCUCUCUGCUAUAAUAAAACCAACAAUUGGUAUCACAGCUUUCUUCUUACGGGGCCUGUGAAAAUGGAAGGUGAAGCAAGUUUCUCACAAAUUGCUCCGCCCACCUUUGAUGGAGACAACUAUGACCUUUGGACAGUUAAAAUGGAGUCUUAUUUGGAGGCGUUGGACCUUUGGGAAGCCGUGGAAGAGGAUUACGAAAUUCCUCUGCUGCCGGACAAUCCUACCAUGGCUUAAUUAAAAUUGCACAAGGAGAAAAAAACCAAGAAGGCAAAGGCAAGAUCAUGUCUCUUUACUGGUGUUUCAUCAAUAAUCUUCACCAUAAUCAUGACUCUCAAAACACCAAAAGAAAUUUGGGACUACUUAAAGGAAGAAUACGCAGGGGAUGAGAGGAUUCGAGGCAUGCAAGUGCUUAACUUGAUGGGGGAAUUCGAGAUGCAGAGAAUGAAAGAUUCUGAGACAAUAAAAGAAUCCUCUGACAGGUUGCUUUCCAUUGCGAACAAGGUUAGAUUACUCGGCACUGAAUUCACUGAUUCCAGAAUUGUGGAAAAUAUUCUGGUUACAGUGCUAGAGAGAUACGAAGCAUCAAUAACUACUUUGGAGAAUACGAAGGAUCUGUCCAAAAUCACCUUAGCAGGAGUGUUACAUGCCUUGCAGGCCCAAGAGCAACGAAGGCUUAUGAGACAAGAUCACGUGGUUGAAGGUGCUUUAUCAGCCAAGCAUCAUGAAGUUGGAAGUAGUCAAAGCAGCCAAAGCAAAGACAAAGGUAAAAAGAAAAAUUACCCACCUUGUGAGCAUUGUGGCAAAAUGGGUCACCCACCGUUCAGAUGUUGGAGAAGACCAGACGUAAAGUGCAACAAGUGCAAUCAGCUUGGACAUGAAGCUGUAAUUUGCAAAGGCAAAUUUCAACAACAUGAAGCCAAUGCCAAGGUUGUAGAGCAAGAUGAAGAAGAUCAAAUUUUUGUGGCAACAUGCAAAGCUGUAAUUUGCAAAGGCAAAUUUCAACAACAUGAAGCCAAUGCCAAGGUUGUAGAGCAAGAUGAAGAAGAUCAAAUUUUUGUGGCAACAUGCUUCUCAGCAAGGAGUAGUUCUGAAUGCUGGCUAAUUGAUAGUGGUUGUACAAACCACAUGACAUAUGAUAAAACUAUUUUCAAGGAUUUGAAGCCUGUAAAAUUCUCAAAAGUCAGAAUUGGGAAUGGUGACUAUAUUUCUGCAAAAGGAAAAGGAACCAUUGUAAUUUCAACUAGCUCGGGUAUGAAAACAAUCUCAGAUGUUCUGUAUGUGCCUGACAUUGAGCAAAAUCUGCUUAGUGUGGGUCAAUUGAUAGAAAAGGGAUUUAAAGUUCUUUUUGAAAAUCAACAUUGUCUUAUCUUUGACACUACCGGUCGGGAGAUUUUAAGGGUUAAAAUGAGAGGUAAAAGCUUCUCAUUUGAUCCAAUUUUGGAGGAGCAAACAGCUUACAUCACUCAAGUCAGUCCCACUGAACUCUAGCAUAAGCGACUUGGUCACUGUCAUAUUCAAAGGAUGUUGAACAUGAAGAGGAAAGACAUGAUUGAAGGUCUACCAGUACUUUUUGAUCAUUUGCCAAAUUGUAACGCCUGUCAAUUUGGUAAACAAAACAGAGUGUCAUUUCCUAAAACAGUUUGGAGAGCCUCUCAAAAGUUGCAACUCAUUCACAUUGAUGUGGCAGGACCUCAAAGAACUCCAUCAUUACAAGGUAGUCUAUACUUUAUUCUUUUCACAGAUGAUUUUACAAGAAUGUGCUGGAUUUUUUUCUUGAAAUUCAAGCAUGAAGUGGCUGGAGUCUUUGUAAAGUUCAAGAAUAUGGUGGAAACUCAAAGUGGUUGCAAGAUACAAUUUCUAAGAUCAGAUAAUGGGAAGGAGUACACCUCGACACAAUUUAAUCUAUUUUGUGAAGAAGCUGGUAUUGUACAUCAACUCACAACCCCAUACACUCUAGAGCAAAAUGGAGUUAGUGAAAGGAGAAAUAGAUCAGUAAUGGAGAUGGCCAGAUGCAUGCUGCAUGAGAAGGAAUUGCCUAAAGAAUUUUGGGCCGAAGCGGCAAACACAAUCGUUUUUCUUCAAAAUCGACUUCCAUCCAAGGCUUUGAAAGACAAAACUCCUUUUGAGGCUUGGUAUGGAUAUAAGCCUUCACUAACCUUUCUCAAAGUGUUUGGUUGUGUUUGUUUUGCACAUGUUCCACAGGUUAAGCGCGACAAGCUUGACAAGAAAAGACAAAACUCCUUUUGAGGCUUGGUAUGGAUAUAAGCCUUCACUAACCUUUCUCAAAGUGUUUGGUUGUGUUUGUUUUGCACAUGUUCCACAGGUUAAGCGCGACAAGCUUGACAAGAAAGCAAUUCUGGGUAUUUUUGUGGGUUAUAGUUCUAUUUCAAAAGCCUACAAAGUAUAUCAUCCUCAAACUGGAAAGUUGAUUGUUUCUAAGGAUGUGCAUUUCAAUGAAGAUCAACAAUGGGAUUGGAAGAACAAAAAAAAGAUAAUUGGAUUUUUUAACAAUAUUGAUGAUUAUGGCGGAAACCAAACAACAGAGUUCUGUCAGAAUGAAUUAGAAGAUGACCCUCCUAUUAGAGGCACAAGGCUGCUGUCAGACAUAUAUCAAAGAUGUAAUGUAGUAAUAUAUGAACCUAGUUGUUGUGAGGAAGCACGCAAGGAUCCAAAAUGGAAAAAGGCAAUGGAAGAUGAGAUUUCGAUGAUUAAAAAAAACACAUGGGAGCUGGUUGACAAGCCUCAAGAUAGAAAAGUUAUUGGAAUUAAAUGGGUUUUCAGAACAAAGCUUAAUGCGGAUUGCUCUAUCAAUAAAUAUAAGUCCAAACUUGUAGUAAAAGGGUAUGCACAAAUUUUUGGUGUUGAUUAUUCUAACACUUUUGCACCAGUGUCCAAAUUAGAUACAAUUAGAUUGGUGUUAGUAGUUGCUGCUCAACAAGGCUGAAAAAUAUUCCAGUUAGAUGUCAAAUCAUCUUUUUUAAAUGGAGUUUUACAAGAAGAGAUAUAUCUGGAGCAGCCAGAGGGAUUUGUUAUGCAUGGUGAAGAAGAUAAAGUCUAUCUACUCAAAAAAGCCCUUUAUGGAUUAAAACAAGCACCAAGAGCUUGGUACAGUAGGAUAAAUGAACACCUAUUGAGCAUAGGCUUUGUGAAAAGCUUAUCUGAGGCCACUCUUUCUGUAAAACAUAAAGAAAAAAAAAUUCUCAUAGUUUCCCUCUAUGUUGAUGAUCUUUUAGUGACUGGAGUGAUACAAGGUUGGUUGAAGAAUUCAAACAAGAAAUGAUGUAAGUUUUUAAAAUGACAGAUCUUGGUCUUAUGUCUUAUUUUCUUGGAAUUGAGAUCAAACAAAAUGAGGAUGAUGUGUUCAUAUGUCAAAAAAAAUAUGCUAAGGAAAUCUUAAAAAAAAAUCAAAUGGAGGAGUGCAAAGCAUAGCACCUCAAUGAACCAAAAGGAGAAGCUAAGCAAGGAAGAUGGUGUUGACAAAGUUGAUGAAGGCUAUUACAGGAGCUUGAUUGGAUGUUUAAUGUAUCUCACUGCAACAAGGUCGGAGGACAUUCUAUUUUGCAUAAGUCUUCACUCUCGAUUUAUGCAUUAUGCUAGUGAAAUGCAUUUAAAGGCAGCAAGAAGGGUAUUGAAAUAUAUUAAAGGUACUGUUGAUUAUGGUGUCAAGUUUGAGAGCUGUCAAAAUUUCAAGUUAUGUGGAUUCUCUGAUAGUGACUGGGCUGGAUCCAUUGAUGACAUGAAGAGCACUUCAGGAUAUUGUUUUAGUCUAGGCUCAUGAGUUUUUUCAUGGUGCACAAAGAAGUAGGAGACAGUAGCACAAUCCACUGCAAAAUCUGAAUUCAUAGCAGCAACAGCAGCCGUAAAUCAAGUUUUGUGGCUAAAAAAGAUCUUAUGUGACUUACAUCUCCAACAGAAUCAUAAGACAGAAGUGUUUAGCGACAACCAGGCAGCAAUUGCAAUUUCAAAGGAUCCAGUGUGUCAUGGCAAGACUAAACAUUUUAACAUCAAGCUCUACUUCUUAAGAGAGAUGCAGCAAAAUGGAGAAGUGACUUUGAUUUAUUGCAGGUCAGAAGAUCAAUUGGCAGAUUUGUUUACAAAGCCUCUUCCAGUCAGCAAGUUUGAGCUAUUGAGGCAGAAAAUUGGAGUUUGUAGAUCCUAAAGCAAGGAGUAUUAAUUAUUUGCUUUUGGACUGCAUUAAGUUUUUUUUCAUUAUUGUUUCAGUUCUGUUUUAGUCAAUUAGUGGAUCCUAAAAUUUAGGAGCAAGUUUAGUCAGUUAACCCCACGUUCCUAAUGUGGUGGUGGUUAGUUUUACUUUUGUAAACACUAUAAGUGUUUUGGCUGUUAUGAAUAAUAGUAUUGAAAUUCCCACUUUCUCAAUCUCUCUGCUAUACUAAAACCAACAAUAUCUCCCCUCAAAAUUUUGAAUCCCCCUUAUUAUUUGCCUGAAAAUUCUCACUCUUUAGCAAAUUCUACUAUGCCGUAUGGUGAGUCUGUGGUGAAAUUUAAGGACAAGGUUUCUUUUGGGCCCAACAAUAUUAUUAGUCAGUUGACAAUUUAGAUCAUUAGAGAAAGAAAAAGGGAAAUGCUAACUUGUGCCCCAAGGGCACAUUAACUUGUGCCCCAAGGGCACAUGUUAAGAAAUCCAUAAAUAGAAAAUUUAUUUUGAAAAAAUAAAUAAAAUUAUUAAUUAUAAAUUUCUAACAAAUUCAAUACACAAUUUCCAAAAAUUUAUUUUUUUAUUUAUUUCUUAACUUGUGCCCCAAGGGCACGAGUUAACAUUACCCAAAGAAAAAAACCAAUAUUAUUAAGAAUUUUAUUCCUACCGAAGAUGGUGUAAGUAGUGAUCGUUUAGUAUUUAACGUUAUUUUUUUAAAGUGACUCAGGGUCCAAUUUACUUAAUAAAUCAUAAUUAUUUAUACUGUGAUAUUAAAUUGUGUUAAUCAAUAAAAAAAAUUGAAAGUGUAUUUUAUCUAAUUUUCUUUGCAUCAAAAUAUAAAUUUAAAAGUGUAUUUUGAUGAUGAAAAAAUGCGACAAUGAUUGGAUAUGUCAGUACCGAGAGUGAAUAUCUUUUUGCAAAAGGAAUUUUAACAAAAAUCUAAGUAAUAUACAUAAUAUCAACUCGAAUGAUAGUUGACUAUUUUUAAAUAAGUAUUUUCAUCUCUCGGGGAAUAUCAAUCUCAUGCAUCAUGUCUCAUAAUGAAAAAAAAGCUACUAUGAUUGGACAUGUCACUAGUGAGAGUGAAUAGCUUUUUGCAAAAAAUAAUUUUAACAAAAAUCUAAUUAUUAUAUAUAAUAUCGACUCAAAUGAUAGUUAAUAAGCAUUUUCUUCCUUUUGAGAAUAUCAAUCUCAUGCAUUGUCUCAUAAUGAAAAAAAAGCGACAAUGAUUGGAUAUGUUAUUAUUGAGAGUGAAUAGCUUUUUGCAAAAAUAAUUUUUAACAAAAAUCUAAUUAUUAUAUAUAAUAUUCGACUCGAAUGAUAUUUAACUAUUUUUAAAUAAGUAUUUUCAUUCUUUAAAGAACAUCAAUCUCAUGCAUAAUGUCUCGUGAUGUAAAAAAUAAAUAAUGAUUCGUUAUGUCAUUACCAGAAGUGAAUAGCCUUUUGCAAAAGUGAUUUUAACAAAAUUCUAAUUAUUAUAUAUAAUAUCGACUCGAAUGAUAGUUAAUUAUUUUUAAAUCAAUGAUAUUUUCAUUUCUUGUUGAACAUCAAUCUCAUGAAUCAUGUCUCAGGUUUGCCUAAUAUUUAUGCCUAUUGUAAACGAAGUAUUAUGAAGUUCUCCUUUGGCAACUUGGAUAAAAGUUAAUACUUAUGACACCUCACAUGGCAUACCUUCUUUUGCAAAGUGUGGCGGUAUUUUUAGAGAACAUGAAGUUAUUCAUCUGGGUAGUUUUUCAUGAAAUGUGGGAUCAAGUAAUGCUUUGUUUAGUUAAUGAGAACUAUUUUGGCAAUGGAGUGCUCUAUUGCAUGCAAUAAAGUGGAGUAAUUUCUUACUAGAAACUAACUCUAAUCUAGUGGUACUCGCAUGCGACAAUUAUUAUCCCUUAGUGUAUAAGAAAUAGAUGGGAAAGUUGUUUAAUAGACGUAAUGACUUAGUUGAAAUCACAAAGGAUAAUCAUCCUUAAAUCUAAAAUGAAAACACAAAUUUGUAAGUGACAAAAAUGUCAAAUAAAACUUUAGAAGUAGUCAUAAAAAAAACUCUCGAAUUUGAUUAUCAUAAAAUUUAAUAUUUGAUAUUGAUGGCCAUGUCUCAAAAGUGUUUAAAUACGAAAAAGAAACUCUAAAUUGAAAAUUAUCCCAAAAUUGAAAUAAAAUAAAAAAUUACAAAAAAUAUUAAAAUGUUUUAGAACGCAAAAUAAACUCAAAUGGUUUUAAAAUCUCAUAUGUCAUUGUAAUGCAGAGUGUUGGACGGGAGGAGAUUGUCUCCCGUGGAAAUUUUACGGGAUGGAAUAAAGUGUAUCAUCUCACCAUUCAACUAUUUAACAAUAUUAUUAUAAUAUUUAAGAGAAAAAAAAUGAAGGGUUGGGAUUUUACUGAAAAAGAAUUGAUGGGAGACAAUUUGCUCCUGCGUUAGAUUUAUGAGCUGAUUCUUUGUUCGAAAAGAUAUAAUAAUUAUCAUUCUGACAUCAGAUGUGAAACUUGCACAAAUCCUAUUAAACUUUUUGAUGAACGACUUCUUCUUUGAUACGUAUAACCAAUCUUAUACAUUUCAUGAGUUCUAUAUGUUUCUUGGUUACCCAAAUUUAAAGGAGACAACCAUGGUACAUAUAGACUUGUUGACUUAGAUCUAAGAAUUGUAAAUUUUACUUGGUAGGAUGAUAUAUAUGGAUAUCCUAAGGGAUUAUCAUAAAAAUAGACUAUGUCUUUCUAACUUUAGAAUCAAUAAGGGCUGAGGAUUUAUCUCUUCGUAUUUUUAAAAAAAAAAAUUAAAGUUUAUGAUACGAAUUAUAUAAUACCCUCUGGAUGAAUUAUUUCUUAAAUAUCAUGCUAUGCUAUGAUAGUUUUAUUUGAACAUGUUUUUUUUUAUUGAUUCAAUAAUUUGUCAUUUUUGUUCAAUGAAGUGACAUAUGAUGAAUAAUUUCAUAAAUGCCACACUUUUAUUAAUUAUAUUUGUACAUGUUUUUGUAUUGAUUCAAUUAUUUGUUUAUUGUGGUUUCACACUACAAAUGCCACACUGUUCUGAUGAGAAAAUUGUAUUUAAACAUAGGAACAAAAAUGGUAUGUCACAUUGUCAGUAGUAUGUGGUUUCACACUAUAAACAUCAACAUCAUCAAUAUUGGUCCUUCCUCUGCCUACUCAUGUUCACACACCACACUGCUUUUAUGAAAAUUUGUCCAUAUGACACCAAAAAUUACAACAACACUGUAUCUAUAUACAGUUAGAUAUACAUUUGUUUUUUUAUAUAAUUUUCUUUUGUCUUGGUUUGAAAAUAUUUCGGUGUAGAUUCGGUGUAAGAAAAUUGAGUGUCAAUACCUUAAAUAUUUAUGAAAGAAAUUUAAGAGAAUAAUACAACUCGUUCGAUACAUGCACAUGAAGUAUUUUUCUUUUUAUUUGUGGAUUUUUUUUGAAAAAAAUGUUUAUUAUUGUGCAUAAAGUGAAACUUUUCUUAGACAAAAAAAUUAGAGUGCAAAAGUAUGGGACGAUAACUUUGAUAUUUCAAUCAGAUUAUUAACACUUUAAAUUAUCAUAAUUAGAAACUUUAAAAACAAGAAAGUUCAUUAACCCAAAAAUCUAAAAAAAAAAUCAUGGGCUCAAAAGACGUACACAGAUUCACACAAAAUAUUAUUAAAAAAUUUCAAUUUCAAAAGUUGAUAAGUCUAAAUUUUUGUUACUAUUAUCUUGAACUUUUGAUAAAUAAAAAAUGUAAUAUUAAAUUAAUUUUAUAUUGAAAAUUUAUUUUUUUAUAAAUAUUUUUGUAGUAUUCUAAAUAUAUCUGCAAAGAAAAGUAAAAAAUAAAAAAAUAAUUAAACCAAUUUUGUUUUAAGAAAUACUAAAACUGCAUGCAAAGAAAUUUUUGGUAACAAUAGAAAAGUACCAAUAUCUAUUAUGAAAAUGAAAUACGUAAUUUGAUAAUUUUGUAGAGAUGAAAUCCACGCUAAACCAAAAAAAAAACAUUGUUACUUGUUUAUAAAUACAGUAACACGUUAUAAAAAUAUAUCUUUUUGACUAAUAAAUUGGUGCCAAUUGUUGUUGGAUUUUGAUUCUAUGGACAAAUGAGUAGUUUUAGAAUUAUGUACUUUUUUUUUCAAAAAAAAAGAAAUUUAACACGUGAUAUAGAUUUUGAUUCCAGGUGUAAAAUAGAAUCAAAUGUGCACUUUUGAUAAUAUUGACUUUCAUUUCUCAAAAAAGGAGUUCAUGUUUCAACCCAUUCUCUCACAGACACUUGAAUAUAUGUUGUAAUGUUACAUUUUCAGAUACUAUCAUGAAAAUUGAGCAAUUUGUCAAAUAUAAUUGUUAUAAAAUAAAUGUUUUUUAAUCAAUUUUCAUUAUAAUAUUAUCUAUUUUCCCAAAUUAUUAUAAAACUAUAUUUAAAAUUAUAAAUUAUCUUACAAUUUCAAUGAAAUAUUAAUGGCUUUUUUAAAUAUACUACGUAUUAUUUUAUUAUUCUUUCAAUUCUUUUUAAUUUUUUUUCAUUUCUAUAAUGAGUAAUUUUUUUUAAAUUAUACGUAACUUCCAUUUGUCAUACAGAAUUGUAAAAUUGAUUACUCUUUUAAUUCAUAUAAAUAAUUACAACUUCUUCUAAUUUUAGACAAAGGAGUAAAUUUAUACACAAAAUGAUUAAUUACUAGUCAUUUUCUUUUAUUUAGAAAGAAUGUUAAAUUAUAAUUUUUUUGUCUAUUUACGAAUUUUAUAUUUUUAUUUUAAAUUCAAAUAAUUUUAAUCAUUUUUCAUAUUUUUGUAUUUAAAAUUAAUUAUGUGUCUAUUUUUAAAUGAUGCAUUGUUUAUGAAAUCUGACAAAUCUAUUUUUUUUAAAUAGUCUAGUGACUAGAAUUACCUUUUAAAUGAGGUAAUAUAUGGAUAAGUGUAAAAAAAACUUGUUUCUUUUUCAUAAGUAAAGAGAUAUAUUAAUGUGAGUACAAGGAAUACUCUACACUAAUACAAAGGAAAGCAAGGUAAGAAGGAAGAGUCAUCCAAAGCUUAACGAAUACAAGCUAAUGGGUUAACAAACCACAUACUCCUAUCACAAACUAUCAACCCUUAGAUCUUACACCUAACCAUUCCCAAGACAAAAAUUUAGCUAAAGAAACAAUCUCAAUCACACCUUUAUGCCCCCAUUAAAAAUAAUCUCAUUUUUUAUUAACCAAAUUGACUAAAUCGUAGCGAGCCAACAAAGAAGACAAAACUUCUUGAUAUUACUUUUUAAUUUUAAUUCGAAACACUUCAAAUGAUCUAAAUGAUGUCACACGACUCUAACCUUCCAAGACCAAUCCAGUCCAAGAUCUCAUCCCAAACUAGCACUAUCUUUAGCCACAAAAUGAAGAAAUGGCAGCGGAAUUCUUCAAGGCCUAAGCACAAAGGACACACAAAGUUGUGCCUCUUAGGGAUCCAGCAGUUUGAUCGCCUAUGAGGGCGGCAAGGAUCCCUCUUAGGGAUCCAAUGGUUUGAUCGCAUCUUAUGGCGGUCAGGAUCCCACUUAGGGAUCCAGUAUUUUAAUUGCCUAUUAGGAUGAUAAGAUUCCCACGUACUUAGGGAUCUGGAAUUUCGAUCCUCUCUUAGGGUGGCAAGGAUCCAUCUUAGGGAUCCAGUAUUUUAAUCACCUCUUAGGGCAAAAACGGACCCACUUAGAAAUCCAACAUUUUGAUCUCCUAUUAUAGCGGCAAGGAUCCCACUAAGGGAUCCAACAUUUUGAUUGUCUCUUAGGGUGGCAAGGAUCCCACUAAGGGAUCCAACAUUUCGAUUGCCUCUUAGGGUGGCAAUGAUCCCUCGUAGGAAACCCAACAUUUUAAUCGCCUCUUGCGUCAGAAAGGAUUCCACUUAAAGAAUUCAACAUUUUAAUCACUUCUCGGGGCGGCAAGGAUCCCCCUUAGGAAUCCAUCAUUUUAAUCACCUCUUAGGACAACAAGGAUCCCUCUUAUGAUCCAACAUUUUAAUCUCAUCUUAAGACGACAAGGAUCCCUCUUAGAUAUCCAUCAUUUUGGUCGUCUCUUAGAACGACAAGGAUACCUCUGAGGGAUCCAACAUUUUGAUCACCUCAAAGGGCCGAAAGGAUCCCUCUUGGGGAUCCAACAUUUUGGUCGCCUCUUUGGGCGAUAUUUCUCUGGGAUUUUAGGUUUCUUGCAAAAAGGGAAUAACAAGCAAAAAUAGAUUCUCUGCAAUAAUAAAAUGAGGUGCCUCAUUAAAAACCCCUGCCCUAUAUAUGCAAAGAAAAGAGUGUUCCCCCUAAAACAAUGUGUCUUUACAAACGACAGAGAUGGAAAACUCGCCUAUCCAAAAUUAACAACAAAAAAACGACAGUAAAGAAAGAAAAUAAAUGACAGUAAGAAAAAUGGUGCCAGAGGGUAUUCCUUUUGGGCUUUUAAUCUUUGGUCUCCUAACUGGAUGGAGACGGAGCCUCAUUUCCUUUGCAAGUUUCUCUCAGCGACUUUAUUCUUGAGCCCACUUUCCCAGCGUUCGUGCCUAAAGUGCACACCCUUUUUUAGCUUGAGGCUCUCUACAUGGCAUAUUCUGGUGAUUUUUUGUUCUCCUUGGAUAACUCCUACUCGCCCCUCAAGGAGAGGAUACUUCGUGCAUAAAUAUAAACUAGACAAGGAGAAUCAACCAUCAAAUAACUGACCUUAAUCUCUUUGGCUUCAUCAUGCUCUUCAAAGGUGGUCUUUAGCAUGAUGUAUCCUUUCACUUGCACCUGCUCUUCGGAGAAUCCAACUAGCAAGCCCUUGAAGGGAUUUAGGUCCUCUAGGUGGAGGAGGAGUAUUUUAAAUGCAUCCCAAUAUAGAAUAUUUGCAGAGCUUCAUUGGUCUAUGAUAACUCUUUUGAUCUCUCAUUCAUCACAUCUAACGGUGAUGACCAUGGGAUCAUCAUUUUGAGGGUGGAUUCCAGCUACGUACUUCUCAGAGAAUAUUUGCAGAGCUUCCCAAUAUAGAACAUUGUAGAGCUUCCUUGGUCUAUGAUAACUCAUUUUAUCUCUCAUUCAUCACAUCUAACGAUGAUGACCAUCGGGUCAUCAUUUUAAGGGUGGGUUCCAACUGCGUCCUUCUCUGAGAAUACGAUUGUGGCUUCUGGCGUUUUUAGUUUGCUCUCACUUUCAUCAUUGUGGUGGUCUUUUAUAUUCAAAAUUGGCGAGCAUACCUUCUACGGGUGAAUCUAUUUUCCCCGCCUUCUGCGGAUCCUCCUACAAUAGUAUUGAGCUUAUGGCGCAUAACUUUGUCAUUCUAGCUUGUGGAUGUCUCCUUUUCUUUGUUGGUCUUGGAGUUUUCCGUGUUAUCUCUCCCUUGCAAGUUAGACUUUUUCGACCUAUGAAAAGAGUCGUCCUUCACAUACUUCUUGAGGUUUCCCUCCUAGAUCAACCUCUCAAUCCCUUUUUUUGAGCUGGUAAUAGUCCUCGGUGUCAUGUCCUUUGACCUUAUGGAACUUGCAUUAUCUACCUGAUUCAGGACCCAUUACACAUGCUUUCAAAGUUGGCAUCAUUGCACCAGUCAAACUUGGCCAUAGAGGGAGGUUUGAAUCCUUUAGAGGAAGGUGUUUCCCAUAUUUUUCCUGACAUAAUGUUCCAACAAUUCCCCACUUGAAUUUAAAAAAGUGUUUUAGAAGUAACGUCAAAAGUUUCUAAUAUUGUGCAUAAACAAAUGUGUCUAUGACUUCUAAUGUGUCUAUUCGGAGAGCGGAAGAUUUCCGCUCUCCGAAUAGACACAUUAGAAGUCAUAGACACAUUUGUUUAUGCACAAUCUUAGAAACGUUUGACGUUACUUCUAAAACACUUUUUUAAAUUCAAGUGGGGAAUUGUUGGAACAUUAUGUCAAUAUUCCAAUAUAGGGAGAUGAAUUUGAAGUAAUUGGAUGACUUGGAUCUUCAAUUGCUUCCGCUCAUGAAAAUCUUCCGCUCUCCGAAUUCCUUGAUCUCUAUAAUUCUUGAUCGCCUGACAAUUCUCUAUGCUCUAUGUUCUCUUCGUUCCAAAGUGUCUUCUCCUCUCGUAGAAACUCUCAUAAAAUAGUGAAAAUCCCUUGACAGUGGUUGGAAAUCCCCAAAAUGUCCUUGUUGCUCAAGCCCGGGUAAAAGUCCCAAAAAUUGGAAAAUUAGCGUCUGGGCUAACACGACCGUGUCAGGCCCCUGCCUUGCCAUUAUAUUCUCUUUUCACUCCCAGGUGGGCUGGCACAGCCCGUGUAAGCUGACAUUGGUGGCCUUGUCAGGCCCCUGUCUUGCCAUCAUCUUCUGUUUCAUUCCCAGGUGGGCUGACACGAGUGGCCGUGUCAGGCCUCUGUCUUGGCCAUCAAUUGUAGUUUGUUUUGCCUUCAUACUGACAUGACCCAUGUCAUGUGAUACGGGUGGCCGUGUCAGACCCCCUAUAUUGAGAAAUCUCAUUUCCUCGAACACCGGAACCUUCCACUUUCUUGCAUUGAGUCCGUUGGAUCUUCUACGUGGACCUGGAGAGCAUAAACACAGAUAACCAAAGCAUAAAAUCUCGAAAACAUAAAAUAAAACUAAGAAUUGAUAAAAUUCUUAAAUAACUUACAGAAAUAAAAAAAUAACUUGAAAGGUACCAUAAUACGCACAAAGUAUUCUAGAAUCCUUGGUUUCUUGUCGAAUAAGUAAUGAAAACAUAGUGAAAAUAGUGAUCGAUCACAACCCCAAGCUUAGCUCAAAUUUCUUGUCCUCAAGUAAUGUUCUACACCACAAAGUGUGUCACUUCCCAAAACUGAAUUCUUACCACAAUACUGCUAAGAUAUUUCGCCCACACCUUCAUUCUCCCUUUCAUAGUCCCCGCUUUUCCUAAUGAGUUUUCCGUCGCACUUCCACAUUGACGUACCGAUUCACCUGUCAGCUUAUAUCACACUCUCACCAAGUCUCUCUGGGUUAAAGUGUUUACGCUCACAUUUCAGAAUAUGCAAUAUCAACUCAUAAAUUUGAAUAGUUUCUCCUUUCAUAUCAACUACACACAACACACACUUUUUGAGGUUUUUUGGGUUGUAACUGGGCUUGGGUUACAGUGGGGUAAAUACAAAUAAAAAGGAAAACAAAUGGUUUGGAUUCAGAUCCAAUAUCAUUAUUCUUUUCACUGUGUUUAUUCUACAUCCCAUUUCCGAUUCUUUUCUUUUUCAGUUUGUAUUGCUCAAUUCUCUUUUUUCUUUGAUUUUCUCUUCUCUUUUUUUUCAACUGAGUGUUUUUCUCGUACCAUCAAAGAUUUUUUUUUCGAUUGUCGUUUUUCUUAAUCUUUUUCCACACUCACCUUACUUUCGUAUACUUAUGGGGUUACCCUAAACUUAGAACUUUAACACAGCUUAAAGAACAUAACAUUUUCUUUGAACAGGGUAAGGAAGUGUUUGAGUCGUGGGUUACAUUCAAGUGGUUAUACAUACAAAUAAAGGAUACUGGCUCAAACGGGGUUAAAAAGGGAUAAUAUUAAAAGGAUGGCUAGAAAGGCUCAGGGCUAUUAUUCAAACAACGUGCCUCAGUGUGUGUAUAUAUGCAGUGAUAUUCCAAGAGAACUUACGCAAACUCAGAGUGAUAAAUACAUACUUGAAUAUCGCUCAUGAUGACAAAUGUGUUCGGAUUUUUAUGCACUCACCAUGUUAGGUAAAGCUUGACGGCAACCACAAUACUUCUAGUAUGGUGUGACUUCUUACUCAUCUCGAAAUGCACCGGGAACCUACGUUAGUCGAGCUUGAUAAGUUGCGUCCGAUCUUUUCUUCAGCGGUAUCAACUUUUUGGGAAUAUCCGUCAUAACAAGAAAUAGUAAGUGGAGUGAUCAUUUCAUCCACUACCACUAAUGGUCAUCACCUAAUCCAACAAUAACACCAAGAACCUGAAAUACAUGCAGCAAAUGAUACCCAAUAGUAAAAAUAAACCAAAUGUAAAACAGUAAAAAAAAAAGGGAAAUAAUAAAAUAAAACAUAAAACAUAAAACUAAAAGUAUAAUUAAACCACCCCGACACUUGAACCAAACAUUGGCCUCAAUGUUUUAGAACAAGAUAGAAGGAGGAUGACUCAUAGUGCCCUACUGAGGAGGUUGGGGCCAACACAAUGUCCAAAAAAAAUUGAAAUUUCAAAAUCCGUGGUCCUAACACGGGCGGCCGUGUCAGGCUGCUGGUUUCUCAAAAAUUUUCCUUUCUCUUAUUUCCAUAUAUGGGUUUUCCUUCUGGUACGACUCCCACGUUAACGUGAGUGUCUCCAUCCUUUUAUGCAAGGCAUUGUGCAAUCCUAAAAUAACAAACAAAAUACAGACAAUAAUUAGAAAUAAAAACGCGUGAGUUUCCUCCCACAAAGUGCUUCAUUUAACGUCGCAUGGAUCAACGGUUCAUUCCCCUUGUUAUGGGGGGUACUUCAGCCUUCACACCUUGUUGCACUUCUUUUCCAACCCUAAGAAGCCGUCUUUUUCAUAGGUAUGCAUUCAUUUGUGCCAUAAGUCCUUUCUAACCUCCAUAUCCUUACUUUAUUUUCGCUUUCUUUUCUUUCUCCUAGCUUUUGGAAUGGAAAUAUGAGUCUUUCCACUCGAGGUUGCUAAUGGAAGUGAGACCAGUUGAUAUGGCCUUCUUGAGACUUUUUCUGAUGUUGGCAUGUCACUUUGGCCUUUCACAUCUGUCCUGAUCAUGCCUACUUAAUAGUGAUAUUCUUUUUCCACCUCUAGCUUCCUGUUAUUAAGAGCAUUCAAAGUUAUUUCAUCAUCAUAGACUUUUAAAGUUAGUGUACCAUGGUCUAUUUUGAAAUUGCAUUGACUUGUUCGCAUGAAUGGUCGACCAAGAAUGAUAAGUGUCUCUUCAUCCUCAGGUAUGUCUAUGAUCAAAAAAUCAAUAGGAAAACUAAAUCGCUCUAUUGUCACCAGUAUGUAUUCUGCUAUCCCAGAUGCAUUCUUUAUGGAUUCAUAUGCAAACUUCAUAUUUAUCCUUGUAUCACUGACACUUCCAAUACCAAGCCUUUGGUAGAUUGACAAUGGCAUCAAACUUACACUAGCUCCGAAAUUAAUUAGUACCUUCUUGAAAGUUUUAUCUUUUAUAGUGCACGGGAUUGUGACUGCUCCAGGAUCCUUCUUCUUGUUUGGGAUUCUCCUACCUGGUGAUAUUGCAUUACACUUUUCAUUCAAAGCUAUUGACCCAUCUCCUAUUGGUCUCUUUUCAGCGAUUAUCUCUUUCAUGAAUUUUUUGUACAUGGGCAUUUGCUCGAGUGCUUCAACGAAAGGCAUAUUGCUCUCUAUAUUUUUGAACAUUGUGACGAAUUUCUCAAAGUCUGUCUCUCUUGGAUCCUUCUUUGUCACUCUCUGAGGGUAGGGUAACUUAAUCACAGGUUUAGCCUCUUUUUUCUUCUUCUCUUCAAUUGGUUUUACUGGUGGUAUAACUUCUUUUUCUUUCUUAUUUUCUCUUACUUCCAGAAUUACCUCCAUGAAAUGGUCAUCCUUUGUUGCCCUCUCUUAUUCAUCUUUAGAAACUUUCUAACUUCUUGUCGUGACAACAUUAACAUUCUCAUGAUUUCUCGAAUUUUGUAUUGUUUCACUUGGGAGGGAACCUGGUGUUCGAGAACUUGCUACUUGUUAUGUUAUCUAACCCAGCUGAAAUUCAUGAUUUUUUAUAGAGGCGGUGGUAUUUUUAUGAUUGUUUCUAGUAUCUUCUUGGAAUUGCAUAUUUUGAGCGGCCAUGUUUUCAAUGGCAAUCUCCCAGUCUGCUUUCUUUGGAGCUUGAUAUUGACCUUGACCCUAUUGUGGAACAUUCUCUCUCUGAUCUUUCCAGGAGAAGUUUGAAUGAUUCUUCCACCCUGGAUUGUAAGUAUUUGAGUAAGGAUUAUUCUACUUCAAGAAUUUUAUCUCUUCAAUUUUUUGAGGAGUUGUAAAGCAAUACACAGUGGGGUGAGAUCCAUUAUAGAUUUUACAAGUGAUGGUCUGAGUAGGUUGAAUUUGAGCUACCUGUUGAGUACCUAUAUUCAUCACUUUCAAUUUCUUUUCUACUUCAACAACGAAUGUAUCUUCCAAAUAGAUUUUAUUAGCUUCCAGUUUCAGAUCUAUGACUUCUUCAACUUUUCUUAUACACCUAUCAUAUAAUUUCAAAUGCUCAUUUGCAGUUAUCGCUUCAAUGAUCCUUUUAAUACCAGUGGCCGUUGAGAAAUUUGUUGAGCCACCGGCUGCUGUAUCAAUCAACUGUUUUAUCUUUAUUUUGAGCCCAUUAACAAACAUCUGCAUUUGUUCAGUCUGAUCCAGAUUAUGAGUUGGGCAAGCUACCAGGACCUUUUUAAAUCUUUUGUAGGCAUCUCUUAAAGACUCACCCUCCUUCUGUUUGAAGUUCAAGAUUUCAUACCUUUUUCUCAGAAAUACCGAUGUUGAAAAAUACUCAUUUAAGAAAGUAGUUUCCAUUUCUUCCCAUGAUGUAAUGUUGCCAGUUGGGAGAGAGUACAACCACUCUUCCGCCUCUUCAGCUAAAGUGAAUGGGAAUAGUCUUAACUUCUCCGCUUCAUCAAUAUGACCAUCAAUUUUCAGAGUAAUGCUCAUGGUCAGGAAUCUCUGCAAGUGCUUGUUUGCAUCUUCAUUAACCGUUAUGGUGAAAGGUUUUCUUUCAAGUUGAUUGAUUAUGCUAGGGUGCAGUUGAAAAUCAGUCACAUUUAUCGGUUGGUUGACAAUGGUCAAUCUACCACCAACGCAUUUGCAACCCCAUAAUCAUCCAGGAGUCUUUUCGGAGGUGGGGGAGGUGAAAUUGGAGGAAUUUCAGCCAUAUUUUAUUUUUAUGAAUCUGAGUGAUUAGAGGAACUUCUUCUUUGGAAUUCAAUCUAGUGUUUAUGAGUCUCCGGUGAAGGGUUCUCUCGAUAUCUGCGUCAAAAAGUAAAUUCAGUUGAGGGCUCUCCUCGCAUACAUAAAUUAGUGAAUGAAAUUAUAUAAAUGACAGAAAAAUAACUUUAUUGCAAAGCAAACAAAUUUUAAUUGAACUAAAAUUAAACUCUAUAUUUUGGCAGUCCCCGACAACGGUGCCAAAAACUUGAUCGAAAAAAUAACAAGUGUACUAUUUUGCCUUUUGUAGUAAUAAAGGGGAAAUUCCCCGAAUGUCGAUCUCAAGGACUGCAAGUUAAUAUUGAGUUCAAAUCAUCGUUCAAUUAAACAAAAACUAAUUUUGGGGUUUUUAAAUUCAAAAUUAUAAAAAUAAAGGCAAAAAAAUUAUACUGUAAAAUAUAGGAUUUGUAAGGGAAGAGGAACAAUGUUAGGGAAGGUGUAUAAUUUGCCCCUGUAACAACUCUGAGUCACUAUUGCAUCAACAAAUAUCAAUUACUACCAGUUCUCAAGGGUAUUUUCUCCCAAGUCCUUGGUGAUAAAACCUUUAAUCAUUCAACCCUUAUUUCUAUGUCCAUAGGAAAUUAUUGGUGAAAUUAAGCCUUAUUAUAUCAAGAAUUCUCUGGUUCAUACAGGGUACCCCUGGUCCUAGAUGAUAUCUACUGCAGAGUAAUCUUAUGAAAACCUUACCAAUGGCGGUCCAGCCUAAUUAGUAACCAUACAACAAUCUCAAUUGGUCCGAAAAAGAAAGCAUUGAACACAUCAAAAGAUUUCCGUAAAUAUAAUAUUAUCAAUGCAAUCGUAAACUCAAAGUCAUUACAGAUCUAAAUCAGGGACACCCCCUAGCAUUGGGGGGUUUAGCUACUCAUAUUAUUCAAAAUAUAUUCAAGAUAAAUAAUAAUACACAUUACAAGUAAUUGGAUGACUUGGAUCUUCAAAUGCUUCCUCUCAUGAAAAUCUUCCGCUCUCUGAAUUCCUUGAUCACUAUAAUUCUCGAUCGUCUGAAAAUUCUUUGUGCUUUGUGUUCUCCUCGUUUCAAAGUGUAUUCUCCUAUUGUAGAAACUUUUCUAAAAUAGUGAAAAUCUCGUGGCAAUGGUUGGAAAUCCCUAAAACGUCCUUGCUACUCAAGCCCGGGUAAAAAGCCCAAAAACUGGAAAAUUAGCGCUUGGGCUGACACGGGCGGCCGUGUCAGGGCUCUGCCUUGCCAUUUUAUUCUCUUUUCACUCUCAGGUGGGUUGACACGGCAUGUGUCAGCUGACACGGUUGACCUUGUCAGACCCCUGUCUUGCCAUCAUCUUUUGUUUCAUUCUCAGGUGGGCUGACACGGUGGAUGUGCCAGGCUCCUGUCUUGGCCAUCUCUUACCGUUUGUUUUGCCUUCAUCCUGACACGACCCAUGACAAACUCUUCGUACUGAUAAAUCUCCAUCAUGGACUGAGCCAAGAUAGUCUAUUUUUUUUAUUUCCAAGAUACAACUCCUCAAACUAUAUUGAAUAUAUAGCCACUAGUUACUUUGGAAUCAUCUGAUAAGAUAUUCCAAUCUGCAUCACUAUAUCCUUCAAGUACAACAAAAAACUCUGAUACUGCGAAACAAGAUUCAUGGUCUUUUUAAGAUACUGCAUGACUUGCUAAAUAGCUUAUCAAUUCUCAUUACUCGGUCUACUAGUAAACCUGCACAAAAAGCCUACGAUAUAUGCAAUUUCGGGUCUGGUACAGUUAGAGACAUACCUAAGACUACCAAUGAUGCUCACAUAUUCUGUUUGUCUGACACUUUCACUAGUGUUCUUAAACAGUUUCACACUUUGAUUGUAUGGCGUGCACGUAGGUUUACAGUCAAAGUGAUUAUAUUUCUUUAGGAUCUUCUCCAUAGCAGUCACUAAAGCUAUCAUCUCAGACUUCAUCGUGGACUGAGCCAGGAUAGUCUGUUUCUUUGAUUUCCAAGAUAUAUCUCCUCCAACUAUAUUGAAUAUAUAGGCACUAGUUACUUUGGAAUCAUCUGAUAAGAUAUUCCAAUCUGCAUCACUAUAUCCUUUAAGUACAAUAGAAAAUCUCUGAUAAUGCAAAACAAGAUUACAGUCUUUUUAAGAUACCACAUGACUCACUAAAUAGUGUAACACCUCAAAAUUUGCCCUCCUCUCUUGGGACUAGCAUUAACAUAUUGCAUAUCAUUUUUAGGUCAUUAGGCAUUGCAUAUUGCAUAUCAUGUGGUUACAUUGUGCAAGUCAUCCUCACAAGUAAACACCUCAAAAUUUGCCCUCCUCUCUUGGGACUAGCAUUAACAUAUUGCAUAUCAUUUUUAGGUCAUUAGGCAUUGCAUAUUGCAUAUCAUGUGGUUACAUUGUGCAAGUCAUCCUCACAAGUCUUCAUCAGAAGAUGAGGGGCUCAGAUUGAUCAGUGUAUUGCCAGAUUCAUCUAUCAGUUAAAAAGUCAACUGUGGUCAACUGUGCUUGAUUUUAUGGAUUUGGAAGUGGGAGAGAGUUGGAUACACUUCAUUCAUGUUGGAACAAGUGUUAUUUGACAUUGCAAAGCUCAAGAAUGAAGAAAAUCAAGUCAGACAAGAAAUUGCCAAAAAUAGAAAGUGACUUGUAAUAGAAGUUUCCAAAAAUGGAAAGUUUUUGACCUCAAAAUUACAUGUCCAAGGAAGCUUCAAAUGAAAUUUUGUUCAACAUGAAAGUUGUAGAUCUUGAUCUCACCUUUCCAAAAAGUCCAAGAACUUGAAAAUCCCAUGCAUGGUUGACAAGUUAUGGUCCAUUCAAUUUCAAAAAUGACCCAUAAUCAAAGUGGCAUAACUUCCACAUGGAGUGUCCAAAUUGAGUGAUCUUUUUAUGAGAAAACUCCAUUUGACAUGUACUUUCAUGGUGCAUAGUUGGAAUUCAUCAAAAAUGGUCAAUGUAAAAAGUCAAUUUUCAAGUGUACAGUUAAAGAUCCAAGGGCAAAAUGGUCCAAGUUGAGAAAUAAUGAGAAUUUUGGCAUGGGGAUUUUUGUAACACCUCGCAAAUGCAAAUUGGAAAUGGUUUGAAUUGUCAUAACAUGUCAAGGUGCAAUAUUUGACCAAUUCAUUUUUGAACUUGCACUUGAAAAUGCAUAAAGUGCAAUAGCAUGUGGAAAAUGAGAAAUACACAACCAAUGACCAUGGGACAAGUUGCAACACAUCACACAUGGCAUUUUGAGAGUGUGUGAGCUGUCAUACAGCUGUCACAGAGCCUUAAGUGAAAAGACAUAUUUGCCCUUGCUUUGUAAUUUCACAUUUUGCUAAUUACAUGUGUUUUGGCUAAUUGAUGAUUAAGAGCUGGAUUAAAUGGAAGUAUAUAAUCCUAAUUGUAACUAACUCUUGAUCAGAAUCACAUUUCACAAGAAUUCAACAAACUUUUCCCUCCAAAUUCUCCAAAAAGCUCAAGAACAUUCAAGAACAAAAUUGAGCAAAACUCCUUCAAUUCUUCAUCAAUUCGUGUAAUUCUUUUUGCUGCCUUCUCCAAUCAUCUCCUUCUUCAACUGUUUUGGAAAAGCAUCAUCAAAAUCCUCACGAAUCUCCACUGUUCAAAGUGUGUGCAUCCAUGGCAUUUUGCAAAUUCUUCCACUAGAAGCAAAUUCGAGCUAACCUAAGCACUACAUUCACCUUCCCUAUCAUCAAGCUUGAUCUGUUUUGAGGAAACACGCGCAAAUACCACAAGAACCAACACUGCCAUUGCAAGGUACUUGAAAUUCGAAUCUCAUGAUUCUUUAAAUUGUUAUAUGCAUUGUGUAGAUCAUGCAUCAUAGGUUAGCAUGAAACUCGUGGUUUGCAAAAUGAUUGAGUGAGGUGAGAGAUAUGUCGAAUUGUAGUUUUGUGUUCAUUCCUUUAAGCGCUCGAUCCGGUUUGUGUAGUGAGUGUUAGAGAAAAUCGUUAGCAUAUUCUUGAUGUACGUUGGAAGACGAAGAGAACGGUAUGUCGCUUGUCCAUUUUCGUGGAGUUUCGUUCUUGACCGGAGCUGGAGAUAACGAUGAGUAUUAGCGCGCGAUGAAGAUGGAGUUCUGGAAAUAUAUUUCGUUUGAUUCACUUCACUGCCUGGCAAAUUCGAAAAUUUGUUUCCCUCCAGUACAAACCAAUUGCACACUGACACGCAGUAAAAUGAGGCACGUGAGUUUGGACCGGCUGAUGGUAAUAACGAAAAUGCCACUGAAGCUUAACAAAACAUUUUAAUUAAAUUAACAUUCUAAAUAAUUAUUACAUAAUUCAUUCAAUCUUAUAAAAUUCAUAGAAAAUUAAUUACAAGUCCAAAAAUAGUGAGGAUUUUUUUGUUGGAUCCCAAUUUUUCCCUACAAUUUUAUAGGCAUGGUUUCAUAAGUUGUGCAUGGUAAAAUGUUGACCUGGCCUAGAGAUCUUUGACUUGUGUGUAUUUUUUUACAUGUUUUGCCAUUUUCAUUAUGAAAUGCUCAUACAUUUAAAGAAAUGAUUGAAAUUUUUUUUGCUCAUUCUGGACAUGUUGAUGGUGAUUUCCAUGUAAAUUUUAUGAUUUUUGGAUACCUGAUGAUUGAGAUAUGAUUUUUUGAAUCUAGGUGUGACAAUUUGUGUCACACCUAGCUAGGUCAACUUUCUGAAUUUAUUUGCAUGACCUAUGAUUGUUGGAUUGGAUAUUUUUUUUGAAUUCAUGUUUCCCUCCGUUUCCAGCCAUUCACAGGAUGACACCGCAUUAAUGAAGCGCGGUCGUUUUAGCCUUGGACGUGUUACUUACAGAAUUGCCAUUAAUUCCAUUUGAUUAACUAAAAAACUUAAAUAAUUAUUUCACAAUUCAUCUUAACUUAGAAAAAUCAUAGAAAAAUAAUCAUUAAUCCAAAAAUUAUGAGAGUUUUUUUGUUGGAUCCUAUUUUUCCCCUAGAAUUUUAUAGGCAUGGUUUUAGAAGUUGUGCAUGGUGAAAUAUUGACUUGGCCUAGGGAUCUUUGACUUGUGUGUAUUUUUUACAUGUUUUGCCAUUUUCAUCAUGAAAUGCUCAUACAUUAAAAGAAAUUCCUGAAAUUUUUUGUGCUCAUUCUGGACAUGUUGAUGGUGAUUUACAUAUAAAGUUUGUGAUUUUUGGAUACCUGAGGAGUGAGAUAUGAUUUUUUCGAAUCUAGGUGUGACAAUUUGUGUCACACCUAGCUAGGUCAAAUUCAUGAAUUUAUUUGCAUGACCUAUGAUUGUUGGAUUGGAUUGAAAUUUUGCAUGGAUGAUCAUUGAUGUGUUGAGAUAACAUGUGAAUUUUUCUGGAUUUUUCUAUGGCAUUUUCCAUUUGAUUGAUAUUUUUCUUCUCUGUAUGUUCAUUGUGCAAGCUUGUGUGACACAUGUUGGUAAAUCUUGUAUGAAAUUCUCAUAUGGUUUUGGAUGAAUGUGAAAUUUGGUAUGCUGGUUGUAGACACAUUGUAGGACAUCCCUGUUUUGGUCCCAUUCAUUUCUUAAUUGAUUUCAUUGAUUUAUGAAUUUUUGAAGUGAAUGCAUGUGUUGAUGCUAUGAAUUGGCUUGAAUAAUUGUGUCUGGAUUUCUUGAUUUUCAUUGACCUAGUUCCUUUUGUCCAAUUGAGCUGAAAAUUGACAUGCUAUACCUUGAAUAUGUCCUGUUUAGGUGUGAAUUAUUUGAGGAUUUUUGGAAUUGAUUUGGUAUGCUUUUGAUAGAAUUCAUUCUGUUUGGACUUUUGGUGUUGUAUUUGACCUAGUUUGUACCAAAUUGUGCAUGAAAUGAUAUUGAUAAAUGGUAUGAGCAUGGGACCAAUUGCAUUUGCUUUUGAAUUGUGUUAAUUUGAUUUUGGUUUAGAAUCCCUUGCUGUUUAGAAUUUUUUCUCCCUUUUGGACCCUAGGCUUGGCCUAGUGGUCUAGUUUCUCACAUUUGGUGUGGAUUUUCAGGUUGAAAGGCAAAAAGCUUAAGGAGAUAAAUGCAAGUUGCAAAAAUUGAAUUUGUUUGAUGUUAUCUACUAACUUGACUUUGUUUUGUAGGUUGUGAAGCUUGAGCUUGAGCUUAUAGCUUGCACUUGUGUGCAUUAACUUGUGUUGUCUGUAUAGAUUAACCAUUUGCUGUUUACUGUUGGUUUGUCUGAGUACUGAUGAUACUUGAUUGAUUUCAGGUACAUUUAGUCGCUUACAGUUCUUUAAGAACUUGCUUGCUGCUGCUUGGUUUUUAAACCACUUGAGGUAGGACUUCUAUUCUUCAUGUAGUCUGGAAGACCUGGCCUGUUACUUGGCCAGGCAACUGUCUGAAGUCCUCCUUAAGAGGCGAUGUUUGUGGUUGUUUACAUUUGUGCCAAGCAGGUAAAGACCUCUAUGAGGCAAUUGGUGGAUCAAAGGGAUAUGCAAUCUAUCCCCCACUAUUCUGUGAGUCGUCCCUCUGCUCACACGGCUGUGUGUUGAUGCAUUGGGACACAAACCCAAGAUCUUGUGCUGUUGCACAAUCGAGUCAGAGUCUUUGAGCGUAGAAGGGUCCCUCCAUUCUGGACCCACGCUCCUUUGUCUGAAGCUCUCCCUGGUCAGGGAUAAGAGCUGUGAGGUCUCAUCCUCACUUCACCUUUCAUCUGCUUCACCUUAGCCUCGUAAUGGCAAGGUUAAGAGCGAAUAAUACCCAUGUACAGAUGACUCGCUUCGGCAGUCAAACCCAUUGUUUGAGCCUCACUUGAUUGGUUAUAGUGUGUGCUAUGUGAAUAUUUGCUUGAAAUGCUUGCUUUGAUCUGUAUGCUUGUAUGCUUGCUUUCUUCCUGGAUAGGAUUAGCUUGCAGUUGUGCAAGUAGGUAGAAACCUGAACAUAGGGUAAUGAUGCAUGACAACACUAGGCUCGAUCCAGCUCCCUGGUAGUGUGUCUUCCCUUGGUUUCUGGCUAGGUUUUCUUUCCCUUGAGGGGGAACUACAUCGCCCUGAUCCUCGUUCCAGACGAGGUAUGUAGGCAGGAGACCGCGCGAGGUCUCUCCGGGCACUUUUUUUCUUUUUGUGUGCGUUUGCUUGUUAUCUUCUUGUGUAUGUUUGGUUCGGAUGCCGACGUAAGUCCAGUGAUUGGCGGUCGGGCUCCACGUUUGCCCUUCUGGUGUGCGUUUUGGUUCGGAUGCUGACGUAAGUCCAAUGAUUGGCAGUUGGGCUCCAUGUUUGCCAUCUGUUUGUGUGUUUUGUCUUGUUUGGCGUGCGUAAGCCGAACUACGGCAGCUCUGAUUCUCGUUCCAGACGAGAUACGUAGGCAUAGGAUGCGACGUCCUAUCGAGCUCUCUUCCCCUUAACCCCACCUGUGUUGUCUUCGGCGCGUGUGUGUGUGUUGUUUAGCAACAUUUUCUUUUCUUAGAACGUGGAUCCCGUCGAGUACGACGGACGUGAGGGGUGCUAAUACCUUCCCCUUGCGUAACCGUGAGGGAAUGGGAAAGAGAAACCAGCGUUCUGGUAAAGGAAUCCAGGUUUCUCUGAGCGUUUCCUUUCCCUAUCUUGGGAUAAAUAACGCGCAGUGGCGGCUCUGUGUUGUGUUUUUGCUUCAGCCCGCCGGUUGUUUUUCGCGGAUGCGACAAAUAGCUUAUCAAUUCUCAUUAAUUAGUCUACUAGUAAACCUGCACAAUAAUCCUACGAUAUAUGCAAUUUUGGGUCUGGUACAAUCAGAGACAUACCUAAGACUGCCAAUGAUACUCGCAUGUUUUGUUUGUCUGACACUUUCACUAGUGUUCUUAAACAGUUUCACACUUGGAUUGUAUGACGUGCACGCAGGUUUACAGUCAAAGUAAUUAUAUUUCUUUAAGAUCUUCUUCACAUAGUGUGAUUGAUCCAAAGAAAUUCUUUGUUCGGGUCUCGUGAUCUUGAUACCAAGAAUCGCGUUCGCUUCUCCGAGGUCUUUCAUAUCAAAGUUGUUGCACAAUAAUUAUUUCACAUCAUUAACGACCUGAAUGUUUGAUCCAAAUAUGAGUAGAUUGUCUACAUAGAAACAUAUGAUAAUGCAAAUUUGAUUCUCAGAUUUGUAAUAAAUGCAUUUGUCACUUUCAUUAUCAUUAAGUUAUCAAACUUCUCAUGUCAUUGUGUUAGACCUUGUUUUAGACCAUAAAUAGACUUACCUAACUUACAGACCUUCUUUUCUUGCCCAUGAAUUGCAAAACCUUCCAGUUGGUCCAUAUAGAUUUCUUCUUCUAAAUCACCGUUUAAAAAAAGUUGUUUUAACUUCCAUUUGGUGUAUUAUUAAGUUAUAAAUAACAUCUAUUGAAACAAGUACCCUAAUGGAUAUAAUUCAAGUGUCUGGAGAAAAAGUAUCGAAGAAAUCUAUAUUUUCUCUUUGCCUAAAACCUCUGGCUACAAGGUGAGCCUUGUACUUAUCAAUUGUUCCAUCAGGUUUUAGUUUAUUUUUCAAAACACAUUUACAAACGACUGGUUUACAACCAUGAGGCGAGUAUGCUAAGUGCAAUGUCAUGUUAGAUUCCAUAGAAUCUAUCUUAUCAUAAAUAGCUUCUUGUCACAAAUCUGUUCCAGAGAUAAUAAGGCUUCUUGAAGAUUUAUUGGAUCUUCUUCUACAUUAUAAGCCACAUAAUCGGGCCCAUAGUGUUUAGAAACUCUUAGAAGUUCUAUUUCUACUUUGUUGUUGCUCGUAAUGCUUCUUAUCAUAGGAAUGUGAUUCGAGUGAGUGCCCUCACUAUUUCUCAAUUUGAAAAGAAAUUUAUCUUCAUAAAAUUCAACAUCAUUUGAUUGUAUGAUCACUUUAGCAUUUAGGUCAUAACACCUAUAUGCUUUACUGUUUGCUGCAUAUCCAAGGAAAAACUCAACAAAAUAAGUUUUUAAUAUGUUUUGGAAUGAAACAAGGAAUUUCCUUAUAUAAUGAAGUGAGGUAGCUAAGAUAUCUCGCCUAAGAAAUGUGAGACUAAUGAGUUUUUUCAACUAACUCACAAUGUGGAAUUUAAGAAACCUUUUCAACAAGAAUUGAAAUACACAAAGUGGUUAUCCAAUAUAGAAUGAAAUUUCAUCAUAGAAGUUGAAAAUCAUUGUUUAAGAGAUGAAAUUGUAGGCUUUGUUGAGCUGUGAGUUUACCUGUAUAUCAAGUUGUGUUUUAUUUUAUUCAAAACAUUUAAGUUACAUUAAAGGGAAGUGGUUUGUUAGGAAUGUGCUCAUAUUUAACCAAUAUCUUAGAGCAGCAAGCAAACAAACAUUCAACAUAGAAUUAAAUUAUAGAGAAAAAUGAAGAUGUAAGAGUAUGAAAAUUAUAGAAGAGAAUUCAAAUGGAAUAACAUUACUCAAAACUCCAUUAAUACAAUGUUACAAUACAAAUGAGAUGGAGCUUAUUGGAAAUCAGAAACUAGAUUUAUAACUAGUAUGGAAUCAUAUCCAUUUCUUGGAAAUACAAAGUACUAUAAUAAAUGUGAAAAGCACUUCAACAGAAAGAUGAAAAUGAGGCAGAAACUUGUAGAGGAAGAGAAUGGAUAAACACUCGUUAACAACCUCUAAUCAUCAGUUCUUCUAGAAACUUGUUCAUCCUCAUUUUCCAGUUAUCCAAUCUUUUCUUCUAGAUGAGUUUCCACACUCAUUUCAUUAUUCCUAAUCUUAGCUUUAUUCAUUACAAUAACAUUGUUUUGAAAGAGACACAUACAUCAAAUAAACACAAACACAAACACAACAGAGAGUGCUACCAACAACUCUCGAACACAUUUCUUUCGACGCAAACAUUUAGUGAAAUUUAUUAACUAGGAAUACGAAGGUAAAUUGGAAUUGGAUUUGGUUUGUUCGGAGGUGCAUCCCAAACGGAGAAAGUACUUGAAGCGUUCAACCACCUCUCUGUCAUUCCAGGAUAAUGACGAUCAAUCACAUCCUUCAAACUUUCAGUUGUGUUCACCCAUUCCAAUCCUUUUUUGGUGUAUGUCUCUUCGUUGAAGUUGCUUGUGUAAAACCUAUCAGCUUCUAGCCUCCUUCAAAAUUCAUGAAAUUUCAAUCAAAUUCAACUAAUCUCAGGAAUAAACAUAAAAAAAAAGUUUUAGUUGUUUUUACCUAGAUGCCAUGAUAAGGAAUAUCACAAAAGCUGUCUCACUAAUUGCAAAACCCUUUAUCUUCUUCUCAGCCAUGAGACCUACUUGUGUAUCAAGCAACUCAACAUCAUUUCCAUAUACCUCUUUCAAUGCUUUAAUUAUUUCCUUAUCCUCAGUCAAAUCUUCCCAUUUUGAAAUAGGUAUCAACAACAAUGCUCUUCUGAAUUGGUUAUAUCUAGCAACUUGCCUCUCUCUGUCCCUAUAAACUGCAUCAUUCAGUUCAUUAUAUUAAAUUUCAAUGUCAAUUUCAAAUCAUUUAUAAAUAAAAUAGAAAAUGAUCUUGAAAUAAAAAUUGUGACUCGUAUAUCAUACUUUCAAGAGCAGCCAAGUCUACAUGAUCAGAUCUUUCUGUGCCAUCUAUGUUUUGUGAUACUAGAUCUCUUAGAAAAGAUGGAUAGUUCUGAGGCUCUAGAGCUCCAGAAGCUUGGUGACCCAUUGAUACUAAUGUCUGUCCAACUCCUAUCUGUGACAAGGUCUUUUCUCCUGGUAGUCCAACCAAAUCUUUCAUAGGAAUUCUAUAAUAAUACCAAAAAAAAAAUAUUUUUAAAAAACUUAGAGAGUUAUAAGUUUUUUUUAGGUUGGAUUAUAAAAACACAAAUAUUGUCAUACUCUUUGAUUAAUGGUGGAGAUUUGUUAUCUCCUGGAGGGACAUGUAUGUUUCUCAAAUGGAGGAAAUCAGGUAAGAGUGCAUGCAUUCUAUAGACACUAACAAAUUCUUCAGUUAAAGAGUAUGGAACACCGUGAUUAUCUGGUUUUUUCAUGCCGACCAAUCCACCCAAGAUGCCGUGUCCAACGUGCCCAAAAGUGUCCUUGAAUGUCUUUCCCAAUAAUCCAUACCUAUAAUCAAAUCAAAAUUCUCAGUACCAUAACCUCAGUAGCACCGACACCUCAGAAAAAAUACUAGAGAGUAUAACGGUGUUAUAGUUAGUUUUACCAAUUUCCUCGCAUGCCUGCAAGCAAGGUGUCAGUCUUAAGAAGCUCGACAGUCCAAUCUAUGGUAUGAAUCUUUGCAAUCACAGCUGAAGUCACCAAUCUAGCAUGACGAUAAAGUUCUUCAUCUUUCAAGAGUGGAUAUUCCUUCUAAUAAAGUACAAUAAGAAAAUAUAUAUUAGGUUUUUUGAACUAAAAAUGACACUUAUCUUAAGAACAGAUAUACAACAAUUAAUCUAUACCUUGAGAGCAUCACAAACAGCAUUGUGCUCUUGAAUAAAAAGGGCUUGCAAAACUGAAACACCAGCCCAACUAUUGCGAACAUCACCGGAUAGUGCAACUCCAUGUUCGUUUUCUAGAAGAGUACCUUCCUUUGAUAUUUUUAGCUUUCCAUCUAUUGAAGUCCUCACUUGGCUCAAAACUUUAUCAUUGCUUCCAUAUACCACACUUGCAUCCCUGUCAUAUUACAUAUACGUGGAUAGUUCAUUCAUGUCACGUCUAAGUUCAAUAAAAAUUUCUGUAUAUACGUGGAAAAUCAACAUGUUCUUACCACCAAGGUGUACGUAUGUUUGCAUGUCCAGUCUUAACAUCAUAGAAUCCGGUUGAAAUUUCCUUUGUUUUCAAGAACUUGAAAGAUUUUAAUGGACAUUUGCUUGCAACAUCAUGGGGUGCAGUGAGUUCAAUCUAAUAUAUAAUAAAAUUAAUCACAACAUGUUAGUGUUUAUAAAGGUUUUAAAUAAUGGUCAUGGUCAUGUCAAGACAUUCACGGUUUCGGUUUCUGAUACUGUUUUGUCGCAAUAACGGACGGUUUCUUAGAACUUGGUGUUUAUUAAAAGAAUUAUAUAGAAUUGACAUGAUAAUUUUUUUAUGUAACUUUAAGGUGGUGAAUUAUAAAUCCAUUCACACCUGUUGAGUGUCCUCCAAAUGAUCAAUCCAAUCAUGUAUCAUAAACUGAAUCCAAGCUGCUGCCAACACAUUGAAUUGUUUUCCAGUGUCUUUGAAUGUUUUUCUUGCCAAAAGUUUUGUCACCACCACCAUUGGAUCUGGCUUCAACAGCUGCACAAAAACAAUAUUCAAUUAUAUAUUUUUAAAUAAUCAUAAUUUUUUUUAUAUGUAAUAAAUUUAGAGUUUAGACCUUGUCCUUCUGAUCCACAGGAAGAAUGUUUCUGCCAAUGAAAGAGCCUUCACUUCCAGCAUUAUCAUCAAAAGGGUCAUUAAAUUUUCCAUCAGCAGUUCUGUAGGGAUAGUCAUAAGGAUUAGACCUAAUUCCAACAGGUGUUUGACCAACAUUGAAGAGAUUGUAUUGUUGAUGAAGAUGUCUCCUAGAAGCCAAGUAAAAAAGUCCCAUGAACACAGGCAUACGAUGCCAUAUUCCCCACUUGUCAAUGGAGUGUAUCAUCUGUACAUGUCAUAGUAAAAAAACAACAAAAAAUAAUAUAUAGUUAGAGGUUAUGAGCAAAAUAUAUUUUGUCUAAAUUUUGGACUAAAUAUAUUUGAGUUUUCUUGCUUAUAUUUUGGUAUUAGAUUGUUUAUGGUCACAGAAAACAUAAGAUUAACUUUGUAUGAAGAUGAAUAUAUUAGUGAUUUGAGUUUAAUUAUAAUGUAUAUAUAUAUAUAUAUAUUUGAUUUGAAGAAGAAGGGUAUAUACAAAGAAGACAAGAGCAUCAAUGAUGGACAUUUUAGCCACUGCUUCAUGAAAAUCUUUAUGGAUGCAAUGUUGCACAAUGGUCGAAAUAAUAAUUCUAAUGGGAGCAAUUAUAAGAAGCCACAUGUUUUUUGGAUGAUAGAAAGACUAGUUUUAUGAAAUGUGUGUAUCGUUCUGAGAAACUUUAGGGUAUUUAUAGAAGCAUAAUAGGGGAGAGGAGAGGACCAACAAGUUUAUCUCUUUCAAUUUUUCUUAUUUUUUUUUGUUAAUAUUCAAAUAAACCGUACAAGAGUAAUUGAAAAUAAUCUCACGUAUUCAAUAAUUUACUCAUAAUACAACACAUGCAAAACGUUUUAUCUCUCUUAUUAAAAGGAGUACUAAAGCCAAAGGGUUGUCAUAUUGGUACAAAUUUGGGUAUGAGAAAAUGUUUCUCUCAAAUUCUCAAUUCGGAGACUAAUUCUUUUAGAUUAAUCGAUAGCAAAUUUGAUUACUAAAUUUAAAAAAAAAAUAGUUUUCAAAUAUCUUUUGAUUCUUUAAUUAAAUUUAAUGUUUCACAUUAAUCUUUUAACUAAAAAAAUAAUAUAUAUUAAUCCCUUGAAAACUGUUUAAUUAAUCUAAUCGAUCAUUUUCAUUAAAUUUUAUAAAAAAAUGUUAUCUUUUAUAUAAUAUAGGUGACAAUAUUGAUGUGAAAAAUAUUAUCUUUUGUAUAGGUGACAAUGUUGAUAGAUUUAUCUUAUCUAACAUGUUUUUUUAGACAAAAAGAAACUCAUUUACCAAACACUCUCAGAUUAAGCAUUCAAUUUGUUUCAAAAAGAAACGUAACCCAGAAACCAUUAACAUGGUAUUGCUCCAGUUCCUGUCAGUUCACCACCGACACCACACCAGUUCCUAUUUGUUCAUCACCGAACACCAACGGUUGAACUUACCUUACCGCUCAAGCUCCAAACAAACCAAAGAAAAUGGGAUAGAAAGGUAAGAAACAUAGUACUCCAGCCUCUCACCGUCGUUGUUAGGCCCUCCCGCACCUCCGACUGGUGCUCCGGGGCUUGGUCUCGAUGCAUAUUCUCCCAGUCCAGCCUCUAAUAUUGAUGAGGCAACACAGAGUCUCAAAAAUACAACUCUAAUAAUCUUGGAACUCUUAUCAUAAAAUUUACAGCAUUGCUAUGUGUACACUACAAGUUACACCUACACCCAAUGCACUGUUCACAAAUACCGUAAACAGUGUCGUGAACAGUAAAUCACAGUGAUGUGAACGGUACAUGAACAAUAUCAUGUGAACCGCGCAUGAACAGUACUCCUGUGAACAGUGUCUAUAUACUGUUCAUGAAUAGUGCUUUAUAUAUUAAAAUAAAAUUGAUUAAUGAAAGGUAAAAAAAUGAUUAACGAAGUUAUGAAGUUGGUUAAUUAACAUCCAAAUAUAAAAAUAAUUUUUAGUUGUAAAACAAAGUUAAUUAAUCAAAUAUUAAAUAUUGGUUAAUGAAAUUAUAAAAUUGAUUAAUCACACGAUACUCUUAAAUAAAAAAAUAAAAAAAUAAUAACUUUUUUAUAUAUUUUUAUAAAAUAAUAUUUUAUUAUUGUAAUAUUUCACUGUUCACCGUAGUGAACCGUAAAAUACGGUGUAGUGUAUGGUUUAGUGUAGGAAUAUCAUUUCUCUAAAAUUUAACAUAAAUGACUAACUAAUUUAACAAAAUAGUUUUUAAAUUAGUUUUUAAAUGACUAAUAUACAACUUUUAUUAGAUAAGAGAUUAAAAUAAAAUCUAAAAUUUAGAUAAAAAACUCCAUCAUUAAUUAAAUUAUAAAAAGUAAUGUCUCUACUUUUUUUAAUCUUACUUUUUUUAAUCUUAAAUAUAAGACUCUAUUUUUUUUUAUCCUUAAAUAUAAGAGAUCAACGUCCUCUCUAUUUCUUAUUUUCUUCAUUUUAAAAACUAACAAUCUUGCUUAAAAAUUAUAAUAUUUCUAUCUAAUAGAAAAAUAGAUAGAAUUGAAAAAACUAAUUAAUAUUGUAAUAAAAAUUGAAAAUGGUCUUUUAUUUUAAAACAUUUUUAAUUUAAAAAAUAAAUCAGUUAUUACAAAUAAAAAGAGUAAAAAAAGGUUCAAAACAAUGUUCAAAUAGUGAAUAAAUAUUUUUUGAUUAAAAGAGAAAUAUUAAGUUAACACCUAAAAUUACAUCAACACGGUAUAUAAAUAUUAUAAGAUGUACCUUUUGUUUUUUUAAAUAUUUUUUUUCAUACUUUGGUUUUUGUGUCAAAGUUAAAAUAUUUAAAAAAAUUUACGGUAUAAAUAAGGUGUAAAGUUAAUAAGUGUCAACAUAGCACCACUGUUCAUUUAAUGAAAACAUUAGUCAAUUUAUUUGUUUCACCCUAGAAAAGAUCAUAAUUGCUUCAGCCAUAAAAUUAAAAGAAUUGAAUACUCCAUCUACUUUUUAUUCCCUUUUGUUUUUUCACACGUGUUAAAAAAUGUAAUAAUUGUGGUAUGAAAAAGAGAAAUUAUAAAAGGCUUUAUAAAAUUGUUUUUCAUUAAAAAGAUAAAUUAACAUAAUUGAAAAGGAAGAGAAUAAUAAAUAUUUAAGGGUAUAAUAGAAAAAAUAAUAUUAAUUAUUCAUUGAUAUUAUAAAACGAUUUAUAUUGUAGGAUAAAAUAUUUUUCCAAAACGACUUAUAAUAAAAAACAAAAAUAGUAUUUGACAAUAGAGUACUUAAUCCAUAUUCUAGUUAAUUCAAUUGAGUUUAUAAUUGUUACAAUGCAAAUAUUUAAACUUGCAAUAUUUUAUUUAUUUAUUUAUUUUUAAGAGGUUAAAUUAUAAUUAUUAAAAUGUUAAAAACAACAUAUUAUAAUGCCCAAGAAAUAAGUAAUUUCUAUGAAAAAAACAAGAAAGUUUAAAAAAGAUUAAAUUUUUUUGUAUUGUGUAGUUUUCAAAUGAAUCAUUUUGCUCUAACCAAAAAUCACUUCCCUUAUUUAAACUGUGAGUCUGUGAGUACACACUUUGUCUAAGAAAAAUAAGUGAGUAGUCACAACAUCAAUAAAUGCAUUAAUAGGUGUGUAACAACCCAAGAUAAAGCAACGUACAAUAUAUCUGUUUUAGAUUUCAGAUACAAGCAAACAAUCAUAAUGAACACUUUUAAAAUCAUUAGUUAACAUUUUUUUUUCAAUCAAGUAAUUAUACACAUGGACAACGUGGAUUCAAGGUUAUAUGAAUAAAUGUUAUAAACCCGGAAAAAAUGUUAUAAUAAAUAUUAUAUUUUCUCUGUUCCUUUUUAAUUAUUCUUUUUAUAUUUUUUUAUGGAUAUCGAUAAAAUUACUAAAAGGGACCGACAACAAUUUUGCCAUUUUGCCCUCCCUACAUAUUAGUAGCAUUUUGUCCAUAUUUCUUUCCACUAUUUUGCCCUUCCUACAUAUUAGUAGCAUUUCUCCAUAUUUCUUUCCACUUUGCCACCCCUACCUAUUAAUAGCAUUUUGCACAUACUUCUUUUUAUUUAAAGACCUUCAUCACCCAUGUUAGUUGCAUUUUGUCCAUGCUUCUUUUUAAUCACAAACUAUAAGAAAAAACAACGCUUUAAUUGAUGACAUUAAAUAAAGAAGUUUAUAUAAUUUAUCUUUAAUUUGUAAACACAUUUAAUUAAAUGCAUAGUAUAAAUGGUAUAAAAUAUUAUUAAUAUCUUACUGUAAAAUUAAAAUUUAAUGUAACUUAUUAUUUUAUCGUAUUUGUAAUUGUAAAUCUUAUAUUAUCUUUUUAAAGAAACGCUAAAUAAAUAAAUAUUAAAAAAUAUGAAAUAAAAAAAUAGAGUAUUAUUAACUUUGACCAAUACUAAAGGUUUUGUAAAUUUUUUAUAUAAUGUAAACUUUGAAAUAGAAUAAUUGUGAAAAUGUCUUUAUUUUUUAUUUAAACAAAAUUAUUUAGAGAGAUGAAAACAAAAAUUGUUAUAUUUAAAAGAUUAAAAACAUAUUUAAUUUUAUAAUUAAAUGUUAUAAAAUCAUAAAUUUUAAUUAAAAUAAAUAUUUAAUACAAUUGAUUAAAAUUAAUUAAAUAAUUUAAUAUUGUUGUUAAUUUACGUAAAAAAUAAAAUACCUUCCAAGUUGAUAAGAAUAGGUUCCAAAUUUAAAUACAGUAAGAAAAAAAAAUUCCAAAUUUAAAUAGUAUAUAUAUUACUUGAUUUAAUAUGGUUGAGAUUCAAACUUUAUAAAUCAAAAUCUGAACGAAGUUGAUUAUUACAAAUAAUAAGUCAUUAUGAUUUAAACUUGAUUUACUGUAAGAUGAACUUUUUCUUUAUUUUUCAUCUAAAAAAUAGUACUCAAUCACAUGUUUUUUUUAUAAAGAUUGUGAUAUAAAAGAGACAAUGUAGGGGAAUGAAGUCUUAAGCAGUUAUAUAAUAUAUAAAAUACAAUUAUUAUAUUUUCAUUCAUAUCAACACUCGUCAACAUAAACAUGUUAAUGAUUAGUAUCUAUAAGUCAAUUGAAAUUGAUAUUACAUAUUGUUGAAUUGAAAUUUCUUGUGUCGAAGUAGGUUGUUUGACAAAAACAAGGGAGUGUCGAACCACCUAAUAUGUUAAAUUGUGUUAGUGUUUCGAAGUGUCGAAGCAUGUUGUCUCACAUAAGAUUUCGACUUAGGUCUAUUUUAGUAGUGUUAGUUAUUUUGGGCUUUUAUAGUUUUGGGUUUUGCCUUGAGGUUCAAGUUAAUCUAAAUCUAUAAAUAGAGGGAGUAACCUUUAUUCUUGUAAUGAGGUGAAUAGAGUAUUCAUAACAUUGUAUUCACAGUAUUUUAUAGAGAGAAUAAUAAAUUUUCCACAGUUUGUGGGCAAAAAGAAACUUUGCAGAAUUUAAUUCUUCUUCUCCUUCAUUGUUCUUUACUUUCUUUCUUUCUCCAAUGUUCUUCUCUCUUCGUUGUUAUUGUGUGAGUAAUAACAAUCUUGUUCAUCAAGAUUGAUUGAAAUUCUCCAUAGAUUUUGGAGGAUUUCCAACAUCUGGUAUCAAGAGCUCUGGUUUAAUCGAUUCGUGGGAAGAAAAUCACCUUGACAACGAAUAAUCCAAACAGACAUUUUCCAGCAAAUCUUCCGAUUCUCAAGAACAAUAAUUAUGAGAAUUGGUGCAAGCAGAUAAAAGUUGUAUUCUAUUAUCAAGAUCUUUGGGAUCUUGUGAAGGAAGGAGUAACAACGCUUGCAGAAGACGCGACAGAUCAAGAAAAGGUUGCACAUAAGGAAUUGAAGAAGAAAGAUUAUAAAGCUCUCUUUAUAAUCCAUCAAUGUGUUGAUGCAGAUAACUUUGAAAAGUUAGCGAUGCAGAGUCAGCAAAAGAAGCAUGGGAAAUUCUAGAGAAAUCGUUUGGAGGCGCGGAGAAGGUGAAAUAGGUGAGGUUACAAACUCACAAAAGAACGUAGGAAUUGCUUCAAAUGGAAGAUAAUGAAAGCAUAACUAAUUUCUUCACCAAGGUUAAGAAACUAGCGAAUCAAAUCGAGGUAUGUGGAGAAGUGUUGACAUUAAGAUCUGUUGUUGGAAGGAUCUUGAGGUCGUUGGCUCCAAAGUUUGACCAUGUGGUAGUAGUCAUAGAAGAGUUGAAGGAUUUGUCAAAACUGACAAAGGAAGAGCUUCAAGGGACGCUUGAAUCUCAUGAACAAAGAAUGGCUGAAAGAGUUGCAGGAAAGUUGAAAAGUGAUAUGACUUUGCAGGCUCAAUUUGUAAAAGAAAGAAAAGGCAAAGGAAGUUGGAAUGGCAACAAAGGCAAAAGAGGCUACAACCAUUCGACUGGUUGAAAUCAGGAAGAAGGAAACUGGUCGAAUCAGAGAAAAACCUGGAACCAAGGCAACCAAAGAGGUGGUGUUGCAGGUAGAGGAAGAGGUGGUGCUAAAAAGCCAUACAAAAGUCACAUUCAGUGUUACAAUUGUCAGAAGUAUGGUCAUUAUUCUAGUGAUUGUCCAGAAAAGUAGAAGAAUCAAGAAAAUCAUGCAAAGCUGGCGAAACAUGAAGAAGAAGAGACGUUGUUGAUGGUUACAACAAGAGAUGAAGAGAGAUUCAAGGACCAGUGGUACUUGGACUCAUGAUGCUCAUCACACAUGUCUGGAAGGAAAGAUUGGUUUGUCAACAUAAAACCCUCAAUAAAUAACAUGGUGAAAUUUGCAAAUGACAGCACUCUAGCAGCUGAAGGUGUUGGUGAUGUUAUGAUUAUGAGGAAAGAUGGCAAGAGGUCAGUAAUUUCAAAUGUGUUGUACAUACUAGGCAUGAAGAGUAAUUUUCUCAGCAUAUGGCAGUUAGUCGAAAAGAACUACAAAGUGUCGAUCGAAGACAAGAUGAUGAGAGUUCUCGACUUAAAUGGAAGGUUGAUCUUGAAGGCUCCAAUUCUCAUAAUAGAACCUUCAAGAUUGAACUAAAUGUGAUGGAGCAUAAGUGCCUUGCAACAGCAGCCAGCAAAGAUGAAUGGAUAUGGCAUUAUAGACUUGGCCAUCUCAAUUUCAAAGACAUCGGAGAUUUAAAGAGAAGAAAUAUGGUUUCAGAAAUACCAAAAAUCGAUAUUCCAAACGAAGUGUGCCAAGAAUGUGUGCAGGCGAAGCAGCAUAAGAACAACUUCCGUAAGGAUGCAAGAAGCAGGUCGAAGGCAAUUCUUGAAGUCAUAUACUCUGAUAUAUGUGGUUCUCUCCAGGUGGAUUCGAUUGGAGGUAACAAAUACUUUGUUACAUUCAUAGAUGAUUUCAGUCGAAAAAUGUGGUCUUAUCUGAUCAAGAAGAAAAGUGAAGUGAUCGAGGUAUUUUCCAAGUGUAAAUCUAUGAUCGAAAGACAUAGCGGUCGAAAGAUCAAGAUUUUGAGAGCUGGUGGUGGUGGAGAAUAUGUGUCGAAAGACUUUGACGCAUUAUGUGUGAAAGAAGGGAUUGUGCAUGAGGUGGUGCCACCCUACACUCCACAGCAGAAUAAAUUCGCAGAAAGGAAGAAUAGAACCAUCAUGAAUAUGGUUAGAAGUAUGUUGAAAGGAAAGCAUAUAUCCAAAGAAUUAUGGGGAGAAGAUGUGUCGACUACGACAUAUAUCCCGAACAGAUGUCCGACGAAUAAGCUAGAAGGAAUCACGCCAGAAGAAUGUUGGUCUGGUGUCAAUCCUAGCUUGAGUCAUCUAAGGGUGUUUAGAUCUAUAGCAAAUAGACAUGUGCCAGAUCAGUUGAGAAGAAAACUUGUCGACAAUUAGAGUCAAAUGAUCCUGAUAGGAUAUCAUUCAACUGGAGGAUACAAGUUGUUCGACCCAGUGAAUAAGCAAGUGGUAAUCAGCAGGGACAUGAUCAUAGAUGAGCUUAAGAAGUGAAACUGGAAUAAGAAUGUCAAGAAAGAUUCAGUAAGAAUCUUUUGUGAUGAACCAGCUAGUGAAGUCGAAAGAGAAGUUCGCUAGGAAGAAGUCAGAGGUGAAGCAAGCACAAGCAGACCUCAAAGAACAAGAUACAUGCCUGCAAGGUUGCAAGAAUGUGUGAUUACAUCAGAUGAUGUGGUCAAUGAAGAAAGUGAGUUGGUACAUUAUGCUUUCUAUGCAGAUGUCAAACCUGUCAAUGCAGUUGAGGCAUUGAAAUAUUUGAAAUGGAUGAAAGUAAUGGAUGAAGAGUCGAAGUCAAUCGAAGUCAACAACACUAGGUCACUUGUCUAAUUUCCCUAAGACAAGAAGGAAAUCGAUGUGAAGUGGGUAUACAAUGUGAAGUUGAAUCCUAGAGGAGAAGUGACUCGACACAAGGAGAGACUUGUGGCGAAAGGAUUUCUUCAGAAAGAAGGAAUCGACUUCGAUGAAGUUUUGCACCUGUUGCUAGGAUCGAAACAAUCAGGUUGGUUAUUGGUCUAGCAAACAUGAACAACUGGCAGAUGUGUUAGUUGGAUGUGAAAUGUGCAUUCCUUAAUGGCCCCUUAGAAGAAGAAGUUUAUGUUGCACAACCAGUUGGGUUUGUGAAACAUGACGAAAAAUGAAAAGUGUACAGGCUGCAUAAAGCCAUGUACGAACUUAAACAAACUCCAAGAGCUUGGAACAAUAAGAUAGAUGGAUUUCUAAGGUAGAAGGAAUUUGUAAAGUGCAAAUCUGAACAUGGAGUAUAUAUAAGAAGAAGCAAGAAUUAAUUGCUUAUACUAUGCCUUUAUGUCGAUGACCUGUUGAUAACAGAUAGUUGCAAGAAGGAGAUCGAGACUUCAAAGGUGAUCUCAACAAGGAAUUCGAAAUGUCGGAUCUGGGUGAUAUUUCAUAUUUCCUUGGCAUCGAAUUCUACAAGAGUGGUAGAGGUUUUGAUGCAUCAAAGAAGGUAUGCAGGCGAAAUACUCAAGAGAUUUGAGAUGCAAGAUUGCAACCCAACUUUGACUCCAACUGAUCCUAGAUUACAACUGUCGAAAGAUUCAGAUGAAGAUGAUGUCGACCCAACCUAAUACAGGAGACUUAUUGGGUCACUUCGAUACCUUUGUCACACAAGGCAUGACUUAGCAUAUAGUGUAGGUAUGGUGAGUAGGUUCAUGCAGAAGCCAAAGGUAUCACAUCUAGCAGCAGCGAAGAGGAUACUAAGGUAUCUGAAAGGAACUAUUGACUAUGGAUUUUUGUUUCCUGCAGCUGAUGAAGGAAAAGAAUGCAAAUUAGUGGGAUACACCGACUCAAGUUAGUGUAGUGAUGCUGAGGAUCGAAAAUCCAUAGCUGGUUAUGUGUUUAUGCUAGGUGAUGGACCAGUUGCUUGAAGUUCGAGAAAAGAGCCAGUAUUGGCAUUAUCAUCAUGCAAAGCAGAAUACAUAGUUGCUUCUCUUUGUGCAUGUCAAGCAACAUGGAUGGUGAAUCUAGUCAAAGAGAUAAUAGUGAAGAGUCAUAGAGCAAUUACCAUGAAGAUCGACAGCAUGUUAGCUAUCAAUCUGACGAAGAAUCUGAUAACACAUGGUUGAAGCAAGCACAUCGAAAUGAGGUUUCAUUAUCUUCGAGAGAAGGCAGCAGAUGGGAAGAUGAAUGUGGAACACUGCAGAAUUGAGAAUCAGAAUGCAAACAUCAUGAUGAAGGGAGUGCAGAUCGAAGUGUUCAGAAGACUAAGAGCUAUGAUGAGUACAUAUAGCUUAGACAUAAUGAAUUAGGUGGUGUGCUGAAUUGUAAUUCCUUGUGUCGAAUCAGGUUGCUCGACAGAAGCAAGGGAGUGCCGAACCACCUAGUAUGUUAAGUUGUGUUAGUGUGUCGAAGUGUCGAAGCAUGUUGCCUCACACAGAUUUCGACUUAUGUCUAUUUUAGAAGUGUUAGCUAUUUUUGGGCUUUUAUAAUUUGGAGCUUUGCCUUGAGGUCUAAGUUAAUCUAAAAUUAUAAAUAGAGGGAGUAACCCUUAUUCUUGUAAUGAGAAUAGAGUAUUCAUAACAUUGUAUUCACAGUAUUUUGCAGAGAGAAUAAGAAGUUUUCCACAGUUUGUGGGCAGAGAGAAACUCUGCAGAAUUUAAUUCCUCUUCUCCUUCAUUGUUCUUUACUUUCUUUCUUUCUCCAUUGUUCUUCUCUCUUCGUUGUUAUUAUGUGAGUGAUAACAAUCUUGUUCAUCAAGAUUGAUUGAAAUUCUCUAUAGAUUUUGCGGGAUUUCCAACACAUAUUACCAUAUUAGUAAGGAUCCAGCUAUAAAUCUAAUUAAGUUAUUAAAAAUGGUUUUUAAAAGUAUUAACUAAAAAAGAAAAUGAUAACAAAAAAUUUAAAUUACAAAGAACUAUUUGAAAAAUUAGUAAACUUAUGUAUAUUUAGAUAAUAAUUUAACUUUAACUUUAUUUAUGUAUAUACAAUAAUUUCACAUUUUAACCUUUAGAGAAUGUUAUGUCAUACACAAGUCAAACUAUAAUGAGAUUCCAAAAUAAUAUAGAUCUUUUAUUAUAAUCAGUCUCCUUAUUGAGGAGAUCAUUGAAGAAGCCAUGUCACACUCUUUAUCAAUGUCUGCAUGUAAAUUGUUGUCUAGAGGAUCAGUAUGAUAUCUUGAUUGUUUUGCAAUUAGAUAACAAUAAAAUCAGAAUUUUGAAAGAAAAAAUAUUCUAUCUUAUUUUAGAAAUUUGAGGCUCAUUUGUUACCUAUAUAUAAAAAGAUUUUACCUUAAUAUAUAAAGAGUUUUACACCGUUAAUUCAUCACUAUUAUCCGUUUGUCUCUAUUCUUUUAUAUAUAUAUAUAAUAUAUAUAUAUAUAUAUAUAUAUUAUAUAUAUAUAUAAUAUAUAUAUAUAUAUAUAUAUAAUAUAUAUAAUAUAUUAAUUAUUACAAUUAAAUAUAUCAAUAUUUUGAUUAAUUGAUUGUAUAAAAUUCUUUUAUAUUGUCACUAUAAUUUAAGUUAUGAUCAGAUGAAAGCAAUGGAUUUUUGGACCAUUGUUCAAGUACAAGUUUGUAAUAAUGAUAGUAUGUAGUAGUUUAGAAAGAAAAAAAACAACUUUCAGAGCAACAUGCAUUAUGAUUUGACGAUUUUGUUUUUUAAAAUAACCAAUUUUUUCAAUUUAAAUACUAAAAUAAUCUAUUUUUUAAAUUAAUUACCGAAAUAACCACCUUUCAGUACUGAUGCGUCAGUUGAACUGGCGCAUCCAACUACCAUUCAAAAGAGGCGCCCAAGCAUUUGGCACAUGCUUGCAAUGCUAAUGGACUUAGGCGCCCAAGCAUCUGGCGCAUAAAUGUGUACUUGUGACUGGACGUCACAUGCAUUGGCACAUGCAUGUGCCAUGUGUGUGUGGCGCCUAGGACAAUGAUGCAUGCAUGUGUGUGUUGAUCUAUAAAUACACAGUGCAUCUCCCAUAAUUUUUCACAAAACUUCUUACCCUCCUUCCAUUUUCCUUCAUUUUCCUUCAAUCUCCUUCAUUUUUCAUUUCUAUAACCAUGUCUGAAUACUCAUAUAUUCACAAGAGAAAUGUCAAUUUAAUCUUUUUAGUAGUGUCGUCAUUAAAGGGGACAUUCUCUGGCUGCACUGCUGAAAAGAUUAAAUCGAUAUUUUUCUUAUGAAUAUAUGAGUAUUCAGACAUGGUUAAAAAAAAUAAAAUUGAAGGAGAUUGAAGGAAAAUGAAGGAAAUGGAAGGAGGGUAAGAAAUUGUGUGAAAAAUUAUGGGAGAUGCACAGUGUAUUUAUAGAUCAGCACACACAUGCAUGCGUCAUUUCCCUAGAUGCCACACAUAUAUGACACAUGCAUGCGUUAAUGCAUGUAGUGCAUACUCACAAGCACACAUUCAUGCAUCAGAUGCUUGGGCGCCUAAGCCCAUUAGCAUCGCAAGCAUGCGUCAGAUGCUUGGGCGCCUUCUUUGAAUGGUAAUUGGAUGGGCCAGUUCAACUGACACAUCAAUAAUGAAAGGUGGUUAUUUCGGUAAUUAAUUUGAAAAAUAUGUUAUUUUAGUAUUUAAAUUGAAAAAAAUGGUUAUUUAAAAAAAUCUGAUUUGACAGUACUCAAUAACAUUGUUUAUAAAGAUAAAUUCACAUACAAAAGUUGUAUCUCUGGCUUGGCUUCAUUGUAGGUUCAACACAAAAAAAAAUGAAAAAUGAAAGAGGUUAAUUUAACCAAAGAACAUGAUAGAGAAAAUAAAAAAUUAUACUAAGAUAUUGAUGCAUGUGUGUUGUUGCUCAAGAAUGGGAUAAAUAGAGGUUUGUUCUCAACUUAGUGACAUCAUGAAAAAUAGAAAAUCGCGUAAGAAGAAAUUGUAAAAAAAAGAGACUUAAAUGCACUUUUGUUUCUCCUAGUUUGAGCGUUUUAAACAAUUGAUCCCCUAUUACAAAAUCAGUGAUUCUUGUUUUAAUUUAUAUUUUUAGAAAUUAAUUAUUUAAAAUUUUGAAAAGAAUUACUGAACCUAGGCCCAAUUCAUUAUUGCAUCUAUUUCAAGCUUGAGCCCAAGAAGACAUUGGGUAUUGCAUUGUUGACCUUUAUAAACACUAAAAUUAUUUAUGAAAAAAACAAUGUGGGACUCUAGUGCAAUUGCAAGCUUGUAACAUUUCACCAUCUUCUUUGACUUCAUCUUCCAACUGAUUCUUACUAAACACAAUAAUGUUUAAAACCGUUAGGCCAAGGAAAAGGAGACGUAUACCCAUCGGGAGCAGGAAUAAGGCAACACAAUUUCUCCUCUUGAGGUGGACAAUGUUUUUCCCUAUAAAUCAUAUUUUCUCUUGGGAACGUCAUUUCCCGGUCUUGCUCUUGGCAAGGUGUAUAAUCAGUAUAUUUUACAUCACACGCUUUAAACUUUUUAGCUUUUGGUUCAAAUGAUGCGACAAUAUCUACAUAUUUGUGAUGGGGUUCAAAACUCAAAUUUGGCAUAAUGUUGCAAUCUUUAUGCAUCUUGUUUACCUUCAACGCAAGACUGUCUCCCUUUCCGGAACCACUUCUUUUCCAUACUCCCAAAUAAUAAAAAGUACAACAUAGAGCAAGCACAUUGAAAAUCAACAAAUGCCUAUGUGUUCUGUUGCCCGAUGUGGCAUUUUUAGAACCCAUUAACUCAUCGGUUUUCUCUCAAACUUUUUUCAAACAAUCAAAUCUAUGAAAGUUUGCAUUGAACAGUCACAAGUUACAUUAAAUGUAAAUCAUAAUCACAAAUCAAGCAAAACCAACCACCUACAUUGAACCACUGAAAAAAAUAAUCACCAAAGCUCGAAGUGUUCGAUGCUAACAAAAUAAAAAUGUUACAUGCAGAACCGAAACUAGCAAAGAAAUACAUAAUCCAUAUAUAUAUAUAUAUAUAUAUAUAUAUAUAUAUAUAUAUAUAUAUAUAUAUAUAUAUAUAUAUAUAUAUAUAUAUAUAUAUAUAUAUAUAUAUAUAUAUAUAUAUAUAUAUAUAUAUANNNNNNNNNNNNNNNNNNNNNNNNNNNNNNNNNNNNNNNNNNNNNNNNNNNNNNNNNNNNNNNNNNNNNNNNNNNNNNNNNNNNNNNNNNNNNNNNNNNNNNNNNNNNNNNNNNNNNNNNNNNNNNNNNNNNNNNNNNNNNNNNNNNNNNNNNNNNNNNNNNNNNNNNNNNNNNNNNNNNNNNNNNNNNNNNNNNNNNNNNNNNNNNNNNNNNNNNNNNNNNNNNNNNNNNNNNNNNNNNNNNNNNNNNNNNNNNNNNNNNNNNNNNNNNNNNNNNNNNNNNNNNNNNNNNNNNNNNNNNNNNNNNNNNNNNNNNNNNNNNNNNNNNNNNNNNNNNNNNNNNNNNNNNNNNNNNNNNNNNNNNNNNNNNNNNNNNNNNNNNNNNNNNNNNNNNNNNNNNNNNNNNNNNNNNNNNNNNNNNNNNNNNNNNNNNNNNNNNNNNNNNNNNNNNNNNNNNNNNNNNNNNNNNNNNNNNNNNNNNNNNNNNNNNAUAUAUAUAUAUAUAUAUAUAUAUAUAUAACUUACUUUUCAUCUUUAAUUACAUGCUGCAUAACUAUAUAUCUAUAAUUAUACAUGCGGCACAGUUUGAGUUCAAGUUUUGAUUUAGAAUGUACUAUAAGGUAGUUUUGUAGCAUUAUCUUUAUCAAGGACAUAUCUUAUGGAAGGGGUUUGCUACUUAUAAUACACAAAGACAAAAAAAGUGUUGAAAAAUACUAAUAAUUUAUACUAUUUUGUCUUAUAUCAUAAAAUCCAAAUAAUUACUAAAAAAGUUGUAUUAUUAUACUGCACACUACAACAGUCGAUUAAUCCCAAAUUUGUAUUGUUUUGGUGGAUCGUGUAAAGAUCUAAUAAGAUGAUAAGGAAAAGAGAAAACCCGAAAAAUUAACUCAUAAAAAUUGAAACUUUAUGAUGCAAAUGUGACAAAAAUAAUGAAUGAUAUAAACAUAUUGAAUUGUAAGGAAAUGGGUAAUAGAAAAGCAUAACAACAUUAUUUUAAACAUUGUUGCCUUAUUCCUGCUCCUGAUGGGUAUACGUCUCCUUUUCCUUGGCCUAAAAGUUUUAAACAUUGUUGUGUUUAGUAAGAAUCAGUUGGAAGAUGAAGUCAAGGAAGAGGGUGAAAUGGCAUAAGCUUGCAAUUGCGCUAGAGUCCCACAUUGUUUUUUUCAUAAAUAACUUUAGUGUUUAUAAAGUCAACAAUGCAUAACCCAAUAUCUUCUUGGGCUCAAGCUUGAAAUAGAUGCAAUAAAGAAUUGGGCCUCGACUAAUAAUUCUUUUCAAAAUUUUAAAUAAUUAAUUUUUAAAAAUAUUAAUUAAAACAAUUAAUUAUUAAUUUAUUCUAUAAAAAUUAUUAAUUAAUAAAUUAUCCUAGUCAUCAAUGACGUAUCACUAAAAAUUAUUUUUUUAUCACAAUCAUCAAUGCCACAUAUGCAAAAAUGGAUGGGGUCCAUAAAAAUCCAAAGACCAUCAAAAUUAAGGGAUCAAAAUCACUGAUUUUGUAAUAGGGGGACCAAUUGUUUAAAACGCUCAAACUAGGGAGACCAAAAGUGCAUUUAAGUAAAAACAAUGCGUGUUUAUUGAAAAUGAAAACAGUAAUAAUGAAAAUAAAUGGGUACGGAGGGAGAUUUCUUUUUACAUGACUCGCCUUUGAGAUCUCUUACUUGAAUUCAUUGUUAAAUUUUAGGCUAAAAUAGUUUGCUGGUCCCUACGAGUUAGCGAGUUUUUGGUUUUGGUCGCUGUAAUUUUUUUUGUCAAAGUCCUUAUAUCUCACUUUUUGUGUUGGUUUUAGUCCCCAAAGUCAAAGUACGCAUGAAAAUCCGUAGGUUUCCUACAAAUUUUUCUUCAGAUUUUCCUGCGGAUUUUACUUUUAGGGACUAAAACCAACACAAAAGUGAGAUAUAUGAACUCAAACUAAAAUAAAUAAAUUAUAUGGAACAAAAUCAAAAACUUGCUAACUUACAUGGACUAAAAGACAAUUUAAGCCUAAGUUUUAUGUAUGGUUUUGUCACCUAUUGCAAAUAAAUACAAAAACCAUAAAUAUUUGUUAAGGGUAAGGAGGAAGAUUUCUGAUAAGAACAAACCAAACUGGAAAAAAAUUAAAGCAUAUUAAUAAAAAAAAAAUAAGCAUGACUUACAUUAACAAUGAAAAACAUAAUCAUGAAAAAACAAUGAAAAACAAAAAAACUUCAUAAGAAGAAAUCGAAAAAAAAUUAGAGAAUGUUUAUUGAAAAAGAAAACGAUAAUAAUAAAAAUAAAUGGAUAUGGAGGGAGAUUAUUUUUAACUUAACUCAACUUUGAGAGGGGUUACUUGAAUCCUAACUUAGCCCCAAAUAAACUUAAAAUCGUGUAAUAAAAACUGAAACAAAAACAAACAAAAAUUGAAACAAAAACCAAAAGGAACCCUGUAAAAAAUUUCAAAUCCAUGUUACAACAUAACAACUUUGAAAGGAAAUAUUUAACAAAAUGUGCUAUCCCUAAAUAACAAAAGAAUUAUGCAAUUAAAAAAAUAAUCAGGUUAGGAAUAAGAGCUUGUUAAAAUAAAAUGAAAAACAUUAGGGUUUGUAAUACAUUUUUUAUAGAUUUAGAGACAUUUUACUUGGUUGAUCGGUUGGAGAUAUGAAUGAGAUGAAGUUUGCAUAAAAUGUUUCAAAUGGGUUGGAGAAAAGGAGACGAGGUUUAUAGAGAAGACUUCAAAUUGGUUGGAGAGGUGAAGGAGAUGAAGAUUGUUGAGAAAUUUAGAAAUAGGUUGGAGAGAUGAAAAAGAUGAUGUUGGUAGAGAAGGUUUGCAGAGUAUAUUUGAAGUAGGUUGAGGAGAGAAUGAGAUGAAGGUGAUUAGAGAGACAGAGAUUUCAAAAAAUUGGAAUAGAAUGGGGGGGGGGGGAGAAUGAGAUGUAUGUAAUGGAAUUGAUAUGAUUGAAGAUAAUUUGUGAUGGAAAAGAAAAGAGAUUGAUUUGACAUAUAUUUAGUUUACAAUUAGAAAUAAAUAGUUCAAUUGAGAAAUGUGGAAGAAAGAGUUGAAAUAGGUGCAACUGAAGCAAAAAAAUAAUUUUGAGUAGAACUAGAGGGGUUGCUUGUAAGAACAAGUUUGGUUCUACAUCUACAUACAUUUAUGUUUUGAUGAUAACAAAAUGUAGAAGAACAAUUUUGUACACGAAUUGUUUGUUAAGUGUGCAGAUACUCAAAGAUCAGAACAAAAUCUAAAUGGAAAGACCAAAUACAAAUUCUGAUCUAGGAACAUCAAUUGUUUGUCUAGAGACAACUCUAAUGUUUGAAGACUCUAAAAGAAGCCAACUAUGAUUGUCAACUCAGAAGACAACAAAGGAAAAUGGAAAGAAAACUUCAAAUCAAAGCAAAGUAUGAAGCAAGGUCUGAAUGACAUCAAACUAUAAAAACCAGACUCUAAAGAUAAAUAUGCCAUUGAAGAAAUCAAUUUGAAUAUAGACGGGGUUUGAAGAAAGCAAAAAGAAUAUUGAAGAAAGGAAAAAACACAUGUUGAACAAAGGAAGAACACAAAGAUGUGUUUUUCAGAAAGUCGAGCUUCAAGAUUAUCAAGUCAACGUUUCUAAAAAGAAACCAUCUAGAUAAACUCUGAUAAAUCUUUGAAUACAAGUGUGUGCAAGUCUCAGAACUUAGUACUCAAAGGACUGUAAAGUCUCUCAAAUGUUCUGAAGACAACUUUUGAAUUCUAAUCAAGCUUCACCAAGUUAUAUUAGAAGCCUCUGACUAAAAGAUGGUAAGCAAAUGAAAUAUUCUCUUACAAUUAACACAUCUGAGUUGUGCAAAGUAUUAAAUGCUUAUUCAUUUCUUGUUCACAUUCACUCUGGAUUGUAGUACUUUCAAGCCUCACUCUAUAUAUACUAUGUAGUCUACUUCAUCUAGGCUCUGAACUCUGAUCAAGUUUCACUUCAUAUAUUAUAUGAAGCCUCUGAUUAUGACUAGUAGUAUACUCAAGGAAAGUACAAUCAAAAAGAGAUUUCUUUAUGAUGACAAUUAUAAUCUCUACUCAAGCUUCAAAACCACUUUCGUGAGAAGCCUCUGACUAAGAAGAUUUGAAUUAAAGGUCUUUACUAUUUUAUAUGCCAGAAGUUUAAAAAGCAAAUUUACUUUUAAAGGAAAGAAGACAUCUCACAUCCCAUAAUCAAAUAACUCUCAGCUGCAAGUGUCACUCAACUGCUGCAUAUGAAGCGACUUUCAUACAAAAAAUACUUCAAAGGUAAAUUCCUAUUCUACCAUCCAACAUAUCUAUCCUCCACCAGAUCCAUCAUCCCUUAUAUAUUCUGAAUAAUAUGGAAGGUGAAGAUGCCGAGAGUGAGAGAGCAAGCAUAAAAUAAAGAAUAAAGUAGAAAGGAAGAAAGAGCAUAUGGAAGCAAGCAUUUGGAUGUUGUGAAUCUUAGCAAAUGCUGAAGCUACAACACCAUAACACAACAAAGAGAGAAACACUUAGAACUUUCAUUGUAUAUAUUUUUUAGUGUAAUCAUAUGUACUUCAUCUUGUGUAAUAUGCUUAUCUAAGAAGCACUAUUGUAAACACAAAUUGUGUUAACCCAAUCUUGUUAUGUUAACCCAGAGAAGUCUAUUCUCUUACAGUUAACACAUAUGAGUUAAACAAAUUAUUAAAGGCUUCUGGAUUUCCUAUUCACAUUCACUCUAAAUGUAGUACUUUCAAGCAUCACUAUGAAUAGACUUUGUAGUCUACAUCAUCUAGGCUCUAGAAUCAGAUCAAGCCUCACUUCAUCUAUUAUAUGAAGCCUCUGAUUAUGAUAAGUAGUAUACUCAAGGAAAGUACACUAAAAAUAAGAUUUCCUUAUGAAGACAGAUUCUAAUCUCUACUCAAGCUUCAAAAUCACUUUCAUGAGAAUCCUUUGACUAAGAAGAUUUGAAUUAAAGGUAUUUACUAUUUAAUGUGAAAGAAUUUCAAAAAGCAAAUUUACUUUUAAAGUAAAGAAGACUUAUCACAUCCCAUCAUCAAACAACUCUCUACUGCAAGUGCCGCUCAACUGCUGCACAUGAAGCGACCUUCAUACAACAACUACUUCAAAGGUCAAUUCCUAUUCUACCCUCCAACGGAUCUAUCAUCCCUAUAUAUUCUGAAGAAUAUGGAAGGUAAAAAUGUCGAUAGUUAGAGAGCAAGCAUAAAAGAAAGAAGAAAGUAGAAAGGAAGAAAGUAGAAAGAAGAAAGUAGAAAGGAAGAAUAUGAGGUUAAUGAUUUUUAAAUUAAUGAUAAACCUUCAUACGAUGAAUUACAAAAUGCCUUCCAUGAAUUACAUGAGAAAAUGUUUGAAUCUUUCUAAAAAAUGUUCAAAGCAAAAGAAAAUAAUUCUAUCUCUAGAAAGUAAGGAUAAUUACAUGAAAAUGGAAUUAGACCAAGUCAAUACUUCAGGAUGUAAUAAAUGUCAAUCUCUUGAAUCUAAAAUUGUUGAAAUAAACCAAGUGAUAAAGAAAUAUGAAAAAUGUCAAUUUGGUUUGGAAAAUGGGCUAAGUAGACAAAACUACUCGAAUGAUAAAUAUGGAGAACCUCAAUAUUGAUAUCAUCAUUGACAUCAAAUUAAUAUGAAGAUAAGUACUUUUAUAUAUGUUGUACAAUUUUCCUUAUAUGUUUCUUUGGAUAUUAAUCCUUUUUCUUUUUGAUAAUGUCAAAAAGGGGGAGAAAAUAUGAUUUUUUUUUUGUUGUUAUUUUUUAGGAUACCAAAGACAAAAUAUAUAUUGCAAAAUAAAUGGGGAGAUAUACAAGAUAGGGGGAGCAAUCAAGUGUUAAGAAAAAAUUUCUCAUUAAUAUAUUUUGUCAUCAUAAAAAAUGGGGAGAUUGUGAAGAAGAUGUUUAUCAUAUAUCUUAGCUAAGUUUUGAUGAAGACAAAAGCUUAUCAUAAAAGAAAUAUCAAAGAAAAAAAAUUGGAAUCAAGUAUCACGAUUGCAUAAAUUUUGGAUAUUAUGGAAAUCAAAGGAUUGGACCAUGAGAUUAGGUAAAAUGGAAAUUCAUAUGUACAUAAAUAAGCUUUAAGUGCUCAAAAUAUUUUCAUCUAAACAAUUCUAAAAUUCUCAAACAUUCAUGCAUGAUUGUCAUUCGAGACACGUCUUUUAAAAGGAAAAAAUUCAAUUUCUUAAAGGGUAUAAUCGAUUAAUCAAUUGGUGCAAUCGAUUGUUUGUUUGCCACUGCCUUACAAAAUUGGAAACUUUGGAAGUGACCAAUCAAUUGAUGCAAACCUUACAAUCGAUUUAGGGGUCCUUUUGCCUUGAAUUUUGACAAUACAGUCGAUUGAUGUAAAUCCUAUCAUUAAUUGAUCCUUUUGAAUUUUGAAUUUUUUGAACAUUGCAUGCAGUACAAUCGAUUGAUCCAAGAGUGCAAUCAAUUGCUUCCCAAAGCUUUGUGAAAAAUUAUGAACCAAUAUGAUGCCUUUACAUUACAUUUGUUCAUGAAAGCUUUUCCUAACUGUUGCAUUCAAUCAUGAAUAUUUUCCAAACAUUUAUACUCAUUCAAGAGGCAUCUUGUGAUGUAUUUAAAUAAGAAUUUUAGAUCAUUCAUUAACCUUUAUCAAUCAUAAUUUUUCAAACAAUUCAUUUAUUUUCAAGUGUUCAUACACAAUAGCACAAAAACUUUUACUGUAUAACUUUCAAACAUCUGAGAAAAAGUUUCUUCAAUCAUUGAGCACUUAAGGUCUAUAUAUUCUUGUAUUGUUUAAUUUUAAGGAAGAUUAAAUUUUAGAAUAUUGGAAAGCAUUCAAAAUUGUUUGUACUUAAUAUAUCAUAUUGUUAUAAAGUUAUUCACAAAGUGUGUGGUGACAUAGUUUGUAAAGAAAGUUUGUGUACUUUCUAAAGGUGUUUAGAAAUAGGAAGUGAUGUUCUUUCAAUUUGUUGUAAAAAAAAUCUUGGAGAGAUUAAAAGUUCACCAUGGUAUUUGGUAUUUGUCUUGGAAAAUAUCAUUUGAAUUGGGUUGAUUCAAAAUCCAUCAUAGGUUUGGUGUGUAUUUGUUAGAAGAUUUUAGGAGAUUCAUGGUGUGGGGAUGUACAAAUAUAUAACAUAGUGAAAUACUUCAUAGGGUGUGAGGGCACUAGAUGUAUCCUUGAUUAGUAAGGGGAACUAAUAUACAUCUCAAUGUCAUUUAUUCUUUCUCUAUUUUUCUUUUUCUGCAAUAUUUUUUGUAAGUUCAUCAUUGUUAUUCCGGAAAAAUAAAAAGUAAACCACAUCUGCAAAAUAACGAGAAAAAUUUAUAUAACUUAAUUCACCCCUCUUAGGUCACACUAUGUACUUACAAGAUGUAGCGGAAAAUCAAAGUAUAGAAAUUAAGCAGAAAAUAAAAGAGAUUAGGGAAAAGAGAUGACACCAGAGAUUUAUAGAGGAUCAGUCUUAAAGAAGUGACCUACUCAUAUCCCUAAUAAUUAAUCUUGAGAGUAUCCAUUAAUGUUUGAGAGUUUUUAGAAAGUUAAGUCCAUGAACCCCUUUAUACAAGAAAAUGAAGUUUUAGGCUGACUUUUAAAUAACCAAAAAGUUUAGGCUUGAAGUGGUUACUCUCCAAACCAAACAACAAACAUAGCUUCGAAUAGUUAUCUCUAAGCCAAAUGGAGAUUUCAAACAUAACGAUCUUGAACCACAAUGGAGUUUUGAACUGACUAUCCUCUGAACCGAACUGAGGUUUUACACUGGUUGUCCAUGAAUAAAACCGAGAUUUAUAUCGGGCUGAUCUCAAAUCUAUUGAGUUUUUCCAUAGGCUGAACUCAAAAACUAAGUGAGACUUGACCCUAGUGUGAUCUCGAACUAAUAAAGCUUUUAACCGGGUUGAGCUCAAGAACUGUUGUGAGGAUUUUUCAUUGGUUAUUCUUCGCGAAUCCAAAAAAAUAGCUUUUCUUCAAUGUUGGAGCUCACGAACCAAACAAAGACUUGUAUUAAUCCUCCAAGAACAAACAAAGAGCCUUUAUAAUAGUUUAACUCCAAACCAAAAUAAUAAUUUCUUAAGGAAGAAUAAUUUACUUAAAAGAAAUCCGCUCUUGGUAAAUUUAUAAUCAAACCCUCACCCAGAACAAAUUUUUACCGAACUCAAGAACGCACUCAAAAAUCUAUGGCUAAAAUAUGUGGAAAAAGUAGAAAUGAUGUGGAGAGAUUUGAGAUAAAUGAAAAAAGAGUUUUUUCAUAUUUUUUUUGGAUGUUUUAAAAUGAUAUAAAAACUCUCUAUUUAUAGACAAAAAUAAUGUAAAUUUGAAAAUAAUCUAUGUGCCAAUUAAUUGUCCUAAUCAAUUUUCUAAUAGAUUAAAUACUUAUAAUAAUCGAUUAUUGCUAACCAAAAUGGAGAUUUAGAUAGAGAACCGUGAUAUCUUUAAGAGACUGUCGAACCAAAGCGGCAAUAAAUCUAAUCAAUUUGACACAUUAAAAAAUAUUUUUCUAAUAAAGCCAACAAUAUCCAAUUCAACUAGCUAGACUCGAGUAAUAUAUAUACUUUUUUUUUUAAUCAAAAAGUUAGAGGUUUUUCUAUGUUUUAAGUGCGUGUGACAAGUCCUCUGGUCGGGCCAAAAUCUCUGCUCUCAAAGCCAAAAAUAGUGAUUUGAUAAUUAGGGUUCUCGUGCAUCCAAAAAAUUUAGAUGAGGAUCAAAAAUUUAGACUUUGUAGAUGCCACUAAUGAAGUGGUGACGCUAAUUAAAGAAGAUAACCCUAUUUUGAAAAACAAGCAACUCCUAGCUAACUUGGGUAACUCUAGCAGGGCAACCAAAGUCUGAUGAAAUAGAUGAGGAUCAAAAAUAUAUUUUUUGAAGAAAAUUUCUAAUUUUUUAUUUGUUGAUUUAUAUUUUUUCAAUUACUAAAUAUGCCACAUUUUAUUUCUCCAAAAAUACAUACAAAUAUUUUAAUAGUUUUUUCGUUAAAAUUUUCUAUUUUCUAUUGAAUGCGAAAAGAAGUUUCACUAUAACAAAAAAGUAUUAUAUUAACAUAUUAAAAUAAAUACUGUUAAUAGUAAAUAAAAAAAAUAUAUAAAGUAGUACAUAUAAGAAAAAAUUGUAAUGAAAAAUCCAUUAAAUUAAAACAAAAAAUAUAUAUCAUGUAUCAUGCUACUUCAACAUAUUAUUAUUUUUUAUUUCUUUUAUUUUCGUUUAUUAAAAAAUUUAUUCACAAUACCUACCAAACAAUAGUUUGUCUUUUAAGAUAUCUACUAAAACUUGUAUACAUUAAAAAAAUUAUUCAAUUCUUAUUUAUAUAAAAGAUAACUGUUUGUGCAUUCAAAAAUUAUUAAAAUACUAUUUAAUGUUUUAUAUAAUAAUAAUAAUAAUAAUUAUUAUUAUUAUUAUUAUAAUUAUUAUUAUUAUUAUUAUUAUUAUUAUUAUUAUUAUUAUUAUUAUUAUUAUUGUUAUUAAUAAUGAUUGUGUCUCUUAAUAUUCCUUCAAGUAUAAUAUACACACACAAAAAAAUUAAUGCUAACUUUUCAGAUUCACUUUCACUCUAUAACCAUGACUCACAUAUUUAAUUUUAACUCAUUGGUAGACAAGUAAAAUACUGUUCUACAUUUUUGUUGGUAGAAAUAUAAAUUUUAAUUUCGGUUAUUCUCCAAUUAAAUUUGGGAGAAAUGAUUUCCAACUUUUUCUAUUAUAUAUCCUGUUUUUCUAUACAUAUAAAAUGUUUGUUCUUUUACUUUUCUAAUUUAAUAUGUUUUAUAUAGUUUAUUUUGCUACACAUCAUUUCUUAGAGAUGUACAUCUUCAAUUUACUUUCUCCUUGCAAUAAUUAAAAUAAUAAAAAGAUAUGUAAUUAUAUAGAUUUUUCUUUUAAGUAUCUUUUGUCGCACAUGACUUAAAUAUUGAAAUUUUUAACUUUAAAAAGUUACAAAACACUGGCUUUUACCAACAAAAUUGAUCUUCCUACCUAAAUGAAUGAAUUCCAUUGUGGAUAAUCUUAAUAACUGUAGAUAUUCAAAGAUAUAAUUUGAAAAAAUGCAUAAUAAAUAAUAGUAUUUUUUUUAUACACAUAAAAUAAACAAUCAAUUAACGUAAGCCACGACAUAUACCCUUCCACUAUAAUAUAUAAACAAAUAAAAAAACUAUGUAUAGAUGUUGUUUCAAACAAGUAAUUAACCAGCCACAACAUUUUAGAUUAAGUAAAUUAUAGACUAAACACUACAUAAAUAAUUAAAAUAUAGAUUGAUAUAUCUUUAUAUGUAUUAUAAGUUCAAUUAUUAAUAAAAACAUUAUAUAAAAAUAAUUGAAUAUAAAAUUUCUAAUAGUAUUAUAUUAUCUAUGUAAAUAUGAUAUAUUUUUCAAAUUAAAAAAUAUAACUAAAAUAUUUAAAUAAAAUUAUAAUAUAAAUUAAUAUGAAUUUCAUACUUCUAAAUAAUUUCUUUAUAUUUAAUAUAAUUUUAAAAUAUAUUUAAUAAUUGAAUUAGAUAUAAUCAUACUGACUAAAAUAUUUUUUUCAAAUAAAAUUAAUAUUUUAAUAAAUUUCUAAUUAAACUAAUAAUAAGUAGGUUAUGAGUUUGAGUUUUGAUAUAAUAUCUCAUUGCUCCAUUUUCAAAUUCAAUCUUUCAAUUUUGAUUUUAAACAUUCCCAGUUCAUAUACAAAAACAGGUCGAUGUCUAACUUUUUUAGUAGAUGACACAAGAAAGAAGAUAUAUUCAAUUAGGUGGGAGAUUAAAGCCGGUUGGAGACGGUUUUUAUCUCUUUUAAAAUAAUUUUUGUUUUUCGUCCUAAUUCCUAUCGAAAAUGGAGAAUUAAAAUUCAAAUUCAUCACAAAUUAGUUCGGGCAUCCUGCCCCACUAUCAUGUAUUUAGUAAAAUCAAUUUUUUAAUAAAAAAUUAUUUUUUCUAAAAUAAAAUUAUAAUACAAAUAAUAAAAUAAAAAAUUUAAAAUACUUCAUGCAUUCAUUUCAAAUAUUUUAAAUGUAUACAAAUCAAAAUAUAAAAAUAUUAAGCACAUUUUUAAUAUUCUAAAUUAACAAAACUAAAUAAUAAAAUACAUUAUGAAAUAAAUUGGGGUGACAGAUUCUGAGUGUGUACUAUUGUUCAUAUCAUCAGUCUAUUUUCAUAUUUUAUAAUCGGGAAAAAUUCAAAUCCGAAUUCAAAUUCAAUCAAAACGAAUUUUCCCCAUCAAAUUCAAAAUAUAUUUGGAUAGAUUCUGUGUAUACAAAUUAUGUUGUUAUGCCUAUAUAAAAUACCAUUUUAUUAUUUUUUAAACAAAGAAAAAAAUAUAAUAAAUAAGAAAAUGAAUGAUAAAAAAACAGGGACAUAAACCUAACUUGACCCUACAACCACAUGUCAUCUUUAAAUGAGUAACACAACAUAGAAAAUGCUAAGGGUGACAAAUGAGUAUGCACAACCCAUUUAGUCUCGUAAGGCAAAAAUUCCUAAAAAAUGGUUCAAGGCACAACGGAUAUUGUUAAAGGCGCGAGUUUAAAAUCUCAACUUAUUCUAAAAAAAAAAUAGAGUGAGAUAGGACGGUCAUAUGAGCUCAUACCUUUAUAGCUUAAAAAUUACAAAACAAAAAUAAUAAUGUAAAUAUUUAUGGCUACAAAAAUUUGCUAAAUAAUGGAACAUGGCUGAGCAAAAAUACUAAAGGAUGCAAACUAAAACUUUGACUCAAUUCGUCAAAACAUGUGAGAAAAACAGACAUGUCUAAAAGGUUGAGUCUAAUUUACAACUUUAAAUUUUAAGUCUAGUGUAAAGUAAAUAGAUAUAAUUUUUUCUUACUUAAAUUUUAAGUUUGUAAUAAAAGGAGAAAAAUGUUAAACGACAUUUGAUGAUUAAAUUUCUCAAAUGCCACAUUUUUAUUAGUUAUAUUUGGACACGUUUUUUGUAUUGAUUUAAUUAUUUGUUUAUUGAUUCAUGUUAAAUACAAAUAUAAUAUAGUUUUCUUAUGGUGAGAAAAUUAUAGAAACAAAAAUGGUAUGUCACGUUGUCAGUAGCAUGUGGUUUCAGACCGUAAACAUCAACAUCGUCAAUAUUGGUCCUUCCUAUGCCUACUAUGUUCACACCUCACACUUGCUUUUAAGAAAAUUUGUCGGUGUUUCAUAUUAUGGACAGAAAUAUUUAUGACUGAAAUUUAAGAGAAUAAGACGGUUGUUGAAUAAUUUAAGAGAUGAUAUGUUUUUAUAGGUGACUUUUACUGUGUUCUUUCGUGACUCUGUAACAUCAGUCUUUAAUAGAUAAAUAAGUUGUUGUUUUUCAAAAUGAUCCUAAAUUAUAAUCAUUUUCCAAUUUUAAUAAAACAAUAAUUUUUAGAUUAAAUAUUUUUUUAGUCUUGACUCGGAAUUCAGUUUAAUUAUUUAUUCCGUUCGUUUUUUUAAGUAUUUUUUUUAUAAAAAAGUUAUUUAUUUUAAUUGUCACUUCUAAAGUUUAAAAUAUUAUUAAUUUCAUUUUUAUUAAAACUACCAUAAAUAACUAUUACAGAGAAAAUAAAUAAAUAAAUAUAAUAAUUAAUUAAAUAUAUUAUAAAUAAAACAAGAAUUAUUGUUUGACAAACAAGAAUAAUAAUUUUUUAAAUAUAUGUAAAAAAUAAAAAAAUAAUUCUUAAAAAAAAUAUAAAGAGUAACUUUUAAAAAGAUCAUUUUAGAAUGUUAUUAACAACCUUAAUUCUCAUUAAUCUGAUAGAAUGAGAUGUAACAUUCAAUUUUUAUUAUCAAUUUAACAAUGAAAAAAUAGUCGCUAAAAGAGAUUUUUUUAGAUUUUAACAUAUUCUUCAUCUUCCUCAAAAGCUCAAACUCAAAAAAUAGAUUGAUAAGCUUGUUUUGGAUAGAUGAAUACAAAAUAAAUAUAACCCAUUUUUCUUAAUUUUGUCGUCUUAAAUUGUACAAUAAUUAAUUGCUUAGCUUGAAAAAAAAACCAUUACAAAAAAAAUCCAUUCAAACAAAACAUUCUCAUAAAACAUGCAAACAAAAAUCCAUUCAAACAAAACAUUCUCACAAAACAUAUAAAGAAAGUUAUAAAUUGGGUUGAAUUGGAAAAAAAGUAUUAUAAUAAUGGUGGCAAUAGACAGGACUCACGUAGUUGUGAAUUUUAUUUUUGAGAUAAAAAUUAAAUGUUUUUAUUAUUAUAAAAAAUAUAUUUUAUUUUGGUGGUGAAGGAGAUUUUACCUCAAUUUUUCAUGUGAUGUAAUAAAUGGCGUCAUGAAAAUUUACCACUUUACCACUGGAUUUUUAUUCCAUCUAGGGAACAAUUGUAAAAUUCAUUGGUUUGAUCUCCAUCAACAAUAUUUUUUAUUUUAAAAACUAUAAAGUGUGCGCCAUAUACCUCUCAUUUUUUGUAAAUAUACGAUAAAAAAUGAAUGUAUUUAUGUCGGUUAUAUCUAUUAUAACCGUGAUGUAUAACCUAUUUAUUUGUCAUCUAUAAUUUGUGACACAAUCAUAACAUUUUAUUUUAUACAAAACAUAACUAAAUAUACAAAGAAUACCAAAUUAUAUCGUUUACAAAAUAAAAUGUACACAUCCAAAAUGGUAAUAUUUGAAAAUAGAACCAUAUAAUACUUACAAAACCUAUAAUGACAUUUACGAUAAAAGAAAAGAAAAUUUUACUCAAAUAACUCACUUUUUAAAAAAAUCCCAAAAUAACCAACUUUUCAGAUUAAUUUCCAAAAUAACCCACUUUCAAAAAAAAGAGAAAACGUUAAGACGUAGGUGCCAGAUGAAUUGACGCAUACCCUUAAUUUUAAAGAGAGGACGCCAAUUGAAUUGACUACAACACAUGGUGUUGCCAAUCCAAUUGGCGCCCAUGUGUAAAAAGUGAGAGGAGGCGUCAAUUGGUUCGGCGCCUCCGUGUAUUGUGUAAUUGUUUUGUAUAAAUAGAGGUGUUGUGUGAUUCAUUUUUUCACAUCUCUUUUCAUUAUAUUGCAAACAUAUUUUGUCUUGGUUACCGCUAUGGAAAAGUGAUUUAUUCGAGAGACAAGCCUCCAACGAAGAUGAUAUUUUGGAAUAUCUGUCGUUUCGAGCAACUAAAGAGGGAAUUGGUUUGUUGGUUAGACGGAAACAUACCUGAAGGAGAAAAAAAAUAGAAGUAUUGAGAGACUCGAUGUCGUACGUAGAUGGGUGCGAGUAAAAAAUGAUAGGCAUGUAAGGGAAGUGGUGUCUGGAUCAGAUGAUAUCAAUUUGAUUGUUGUAAUCAGUUAGAAAUGUUGUUUUUAAAUAUUGUGGUUAAGUAUUUUUAUCUGUUUUGAUAUUUGUUGUUUGUGUUGUUUAUUCAACAUGUUCGAUUUUAAGUGUGUUUAAGUUGGAGUGAUGUUUGUUGUUAACCUUGUUGUAACAAAAAGUUAUUAAUAAUAUCAAAAUCAAAGGUUACAAAAAUUGAAACGAGGUUCUAGAUUAUAAUGCAGAGGUUACUCCGAGAUUGGAACUUUUUUCUUAUUAUGUUUCGGUUAACGACAUAUACUACAUAAUCUUAUCAUUUUAUUAGCCGUAUCCAUUUAUGUUCAAAUACGCGUGCUAUUUGGCCGUCCUUUUUUCUUUCCUCGCAUCUCAUCGUUGUGUCAAACUAUGUCCCCUUGAUAUGGAGAUCAAUAUUCCUCAAUUGCUAGCACUGAGAAGCUUUCGUUAUAGACAUUCAUGACACUAAUGGCCUUGUAAACAUCAGAUAUAUGGUUGUAAGCAUCCUGACGAGUAUGUGUGCAUGCCACAAUGACAUGGGAGCAAGGAAUAUGGAAGACCUGAAACUUCCCACAGUCGCACCAACUACUGUUUAGUCUGACAACAUAAGAUAAAUUUGACCUCCCCCCAUUAUGGUCCAUUAUUUCCUGUACACUUAAAUUUUGCCUAUGAUGGUUAAAGAUUGUAAUCGCGUGUGUGCUAGCUUUGAUAGUUUCCUCUUUCAUCACUUUCAUGCAUCAUUCACUAAAUAAUUGACCUAACAUUAACACUGGAUGCUGACUUGUUAGAUGAUAACUUGAUAGGUCAAGGUAUACUCCUUUCACGCCUUAAGGCAUAUUACAACAGCUUACAGUUUGAUGAAAAUUCUACCGAAGACGCUUGAACAAUAAAAACUAGGUGUUAUAUUAUCCUUUUAAUUGGUUUAUUUUUAUUUCCCGAAGGUAGUAGGUUCUAGUAUGCAUAUUAUGUAUUUACCUUUACUAAGACAUGUAGAUAGAAUAAGUAGUUACAGUUUGGGGUCCGCUUGUUUGACUUAUCUUUAUAGUUCUUUGUAUAAAAAUGCACAUAAAGACACGUCUAUAUUUUCUGGAUUUGUUGUUUUGCUCCAAGUAUGGGGUUGGUCCAGACUACCUUCCCUAGCGCCCAUCAACCAUAACUCGUUCACAUUCCCGUACGCACAAAAGUAAGUUCUUAACAAUGGACUAUAUUUACUUACUUUACCGAUUAUUAUCUCUAAAUAAUAUAUUUACUUUUUUGGUGUAGAUGACUGGCACGUGGUAUGAGUUACAACAGAUGUCCUAGACACUGUAUUAUCCAGUAUCACAAUCUCUUGGAUCACCUUCGACCAACAGAUGUAUUACCAUUAACCUAAUUAAUUCGUAGUAAUUUGUUUUUUAAUAUCACCUAUUUAUAAUCUAAUAUAUUUUCAUAUUUCAGCUCAUUUGGCGUCCAUAUCUAAACUUGGAUCAUGACAGUGAAAUCAAUGAACAAGAUGCAUCCAUUUGAACUACAUGCACACCAAUCAUAAGAUUCACCACUCUGGAGAGGCACCAUAGUGAUCAUGUUAAAUUGUAGUUCGGUAUACUUCAACACAUCAUAGAUCCCCCGAUAAACCUCGGAGAAUGACAUCUACGAAAAGUUAACGACCAAUGGAACUUUAACCCUUGGCAAAGCUUCGCUAGAUCUGAGUGUCGAAAAUGAAAGCACCGACAAGACCAUGUCUUAACUGACGUUGUGAUUCCAACCAAAUAAAAACUAACUCAUAAUUAUAUGGCUUGGUACAAAUCGGUUGAAUUUGAGUUCCUCGCGAGGGUAUGUACAUAUAUGACCCACGCCAGGUAACUUGCACACAAGAAGGUUCAACAUCUAACCCGUAACAACAUUGCCAGACUGGUUACUCACAACCCCAUAUCCAUCAAAAAAUUUGGCCCACAAACAGACAAACCUACGACCCUAACAGGCCAAACACCCAACCGCAAUACCAAAAGCAUACCUAGUACCACCACCAAGUAAAUCAUCAUCAAGACGCCCAACAUCUCUAUGCACCCAACACAUCACCCUACCAUAGCCUCCUUAGCCAAAAUACUCAACGAUCAUUUAACACCAACCCCCCCUUCUCCUACUAUAGCCAAGAAGCCUAAACAUCACAAAACCAAAAAAAUGCAACAACCAUAUGGCUACUAAACACCACAACAACCAUUUCAACCUUUCCUCGACGCAUCAUUCACACUAAUGUCACCCUUCAAUCGUCCUGGUUUCCCUCCAAUAACUCAAAUGCAGCCCAACUACUCUGGCAUGGGUCAUGGACUCACCUAUGACGGAAGCGCUUCAUUGCAUACACAAGACUACGCAAAUUUGUAUGAAUAUCUUAGGCAAUCUCAUGUAUGUGGUGGUGAUGUUCUUGGGCUCUCAAAUCCUCAAACACCUGGGGUGAAUCAUCAACAUGGGUUAGGGCCACGUGUUGGGGUAGCUAGGGGAUGUGGUACCAGAUGUCGGUUAGGUCAUCUCGGUCAACGACAUUAGUCUUUUUGGUUAUCGUAUGUAAACACAUAUUAAUAUUAAUAUCAAUUGUUCCAAUUUCGACUUUUAUCUAAAAUGUAUAUUAUUUUUCAAAAAACAUUACACAACACAUACUUGCAUCUCCUUUCAAAUUAUACACACAAGCGCCAAUUAGAUUGGCAGCACUAGGUGCAUAAGCCAAUCCAAUUGGCGCCACCUCUUUAACUUAGAGAGCAAGUGUCAAUUCAUCCGGCGUCACCUCUUCAAAGUGGGGUAGUUUGGGAAUUAAAUUGAAAAGUGGAUUAUUUUGGAUUUUUUUUGAAAAAGUGGGUUAUUUGAGUAAAAAAUUCAAAAGAAAACCUCUAGCAAUAGAACAUGCACAUAUUUGAACAUAUACGUAUUUAAACCUAUAAUGAAAAAACAUCUAUACUAUGCUUAAAACAGCCCAUUAAAACUAGUUUUGUUGAGAUUUAUAAAAAGAUAGGAAGGCAUCGACACAAUGUGAUUGGAUGUCGUUUAUUUCUUCUUAUGGGAAUGAUAUUUGGUUGAUAAACACCUAUAAUUUGAACAAAAUUUAUAUUGUGUAAGCUAACAAUAACAACAUUAACUUAACAAAUAUAAAUAAAUACCUUUAAAUGGAUAAAUUAAAUAUAAAUAAAUUAAUAAUGUAAAUUGAUUUAUAAAAGAAAAUACAAAUUAAUAUAUAGUUAAGCAUGGUAAAAUAGUUCCAAGUAACAUUCUUUAUUCUUAUCAACCAACUUAUUUUGGAUGUACAUCUUGAUAGCAUUUUCUCCCUUUUGUUGAAAUUGAAUAAUGAAUGGGUCUAAAAAACAAUACUUUCUUAACUUUCUUCCAACGCACAUCUCAUGCAUGGACCUAAAAGUUAAUGCAAAAGUCAAGUAUUGAUGUUAAAGUAUGAGAACAAUGAAUAUAAAUUGAAAUCAUCCUAAAAAUUGUACUUAUGAGUAUCAUAAUUGUAGUACGGUUAUGUCCCACCAAUCAUAUGCCUUCAAAAAUUUCAUAACACAACUCUUAUGAAGUAUAUAAGCUUGUUCUGGUUCAUGUUUUAAUUUAAACAAGUAGAUGUUGACAUCUCCUUUAUCAUCCUUGAUAGUAUUUGCGUGUUAUCUGGUGGAGGUGGUGUGGUUUCAAUAUUGUGUCGUAGGGGAAGAACAACUACCUUUUGUGAUUUCACCAUCCAUAACAACUUUCUCAAUUACUUUCUUGGAUAUGUCUAACUUAUCUAAAUUUGGGUGGAAGAGUACACCCAUUGAUUUCAAUUGAUGCAUCAUAAGAACAACGGAAACACAAUAAAAAAAAUUAAAUACACAUACAAUAACACAAUAAAAAAACUUAAAUACACAAACAUUAACCUCUCUCGCACCUCCUGCAACAACCUCUCCCGCUCCUCUAGAUGCAUCUUUUCACGUUCUAUCUGAGUCCGCUUCUCCAAUGCCUCCUGAGUCCACUUCUCCCACUCUUGCAAGGGCCAAUUCUUCCUCCUUGUUUUUGAUGAACCAAAUACUGAACAACCAUUCACUGAACCAAUUCUCACACCACCAUUGAAAACAUAUCUCAUUGCCAACAACUCAGACCACCUUGAUGGUCAAAUCAAUUUCCACGCACUCUCCGAAUUUUCCCCCACAAACACCAUGCACAUCAUCGGUAAAAUCACCAAACCUUCAACUAUAGUGCUCAUCGAUGGAGGAAGCACUCAUAACUUCAUUAAAAGUUGCAUGGCUAAAUUUUUCAGCUUACCAUAUCUCCUUAUGAACACACUUAACGUCAUGGUAGGUAGUGAUAACCUACUUGAAUAUCACAGUAUUUGCAAUGACGUGGAAUUGACCCUCAAAUAACACCCAUUCACUAUGGACUUCAAUGUUCUCUUACUCAAUUGAGCAGAUAUCAUACUCGGAUCCCCAUGGCUUAAAUCUAUAGGCCCAAUAUUAAUGGACUAUUCCUCUCCCAUCCUCUUUUUUACUUAUAACAAUGAACCCAUUUUACUUAAAGCAGAUGCAUCCCAAAGCCCAACAACUAUAUUGGCCCAACAAAUAAAAUGUUGUGUCCAAACCCAUGCUUCCUCUGAACUAUUUCAUAUGCAAAUAAUCCAACCCACUAACCUAAUAGGUGUUCAACUAGAACCAUCCAAAAUACAUGUUAUGGUUAAUUAGACACAACUGAACUCUCUCAAAGCCCUUAGUGGAUUCCUUGGCCUCACAGGAUUCUACGGGAAAUUCUUCAAAUGAUGCGCCUCUAUUGUUGUGCCCUUUAUUGCCCUAUUAUGCAAAGAUGUGUUCAUAUGGUCUCCAAAUGCUUAAUUAUCAUUCGAAAAACUCAAAUCGACAAUGACACAAACCAUAACCCUAGCCAUACUCGACUUCCCCAUACCAUUUGACAAAUAAACCGAUGCUUCUGGUACAACUAUAGGCGUCGUUAUAAUGUAACAAUCUCACCUUAUAACAUUCUCCAGUCAACCUUUUUGCAACAAAUUACAAUGAUCAUAAACCUUUGUUAGGGAGUUGCACACAAUUACCUUUUCCGUCAAGAAAUAACGACAAUACUUUUUGGGGUACCAAUUUACCAUCUUUACUGACCACAAAAGUCUCAAGGACCUCCUUUGCCAAGUAAUCCAAACCCUUGAAUAACACGCAUAUCUAUCCAAACUCCUUAGCUACGAUUACUCAAUUCAAUAAAAAGUAGGGAAAAUUAAGGUAGUCACUGACAUCGUCUCAUGACCUCUAGAAAGAUCAAGUACACACCUCUCUUUCUCUAUUCCUCACUUUCUUUUCUUGGACCAUGUUCACCUCUCUCGAUAAAACAGCCAAGCAUUUCACAAAUAACUUACAAAUUAGAAAUAAGCCAUCAUCAUUUCGAAACUACAAAAUACACAAAGGUCUUAUCUUAUACAAAAAUCAUAUCUGGGUAGGCCACCAAAGCCCUUUAUGUAACCAAUUAUUAGACGAGUUCCACUAUACACCAUUAUGGUGACACAUGGGCAUCACCAAAACUCUCACAAGGCUCAAGUCCAACUUUUUCCGGUAUGGACUUAGGAAGACUGUGCAAACAUUUGUCAUCAACUUCCUCAAAUGCCAAAAAACCAAACACCCCAUCAAGAAAUAAAUAUGGCUCCUCCGAUCCCUUUCAAUACCAACAACCAUAUGGGAAGACCUCUCUCUUGAUUUCAUCACAAGACUACCUACCUCAAAAGGAUUUUCAACGGUUCUUGUAACACCUUAAGCCCCGAAAAAUCUUAUUUAAAUAAAAUCAUACAAAAUACUUAUUUAUCCAGCAAGGGUGUCACAUCUCUCUCAUAAAAGAUCCUUCAAAAAAAUUUAGAAUAAAAUAGCAAAAACUCAAAAUCAUGCUCAACUUAGAUAUCUUAUAAUUAACAUAACUCAUUAUCAACCAUAAGGGAGUUAAUCCAACAAUCUCAUAAACACAAUAAAAUCAAAGUUAUCCCGUCCUAGUGUUACAUAUAAGAGCGACACACAUGAAUACUAAAACAUAACUCGAAAUGAUAAAUAAAGAAGAAGGCAAUCUACGUCAUUCCAUAACAUAGCAACAACUAAUGCUCCUCUACCUGAGUAUCUGCAACACUAACAUAACAAAAAAAACACAAACAAACAAAUAGGGGGUGAUAAUACAUUAGAAAAUGUUAUUGGUGAAUAAACAGUUAGGAUAGCUUCAACAACAAUAUUCCGCAACCAUAUAAAAUAGUUCACAAGCAUAGAACAAUCACAGAUGCAACUUUAUGUAAUGCAAUGUGACUCAUUUCUACUAUCUUAACAUGUACGUUGUAUCAAGUUUUUGGUUUUUAGAGUUAUAUUACUGAUUGAUCCACAUCUUAGGUUCCUCAUCUGAACCAGCGAUUUCACCAAUGAAUUUGAGACCCAUAUUUGGUUCCUCAUCUAAACCAACGAUUCCACCAAUGAAUCUGAAACCACCUUGUUGGACCAAAGUCCUAACUACCUCCAAUAAACAUGAUGCAUGAUAUAUAAUAAACGAAAUUAAUAUAUUACUCAAUAACAGUGCCUCAUAUAAACCAACAACUAUGCCAAUAUCAAGACACCACUGUACUUCCUAAUAUAAACUACUAAUCUCAACAAUACAUGUGUAAUUACAGCUCAACAUCAUGCAUAUAAUUAUAUAUUUAUUCAACAUUACUCGCCAACAAGAAAAAUAUUAACAUAUGUGCUCAACAAUACUCAUUAACAGAGUAAGCAUAUUAUUACUCAAAUAUGCUCACCAACAGGGUAAGAAAAUUAUCAUACAUGCUCAACAUUACUUAUCAACAGGGUAACAAUAAUAUUCUACAACACUCACAUUCAAUAGGGUUAAUCAUAAGCCAUCACGCAAAUAAAUACAAUACAUUAUUAUUUACCUUCAAAUCUAACAUUGUCAAAAUGACUCUAAACUCAUCAAAUAACUCAAAACUCAACCUUCUUGAUUCAACUCGAUCAAUCAUAUGAUUAAAACUCUUUUUGUUAGAACAAUAAUUUGUUUCUGCAAUAUCUCUCUAAGUUUUUAUGAUAACAAAGAAUGGAAUAAUUUGGUACCCUAAUAAAUUUCUCUAAGUGUGCAUGUUUCUAAGGAAAAAUGAAUCUGAUGAAAACAAUAUGUGACAACUAACGAAGUUCAGAACAACUGAUCCAGCAAUGAAGAAAUUAUAUCUGACUCCGAGCAAGAACACUUCUGAAAGAAUAUCAUACAAAAUCUGACAUUGAGGUUCAACAUCUGAAGACUCUGAAGACUCUACAUAUGAAGACUCUGAAGACUCUACACCUGAAGACUCUGAAGACUCUACAUCUGAAGACUCUGAAGACUCUACAUCUGAAGACUCUACAUCUGAAGACUCUGAAGACUCUCUAUAUGAAGAUUGUUCAACACACAUCUAUCUAAAGUCCAUUCAACACACAUCUAUAUAAAGUCCAUUCAACAAGCAACUAUCUUAAGACUACAAGUGUCUGCUCAAAGACUCGAACUCCUCUCACUCUGAUUCACGCUCAAUAAAACAUAUGACUCAUCAAAAUCAGAAACUUAUUCAAGAAGUAUUCCAAGUAUGGUACAAAUCUCUAUAAGGAAAGUAUGGAUUAUACUCCAAGACUGCUAUGGAAAGGACAAGAAAAUUAAUGUCAUUAAGUCCCAUAAUUGGUAAAAUAUCUCCAUUAAUUUUCCUCCAACGGUACCAUCUCAAAGUUCUAUAUAAAGGCCUUAUCACUAUCAUACAAAAUUACGAAGCAAUUGCACAAGAAUUAUAUAUACAAUACACUUCGAUCUAUAUACUUAAUACCUUUUAUUGUAAAAUUCAGUAAUCAUACAAGAUUUGUUGGUCAUAGUGUGAUCAUUGAUCAUUGUCCUUAAUCGUGUUCAUACUUUUUACCUAGAAGCACUAAGACAAACACUUGUAUUACUUUAAAGUUAUUGACUUUCCUCAAGUGACUUGUUAAAAUCUGUAGACUUGAGAGGGCUAAGAGAUUGCUGAACUCUUAGACAUUUUUGUAAUCUUUUAAGAUUAUUGGAUUAAGUCCUUAUUGAAGGCGAAAUCACCUUGGCCGGGUGGACUCGAGUAGCUUUGAUUUUCAAGCGAACCAAGAUAAAUUCCUUGCGCUAGGGGCCAUUACCAUGUGGUAGUAUUACGCGUCAACUCCCGAACGCUUCAAACGGAGUCACGAAACUCAAGUUAUGAUGAAAUCAGUAUCUGAAAAAGUUGGUUUCGUCUGAGCCAUCGAACUGCAUACCAAGCCAUCAAGUCAUUUCCGAGCCUCCGCUGCUGAGUCGAGCCUCCGAACAAAGCCACUAAGCCACCGAAUCACUAUUGUCGAGCCACCUAGUUAUUUCUGAGUCAUUGUCGAGCCACCACUUUUGAUCUGAGUUGUUUCUGAGCCGUCAUUGAGCCACCCCUGUCGUGCCAUGCCGCCAUUUUGAAGGAGAAUUGUCAUCCAAGGCGCAACGGAAUUUAAAAGUUUCUCCAUUUAGUGAUCCUUACGAAUGGGCAUGAUCAGUGAUAGAAUUGUUACCUCUUAUGGAAAUCACGAACGUUGAACGAUGACAACGUCUCUACUCAGUCCACACGAACGGAUUCCUUCAAUCUCAGUGUUAGCUGCCACGAAUGAAGGCUUUGAGUGAGAGAGAGAGAGAGAGAAACGAAAUUGCAAGCAAGAGUGACAAUGCUUCUACCCAAGGGUUCUAUUUAUAGAACCACUUGUGUGGGCUUCAAGCUAAAAGGCUCACUUAAGUGUAUAUGGCCCAUAUCUUAUAAUAUGCCAAAAUCACUUAAGUGUGUGGUACCUUACCAUAUUUCGUAUUCUACUUAAGUACACCGUACCUUACGAUGUUCUAUAAUUCACUUAAGGUAACCGUACAUUAUAGUAUUCCUUAAUUACUCUAUCUCUCAUCAAACCGUCCUUUGUGUGUGACCCUAUAGGUUUUCGCGGCGUUGACAAUUAUAUUAAAUCACGUAUUUAACAUAAUAAACAGUGAGCGGUAUCUAGCAACACAUCACUGCUACCCAAGACACGAAAAUGUCAUGUGAUCUGACAANNNNNNNNNNNNNNNNNNNNNNNNNNNNNNNNNNNNNNNNNNNNNNNNNNNNNNNNNNNNNNNNNNNNNNNNNNNNNNNNNNNNNNNNNNNNNNNNNNNNNNNNNNNNNNNNNNNNNNNNNNNNNNNNNNNNNNNNNNNNNNNNNNNNNNNNNNNNNNNNNNNNNNNNNNNNNNNNNNNNNNNNNNNNNNNNNNNNNNNNNNNNNNNNNNNNNNNNNNNNNNNNNNNNNNNNNNNNNNNNNNNNNNNNNNNNNNNNNNNNNNNNNNNNNNNNNNNNNNNNNNNNNNNNNNNNNNNNNNNNNNNNNNNNNNNNNNNNNNNNNNNNNNNNNNNNNNNNNNNNNNNNNNNNNNNNNNNNNNNNNNNNNNNNNNNNNNNNNNNNNNNNNNNNNNNNNNNNNNNNNNNNNNNNNNNNNNNNNNNNNNNNNNNNNNNNNNNNNNNNNNNNNNNNNNNNNNNNNNNNNNNNNNNNNNNNNNNNNNNNNNNNNNNNNNNNNNNNNNNNNNNNNNNNNNNNNNNNNNNNNNNNNNNNNNNNNNNNNNNNNNNNNNNNNNNNNNNNNNNNNNNNNNNNNNNNNNNNNNNNNNNNNNNNNNNNNNNNNNNNNNNNNNNNNNNNNNNNNNNNNNNNNNNNNNNNNNNNNNNNNNNNNNNNNNNNNNNNNNNNNNNNNNNNNNNNNNNNNNNNNNNNNNNNNNNNNNNNNNNNNNNNNNNNNNNNNNNNNNNNNNNNNNNNNNNNNNNNNNNNNNNNNNNNNNNNNNNNNNNNNNNNNNNNNNNNNNNNNNNNNNNNNNNNNNNNNNNNNNNNNNNNNNNNNNNNNNNNNNNNNNNACCAUAAAGACAGUUGAUGGGUACUCCACGAAGGCAUGCUGAGGAUAUGAGUGACCUAGAUGGAAUUUGCCCAUCCUGCAUAACAGGAUAAAUGUCUUUGGGCCCAAUAUUGAACUGGACAAGGAUGACACGGUCUAUGCCUUGUGUUCAAUAUAGACAUAAGGGCAAAAGGGUGAUUAUACACAUAAUUAUUAUCACAGAAGGAAUUGUCAGAUCACAUGACAUACUUGAUAACUCCUUAUCCAUGAUCCAUGAGAUGUGAUCAUCAGUCUAUAUACAUAAUAGUCUUAAUGCUUUAAUGUUAUCCCACUUCACAAUAAAGCUCGACUACGGAUACUUUUAAGAAUAGUGUCCUUAUGUUUAAUGUGAUCUCAUGAUUAAGUCAUACUUGAUACAUUAAACGGACUAGCUAUUCUAGGGACUUUAUUAAACAAACAUAAUAAAGAAAAAGCCUUUUAAGUAUUAAUAAAUAAUUCGAUACAAGUACCAAAAGUAUUGGCCUCUAGGGCUUACACCAACAAUCUCCCACUAGCACUAGAGCCAAUUAGGCAUACCCCUAAUGCCCAUAAAUCUAGUAUGGCCAUCAUGCUUCUGCUGCGCAAGAGGCUUUGUCAGUGGGUUAGCAAUAUUGUCAAGUGUAUGUACUCUGCAUAUUUUAACAUCUCCUCUAUCUAUUAUCUCUCGAAUGAGGUGAUAACGCCUAAGUAUGUGUUUGGAUCGUUGGUGAGAUCUAGGCUCCUUAGCUUGUGCGAUAGCACCAUUGUUAUCACAAUAGCUCAUGUAUGUGGUGGUGAUGUUCUUGGGCUCUCAAUCCUCAAACACCGGGGUGAAUCAUCAACAUGGGUUAGGCCACGUGUGCGAGCUAGGGGAUGUGGUACCAGAUGUCGGUUAGGUUCAUCUCGGUCAACGACAUUAGUCUUUUUGGUUAUCGUAUGUAAACACAUAUAAUUUAAUAUCAAUUGUUCCCAAUUUCGACUUUUAUCUAAAAUGUAUAUUAUUUUUCAAAAACAUUACACAACACAUUACUGGCAUCUCCUUUCAAAUUAUACACACAAGCGCCAAUUAGAUUGGCAGCACUAGGUGCAUAAGCCAUUCCAAUUUGCCGCACCCUCUUUAACUCUAGAGGACAAGUGUCAAUUCAUCCGCGUCACCUCUUCAAAGUGGGUAGUUUGGGAAUUAAAUUGAAAAGUGGAUUAUUUUGGAUUUUUUUAAAAAGUGGGUUAUUUGAGUAAAAAAUUUCAAAGAACUCUUAGCAUAGAACAUGCACAUAUUUGAACAUAUACGUAUUUAAACCUUAAUGAAAAAAAUCUAUACUAUGCUUAAAACAGCCAUUAAACUAGUUUUGUUGAGAUUUAUAAAAAGAUAGGAAGGCAUCGACACAAUGUGAUUGGAUGUCGUUUAUUUCUUCUUAUGAGGAAGAAUUUGGUUGAUAAACACCUUAAUUUGAACAAAAAUUUUAUUGGUGUAAGCUAACAAUACACAUUAACUUAACAAAAUAAAUAAUACCUUAAAUGGAUAAAUUAAAUAUAAAUAUAAUUAAUAAUGUAAUUGAUUUUAAAAGAAAAUACAAAUUAAUAUAUAGUUAAGCAUGGUUAAAUAGUUCCAAGUAACAUUCUUUAUUUCUUAUCACCAACUUAUUUUGGGAUGUUAAUCUUGAUAGCAUUUUCUCCCUUUUGUUGAAAUUGAAUAAUGAAUGGGUCUAAAAAAAACAAUCUUUCUUAACUUUCUUCCAACGCACAUCUCAUGCAUGGACUAAAAGUUAAUGCAAAAGUCAAGUAUUGAUGUUAAAGUAUUGAGACAAUGAUAUAUAAUUGAAAUCAUCCUAAAAAUUGUACUUAUGAGUAUCAUUAAUUGUAGUACGGUUAUGUCCCACCAAUCAUAUGCCUUCAAAAUUUCUAACACAACCUUAUGAAGUAUAUAAGCUGUUUCUGGUUCAUGUUUUAAUUUAAAAAGUAGAUGUUGACAUCUCCUUUAUCAUCCUUGAUAGUAUUUGCGUGUUAUCUGGUGGAGGUGGUGUGGUUUUCAAUAUUGUGUCGUAGGGGAAAACAACUACCUUUUGUGAUUUCACCAUCCAUAACAACUUUCUCAAUUACUUCUUGGUAUGUCUAACUUACUAAAUUUGGGUGGAAGAUGUACACCAUUGAUUUCAAUUGAUGCAUCAUAAGAACAACGGAAACAAAUAAAAAAAUUAAAUACACAUACAAUAACACAAUAAAAAAACUUAAUACCACAACAUUAACCUCUCUCGCACUCUGCCAACAACCUCUCCGCUCCUCUAGAUGCAUCUUUUACGUUCUAUCUGAGUCCGCUUCUUCCAAUGCCUCCUGAGUCCACUUCUCCCACUCUUGCAAGGGCCAAUUCUUCCUCCUUGUUUUUGAUUGAACCAAAUACUGAACAACCAUUCACUGAACCAAUUCUCACACCACCAUUGAAAACAUAUCUCAUUGCCAAACAACUCAGGACCACCUGAUGGUCAAAUCAAUUUCCACGCACUCCUCCGAAUUUUCCCCACAACACCAUUGCACAUCAUCGGUUAAAAUCACCAAACCUUCAACUAGAGUGCUCAUCGAUGGAGGAACACUCAUAACUUCAUUAAAAGUUGCAUGGCUAAAUUUUCAGCUUACCAUAUCUCCUUAUGAACACACUUACGUCCUGGUAGGUAGUGAUAACCUACUUGAAUAUCACAGUAUUUGCAAUGACGUGGAAUUGACCCUCAAUAACACCCAUUCACUAUGGACUUCAAUGUUCUCUUACUCAAUGAGGCAGAUAUUCAUACUCGAUCCCCAUGGCUUAAAUCUAUAGGCCCAAUAUUUAAUCGACUAUUCCUCUCCCAUCCUCUUUUUUACUUUUAUAACAAUGAACCAUUUACUUAAAGCAGAUGCAUCCAAAAGGCCCAACAACUAUAUUGGCCCAACAAUAAAAUGUUGUGUCCAACCCAUGCUUCCUCUGAACUAUUUAUAUGCAAUAAUCCAACCCAUACCUAAUAGAGUGGUUCAACAGAACCAUCCAAAUACAUGUUAUGGUUAAUUAGACACAAUGAACUUCUCUCAAAGCCCUUAGUGGAUUCCUUGGCCUCACAGGAUCUACGGGAAAUUCUUCAAAACGAUGCGCCCUAUUGUUGUGCCCUUUAUUGCCUAUUAUGCAAAGAUGUGUUCAUAUGGUCUCCAAAUGCUUAUUAUCAUUCGAAAAACUCAAAUCGACAAUGAACACAACCUAACCCUAGCCAUACUCGACUUCCCAUACCAUUUGACAAAUAAACCGAAUGCUUCUGGUACACUAUAGGCGUCGUUAUAAUGUAACAAUGCUCACCUUAUACAUUCUCCAGUCAACCUUUUUGCAACAAAUUACAAUGAUCAUAAACCUUGUUAGGGAGUUGCCACACAAUUACCUUUUCCGUCAAGAAAUAACGACAUACUUUUUGGGGUACCAAUUUACCAUCUUUACUGACCACAAAAGUUCAAGGACCUCCUUUGCCAGUAAUCCAAACCCUUGAAAACACGCAUAUCUAUCCAAACUCCUUAGCCUACGAUUACUCAAUUCAAUAAAAAGUAGGGAAAAUUAAGGUAGUCACUGACAUCGUCUCAUGACCUCUAGAAAGAUCAAGUACACACCUCUCUUUCUCUAUUUCCUCACUUUCUUUUCUUGGACCAUGUUCACCUCUCUCGAUUAAAACAGCCCAAGCAUUUCACAAAUAACUUACAAAUUAGAAAUAAGCCAUUCAUCAUUUCGAAACUACAAAAUACACAAAGGUCUUAUCUUAUACAAAAAUCAUAUCUGGGUAGGCACCAAAGCCCUUUAUGUAACCAAUUAUUAGACGGUUCCACUAUACACCAUUAUGGUGACACAUGGGCAUCACCAAACUCUCACAAGGCUCAAGUCCAACUUUUUCCGGUAUGGACUUAGGAAGACUGUGCAAACAUUGUCAUUCAACUUCCUCAAAUGCCAAAAAACAAACACCCCAUCAAGAAAUAAAUAUGGCUCCUCGAUCCCUUUCAAUACCAACAACCAUAUGAGACCUCUCUCUUGAUUUUCAUCACAGACUACCUACCUCAAAAGGAUUUUCAACGGUUCUUGUAACACCUUAAGCCCGAAAAUCUUAUUUAAAUAAAAUCAUACAAAAUACUUAUUUAUCCAGCAGGGUGUCACAUCCUCUUCAUAAAAGAUCCUUCAAAAAAAUUAGAAUAAAAUAGCAAAAAACUCAAAAUCAUGCUCAACUUAGAUAUCUUAUAAUUAACAUAACACUUAUCAACCAUAAGGGAGUUAAUCCAACAAUCUCAUAAACACAAUAAAAUCAAAGUUAUCCCGUUCCUAGUGUUACAUAUAAGAGCGACACACAUGAAUACAAAACAACUCGAAAUGAUAAAUAAAGAAAAGGCAAUCACGUCAUUCCAUAACAUAGCAACAACUAAUUGCUCCUCUACCUGAGUAUCUGCAACACUAACAUAACAAAAAAAAACACAACAAACAAUAGGGGUGAUAAUACUUAGAAAAUGUUAUUGGUGAAUAAACAGUUAGGAUAGCUUCAACACAAUAUUCCGCAAACCAUAUAAAAUAGUUCAACAAGAUAGACAUCACAGGAUGCAACUUUUAUAAUGCAUGUGAUCAUUUCUACUAUCUUAACAUGUACGUUGUAUCAAGUUUUUGGUUUUUAGAGUUAUAUUACUGAUUGAUCCACAUCUUAGGUUCCUCAUCUGAACAGCGAUUUCACCAAUGAAUUUGAGACCCAUAUUUGGUUCCUCAUCUAAACCAACGAUUCCACCAAUGAAUCUGAAACCACCUUGUUGGACCAAAGUCCUAACUACCUCCAAUAUAACAUGAUGCACGUAUUAUAAUAAACUAAUUUCUCUAAGUCUAUACGCAAUCAACAACUCCUGCAUACUAGAACCGCUUAAACAACUGCCAAUUAUCAACCGUCUUCCCUUUAAAUCUCAACAUACAUGUGUAAUUACAGCUCAACAUCAUGCAUAUAAUUAUAUAUUUAUUUCAACAUUACUCGCCAACAAGAAAAAUAUUAACAUAUGUGCUCAACAAUACUCAUUACAGAGUAAGCAUAUUAUUACUCAAAUAUGCUCUACCAACAGGGUAAGAAAUAUCAUACUGCUCAACAUUACUUAUCAACGUGCGGACUGGUAACAAUAAAUAUUCUACAACACUCACAUUCAAUAGGGUUAAUCAUAAGCCAUCACGCAAAUACAUACAAUACAUUAUUAUUUACCUUCAAAUCUAACAUUGUCAAAAUGACUCUAAACUCAUCAAAUAACUCAAAACUCAACCUUUCUUGAUUCAACUCGAUCAAUCAUAUGAUUAAACUCUUUUUUGACAAUAAUUUGUUCUGCAUAUCUCUCUAGUUUUUUGUAAAGAUGGGAAUAUUUGUCCCUUAAUUUCUUAUGAUACAUGUUUUCAAUGUAUGAAUCUGGCAUAUGAAAAAAUUGUGACACACAUAACUAAGCUUCAGAAUCAUAUCUCUCUCUGCCUCUCUUUUUGUCCGCUACGAUGAUAGUAUUUGGUUACCCUGACUCGGCGAAUUUCAUCUGGAGAACACUUCUGAAUAUGCAACUCGCAAGUAUAGAUGAUCGAUGAAGAUUCAAUGACGAGCGGACGGACUCUUGCACAAGUCUUGAACUACUCGAAGAUGCAUACCUUCUACAUAUGAAGACUCUGAAGACUCUUACACCUGAAGACUCUGAAGACUCUACAUCUGAAGCUCUGAAGACUCUACAUCUGAAGACUCACAUCUUGAGACUCUGAAGACUCUCUAUAUGAAGAUUGUUCACACACAUCUAUCUAAAGUCAUUCAACACACAUCUAUAUAAAGUCCAUUCAACAAGCAACUAUCUUAAGACUACAAGUGUCUGCUCAAAGACUCGAACUCCUCUCACUCUGAUCACGCUCAAUAAAACAUAUGACUCAUCAAAAUCAGAAACUUAUUCAGAAGUAUUCCAAGUAUGGUACAAAUCUCUAUAAGGAAAGUAUGGAUUAUACUCCAAGACUGCUAUGAAAGGCAAGAAAAUUUAAUGUCAUUAAGUCCCAUAAUUGGUAAAAAUAUCUUCCAUUAAUUUCCUCCAACGGUACCAUCUCAAAGUUCUAUAUAAAGGCCUUAUCACUAUAUACAAAAUUACGAAGCAAUUGCACAAGAAUUAUAUAUACAAUACAUUCGAUCUAUAUUACUUAAUACCUUUUAUUGUAAAAUUCAGUAAUCAUACAAGAUUUGUUGGUCAUAGUGUGAUCAUUGAUCAUUGUCCUUAAGUCGUUUCAUACUUUUUACCUAGAAGCACUAAGACAAACCUUGUAUUACUUUAAAGUUUAUUGACUUUCCUCAAGUGACUUGUUAAAAUCUGUAGACUUGAGAGGGCUAAGAGAUUGCUGAAUCUUAGACAUUUUGUAAUCUUUUUAAGAUUAUGGAUUAAGUCCUUAUUGAAGGCGAAAUCACCUUGGCCGGGUGGACUCGAAGUAGCUUUGAUUUUCAAGCGAACCAAGAUAAAUUCCUUGCGCUAGGGGCCAUUACCAUGGUGGAGUAUUACGCGUCAACUCCCGAACGCUUCAACGGAGUCACGAAACUCAAGUUAUGAUUGAAAUCAGUAUCUGAAAAAGUUGGUUUCGUCUGAGCCAUCGAACUGCAUACCAAGCCAUCAAGUCAUUUCCCGCCUCCGCUGCUGAAGUCGAGCCUCCGAACAAAGCCACUAAGCCACCGAAUCACUAUUGUCGAGCCACCAGUUAUUUCUGAGUCAUUGUCGAGCCACCACUUUUUGAUCUGAGUUGUUUAUUUCUGAGCCGUCAUUGAGCCACCCCUGUCGUGCCAUGCCGCCAUUUUGAAGAGGAAUUGUCAUCAAGGCGCAACGGAAUUAAAAGUUCUCCAUUUGUGAUCCUUACGAAUGGGCAUGAUCAUGAUAGAAUUGUUACCUCUUAUUGGAAAUCACGAACGUUGAACGAUGACAACGUCUCUACUCAGUCCACACGAACGGAUUCCUUCAAUCUCAGUGUUAGCUUGCACGAAUGAAGGCUUUGAGUGAGAGAGAGAGAGAGAGAAACGAAAAUUGCAAGCAAGAGUGACAAUGCUUUACCCAGGGUUCUAUUUAUAGAACCACUUGUGUGGGCGUCAAGCUAAAAGGCUCACUUAAGUGUUAUAUGGCCCAUAUCUUAUAAUAUGCCAAAAUCACUUAAGUGUGUGGUACCUUACCAUAUUUCGUAUUCUACUUAAGUACACCGUACCUUACGAUGUUCUAUAAUUCACUUAAGGUAACCGUACAUUAUAGUAUUCCUUAAUUACUCCUAUCUCUCAUCAAACCGUCCUUUGGUGUGACCCUAUAGGUUUUUCGCGGCGUUGACAAUUAUAUUUAAAUCACGUAUUUAACAUAAUAAAACAGUGAGCGGUAUCUAGCAACACAUCACUGGCUACCCAAGACACGAAAAUGUCAUGUGAUCUGACAAUUCCUUCUGUGAGAUAAUUAUGUGUAUAAUCACCCUUUUGCCCUUAUGUCUAUAUUGAACACAAGGCAUAGACCGUGUCAUUCCUUGUCCAGUUCAAUAUUGGGCCAAAGACAUUUAUCCUGUUAUGCAGGAUGGGCAAAAUUCCAUCUAGGUCACUCAUAUCCUCAGCAUGCUUCGUGGAGUACCCUCAACUGUCUUUAUGGUUAUCCAGUUACGGACAAUGUUGGAUCAGCAAUAAAGCACUCGACUCUACAUCUAGGGUCCUAGUGGUUUCAGGUCGAAGAGUGGUUAUACACCAUUAUCACCAUGAGAAUAACUUAUGACACUUUGCAUAACUUUCUAUAUAGUAUUCUAUAGCGGGUCAAUCCGGUAUAAAUAUUACUCUUAAUUUCAUACCUAUGUUUAAGACUUGAUAACUCCUUAUCCAUGAUCCAUGAAUGUGAUCAUCAGUCUAUUAUACAUAAUAGUCUUAUGCUUUAAUGUUAUCCCACUUCACAAUAAAGCUCGACUACGGAUACUUUUAAGAAUAGUGUCCCUUAUGUUUAAUGUGAUCUCAUGAUUAAGCAUACUAUGAUACAUUAAACGACUAGCUUUCUAGGACUUUAUUAAACAAACAUAAAAGAAAUAAGCCUUUUAAGUAUUAAUAAAUAUUCGAUACAAGUACCAAAAGUAUUGGCCUCUAGGGCUUACACCAACAUCUCCCACUAGCACUAGAGCCAAUUAGGCAUACCCCUAAGUGCCCAAUAAUCUAGUAUGGCUCAUGCUUCUGCUGCGCAAGAGGCUUUGUCGUUGGUGUUAGCAAUAUGUCAAGUGUAUGUACUCUGCAUAUUUUAAACAUUCCUCUAUCUAUUAUCUCUCGAAUGAGUGGUGAUAACGCCUAAGUAUGUGUUUGGGUCGUUGGUGAGAUCGUAGGCUCCUUAGCUUGUCGCGAUAGCACCAUUGUUUAUCACAAUAGAGACCAAUGGGAUCCAAGCAAAUGCUAGGAAACUAUAUCAAGUUCACUAAUGAACUUUUUGAUCCAAACAGGCUUCCUUUGCUGCACUUGAGGCAGCAAUAUUACUCGGCCUCGGUUGUAGAAUCAGUAACUGUAUCGUUGCUUUAACUUUUUCCAGCUCACAACGCCACCGUUUGAAGCAAAACAGAUAUCCAGAUUGCGAUCUAAAGUCAUCCUUAUAUGUCUGGAAGCUGGCAUCGGUGUAUCCAAUUUACAACCAACUUUCUUGACUCCAUAUAUCAAGAAUGAUCCUUAGUUCCUUUCUCAAGUACUUAAGGAUAUUCUUGACAGCUACCCAAUGGGCAUCACCCAGGAUCAGAUUGGUACCUACUCGUUGCACUUAAAGCAUACGAGACAUCUGGUCGAGUACAUAACAUGUCAUAACAUGAUAGAUCCUAUUGCAGUGCAUAUGGAAUCUAUUCAUUGCGAUCCCUUUCUUCCUUAGUUGAAGGGGAUUGUGUUUUUAUAGACACAGGCCAUGUUCCAAGGUAUGAAUCCUUCUUGGAAUCAUGCAUGUUAAAGCGUCUCAGCACUUUGUCUAUGUACGUACUCUGACUUAGGCCAAGCAGUUUUUGUGAUCUAUCUCUAUAGAUUCUGAUUCUAAAUAUAGGCUGCUUCACCUAGGUCCUCAUAGAAAAGCAUUUCCCCAACCAAGACUUUACUUGUUGCAGGUAGGGACAUCAUUUUCCAAUGAUUAAUAUGUCAUCUACAUAUAAUACCGAGGAACACGAUUAUGCUCCACUAACCUUCUUGUAGACACAAGGCUCAUCUUCGUCUUGAUGAAUCCAAUAUGUUUUACCGUUUCAGUCAAAACGAAGAUCCAGCUUCUGGAGCUUGCUUUCAAUCCAUAGAUUGCUCAUUAUGUAGCUUACAUAUCUUUUGGCUUUCUUCUGUAUGUCAAAUCCUUCAGGUUGUGUCAUGUACCCACAUCCUCAAGAAGAUUCCCAGUUAAGGGAAGAAGUUUUGACAUCCAUCUGCCAAUAUUCAUAAUCAUGAAUAUGCAGCGAUAGCAAGUAAAAUCCGAACAGAUUUAAGCAUUGCAGACUGGGUGAAAGUUUACAUUCAUAGUCAACCCCAUGAAUUUUUUAUAUCCUUUACAACCAGUCUUGCCUUAAUAGGUAUGUACCUUACCAUCCAUGUUGGUCUUCUUUUGGACCCAGCCCCCAAAUUUUUGUUCAUCUAUAGGGUUAACUUCUACAGGAGGCUUACCAAGGUCCAAAAACUGGUUUGUGUACAUGGAAUCCAUUCAGAUUUCAUGGCCUUCUACGCCACUUCUCAGACUCGGGACCAGUUAUGGCAUCUUGGUAGGUCCAGGCUCAUCUUGAUCCAUGAGAUAUAUAUCACCUUGAUCUGAUUAUGAGAUAUCCAUAUCCUUCAGUAGGUGACGUAUCCUGUUGACCUACGUGGUCUUGUUCUAUUGAGCAGGUGCUCUUCCACCAACUAUUGUGUUCCUGCUUAAUUCCUCCAAGGUGUAUCAAUGCGUUUGUGAUUCUUAAUUUCUUCCAAGAUCCUUUCCUCCUAUUAUUCCUUUGGGAAAUAAAUCCUUUUCUAGGAAAACUCCAGUCAGCAACAAACACUUGCCCUCAGAGUGAUUGUAAAAGUAAUAUAUCAUUUCAAAUUAAUCGUAAGCAACAAUUGUUCUUUAUUAUACAAUUGAAAAAACCACUUGUCCAACAAGAACAGAAAUAAUAUUCCUGCUAAUUGUAGUACAUCUAAACAGUUCUCUAACUGGAAUUAUUAAACACUAGUAAAGUCAAUACAUACAGUCCUACGGCUAAGGCAACAAACCUUGCUCCAUGCCAACUCGUUAGGUCGACUUCACCUUUGCCAAAUCUCUACUCCUUUUUAGUCCAUUGCACAUUUGUUACAAAUGAUGAGAACCGCCAUCCAGUAUCUAAUACCAUGAUGAGAAGUGUAGAUAAAUUAUAUUUCAAUUUAACAAAAAUACCCUGACAGUUGAAGUCUCUAUCAUGCCUAUUCUUCCUAGUCUUCCAGUACUUUGGGCAGUUUCUCUUCCAGUUCCGUCUUACCGCAAUAGAAGCAGGUGCCUUCUUUUACUAUGGCCUCCACUAGGCUUCAAAGCAACAAUAAUGGUUUGGUUGGCAACUUCCUUGCCUUUCCCUAUAUCAUGUCUUGAGACAAUCCUCAAGUUCGGUACCAAUCCAGAAAAUUUGUCCCAGACAAUUUUUCCUUGUCAAAGGACUUGAUCGCAAGAUUUCGUUAGAGGUGUUUGUUUCAUGGUAACUUACAUAAGGAUUACUUGAAAAUAUAAGUAUCAUUACAUAUUUAAUUUAGACGUUUAAUAAAUAUGCUCCCACGUAUUUUUACUCAAAACAAUGACCCUCAAUCAUUUGAUUCCGGAAAAAUUCCCGUUGGAAGAUUUUCUAGUGGUCGAGAUCCAUAUUCACUCGUUUCUAGUCCGCGUAGGAGAUUACACAAAACUGGGUAUUUAGGUAGGACGUCCUUCAAUCUGUAUCUCAUUACAACUCUCGAGAAUUUCAGUUGGGUGAAUUAACUCCUUAUUCCCAAUCCACUUCAUAUGGAUCAUUCCCAACUCUUGCCUUCUAGACAUAUAUAAUAUUAUUAUAUUAAGUUUGACCCAGUCGUCUUUAGCAGUGAAUAUUACAAUUACUCCCACGCACUUAACUAACAUACAGGAACAUGCACCUGCGCGUAGGCGUAACCUAAUUAUCGUACUUCGUCUUGAUGAGUGCUAAAACUUGAAAAACAAACAUAUAUAAUUUAUUUAAUGUUUAGUUAAGUUUGACCCAUUGUUUUACAGUUGGAUUAUUACAAGUAUCCCAUCGCACCUUACUAUAUAGACAUUGCAACCUCGCGUAGGCGAAAACCUCACUUAUUCGAUUACUAGUCUUGAUGAUGUUAAAACUUGGAAAAGCAUAAACAUUAAUACUACAUUUGAGCGGAAUGAAAAAAUUUUUUUCUGAUUUCACCGGCUUAUUAUCAUAUAAUCGUCUUCACAUCGCAUCAACAUACAUUCACAGCAUCAAAUACAUACAUACAUAAUGAAAGCAGUUAUGGCCCUAGCAGCAAUUGUUCUCCCAAGCCAUGAUGAGAACCUAAAGCUAACCUAAUAAUAUCUAAGCUUCUCCACAAGAUCUUCAAGUUGUCCUCUUUGGCAUUGACUUCUUUGGCUUUCUUCAAACAUACAUUACAUAAAAAGAAUAGUCGUUUACUAUGCGGAGGGAGUGAGAUGGAGAAAAGAAGUGAGCGANNNNNNNNNNNNNNNNNNNNNNNNNAGACCAUGGGAUCCAAAUGCUAGGAACUAUUAUCAAAGUUCACUAAUGAAUUUUUGAUCCAAACAGGCUUCCUUUGCUGCACUUGAGGCAGCAAUUACUCGGCCUCGGUUGUAGAAUCAGUAACUUGUAUCGUUGCUUUGAACUUUUCCAGCCUCACAACGCCACCGUUUAAGCAAAACGAUAUCCAGAUUGCGAUCUAAAGUCAUCCUUAUAUGUCUGGAAGCUGGCAUCGGUGUAUCCAAUUACAACCAACUCUUCUGACCUCCAUAUAUCAAGAAUGAUCCUUAGUUCCUUUCUCAAGUACUUAAGAUAUUCUUGACAGCUACCCAAUGGGCAUCACCCAGAUCAGAUUGGUACCUACUCGUUGCACUUAAAGCAUACGAGACAUCUGGUCGAGUACAUACUUGUCAUACAUGAUAGAUCCUAUUGCAGAUGCAUAUGGAAUCUAUUCAUGCGAUCCCUUUCUUCCUUAGUUAAGGGGAUUGUGUUUUUGAUAGACACAGGCCAUGUUCCAUAGGUAUGAAUCCUUUCUUGGAAUCAUCCAUGUUAAAGCGUCUCAGCACUUUGUCUAUGUACGUACUCUGACUUAGGCCAAGCAGUUUUUGUGAUCUAUCUCUAUAGAUUCUGAUUCUAAUAUAUAGGCUGCUUCACCUAGGUCCUCAUAGAAAAGCAUUUCCCCAACCAAGACUUUACUUGUUGCAGGGUAGGGACAUCAUUUCCAAUGAGUAAAUAUGUCAUCUACAUAUAAUACCAGGAGCACGAUUAGCUCCCACUAACCGUUCUUGUUAGACACAAGGCAUCAGUUCUUCGUUCUUGCAUGAAUCCAUAUUUUUACGCGUUUCAUUCAAAAACGAGAUUCCAGCUUCUGGAGCUUGCUUUCAAUCCAUAGAUUGUCUUUGUAGCUUACAUAUCUAUUUGGCUUCUUCUGUAUGUCAAAUCCUUCAGGUUGGUGUCAUGUACCACAUCCUCAAAAGAAUUCCCAGUUAAGGAAGAAGUUUUGACAUCCAUCUGCCAAUUCAUAAUCAUGAUAUGCAGCGAUAGCAAGUAAAUCCGAACAGAUUUAAGCAGUGCAGACGUGGUGAAAGUUUCAUUCAUGAGUCAACCCCAUGAAUUUUUUUAUAUCCUUGUUACAACCAGUCUUGUCCUUAAGGUAUGUACCUUACCAUCCAUGUUGGUCUUCUUUUUAGACCCAUGCCCCCAAUUUUUUUGAUUCAUAUAGGGUUAACUUCUACAGGAGGCUUACCAAGGUCCAAACUUGGGUUUGUGUACAUGGAAUCCAUUCAGAUUUCAUGCGCUUCUAGCCACCUUCUCAGACUCGGACCAGUUAUGGCCUCUUGGUUAGGUCACAGGCUCAUCUUGAUUCAUGAGUAUAUAUCACUUGAUCUGUUAUGAGAUAUCCAUAUCGCCUCACGUAGGUGACGUAUCCUGCUUGACCUACGCUGGUCUUGUUCUAUUAGCACGGGUGCUCUUCCACAACUACUUGUGUUCCUGCUCUAAUUCCUCCAUGAGGUUGUAUCAAUGCUUUGUGAUUCUUAAAUUUCUUCAAGAUCACUUUCCUCCUAUUAUUCCUGUUGGAAAUAAAAUCCUUUUCUAGGAAAACUUCCAGUCAGCAACAAACACUUGCCCUCAGAGAUUGUAAAAGUAAUAUAUCAUUCAAUAAAUCGUAAGCAACAAUUGUUCUUUAUUAACAAUGAAAAACCAAACUUGUCCAACAAGAACAGAAAUAAAUAUUCCUGCUAAUUGUAGGUACAUAUAACAGUUCUCUAACUGAAUUAUUAAACACUAGUAAAGUCAAUACAUACAGUUCCUACGGCUAAGGCAACAACCUUGCUCCAUGCCAACUCGUAGGUCACUUCACCUUUUGCCAAAUCUCUCUCCUUUUUAGUCCAUGCACAUUUGUUACAAAUGAUGAGAACCGCAUCCAGUAUCUAUACCCAUGAUGAGAAGGUAGAUAAAUUAAUUUCAAUUUAACAAAAAACCCUGACAGUGAAGUCUGCUACUGCCUAUUCUUCCUAGUCUUCCAGGUACUUUGGGCAGUUUCUCUUCCAGUGUCCGUCUUACCGCAAUAGAAGCAGGUGCCUUCUUUUACUAUGCCUCCACUAGGCUUCAAAGCAACAAUAAUGGUUUGGGUUGUGGCAACUUCCUUUGCCUUUCCCAUUAAUCAUGUUUGAGACAAUCCCAAGUUCGGGUACCAAUCCAGAAAUUUGUCCCAGACAAUUUUUCCUUGUACAAGGACUUGAUCGCAAGAUUUCGUUAGAGGUGUUUGUUUCAUGGGUAACUUACAUAAGUAUUAUCUGAAAAUAUAAAGUAUCAUUACAUAUUUAUUUAGACGCGUUAAUAGAAUUGCUCCCACUAUUUUUACUCAAAAGCAAUGACCCUCAAUCAUUUGAUUCCGGAAAAUUCCCGUUGCGAAGAUUUUCUAGUGGUCGAGAUCCCAUAUUCACUCGUUUCUAGUCCGCGUUAGGAGAUUACACAAAACUUCGGUUAUUUAGGUAGGACGUUCUUCUAAUCUGUAUCUCAUUACAACUCUCGAAAUUUCAGUUGGGUGAAUUAACUCCUUAUUCCAAUCCGACUUCAUAUGGAUCAUUCCCACUUUGCUUCUAGACAUAUAUAAUAGUUAUUAUAAUUAAGUUUGACCCAUCGUUCUUUAGCAGUUGAGUAUUACAAUUAUCCCAUCGCACUUACUAACAUAAGGAACAUGCACCUCGCGUAGGCGAAACUAAUUAUCGAUACUACGUCUUGAUGAGUGCUAAAACUUGAACAAACAACAUAUAUUCAAUAUUAUUUAAUUGUUUAGUUAAGUUUGACCCAUUGUUUUACAGUUGGAUUAUUACAAUUAUCCAUCGCACCUUUACUUAAUAUAGAACAUUGACCUCGCGUAGGCGAAACCUCAUUAUUCGAUUACUAGUCUAGUUACAUUGAGAGAUUAAAAGAGAGGCACGACACGCAGGUCGUAUUUUAAAACCCAAAACAAAAUAAAGGAAAACUAAGGCCAUAACCGAUCACCACAAGACAAUAAUAAACAUAUUAUUAUUAUUAAUUCAAUUCUUUUAAUUAAUUAAAACCAAAUUAAAUCUCGACGACCGAUCACAUUACGCAGAGUUAGCCGAACGGGUGAAUUUUGCCUUGCGUUAACCGGUUAACCAUAUGCGUAACCGGUUAACACUGUUUGAAAUCUGUUCAAAAUUUGCUUUCUGUCUUGCGUUAACCGGUUAACCAAAUACGUUAACCGGUUAACACUGUUUGAAAAUCUGUUCAAAGUUUGUUUUUCUGUCGUGCGUUAACCGGUUAACCAAAUACGUUAACCGGUUAACACUGUUUGAGAAACUUAGAAAGUUGUAUUUCGUCUUGCGUUAACCGGUUAACCAUAUGCGUUAACCGGUUAACACUGUUCGAAAAAGUGUUUAGAAAGCACAACUCUUGUGCAGUCACAACCCCAAUCGUAUAACUCUCUGACAACACAACCCCUGUGCCGUCACUAACCCUGAUGCACCAAUUUCAGACCGUCAAACACAUCUCGAUUGUUGAUUCAAUAUGAUUGAUCAACACGUCAUUGCUUCACCAUACUAAUGUCGGAUCAAGAAGCAAACGACCAUUGAUCGCUCAAAGGAAAACAACCAUUGAGUGUUUGAGUGAACGAAACAAGAACACUAUAUCAUAUAUAAUGUAUUUUGCAUCAGGAUUACUUAUAUCAUAUAUAUAACUUGAUCGAUCUCAAUUUAAUCUUUGAUUCAUUCUGUCUUUAAUAGUAUUAAUACAGAAAAUAAACAGUUAUCAGAUUCAUGGUUUCGUAAGUGGCUCUGAUACCACUGAAGGAGAAUUGCCAUCCAAGGCGCAGCGGAAUUUAAAAAUUUCUCCAUUUAGUGAUCCUUACAAAUGGGCAUGAUCAGUGAUAGAAUCGUUACCUCUAGUGGCGAUCACGAACGUUGAACGAUGACAACAUCUCUACUCAGUCCACACGAACGGAUUCCUUCAAUCUCAGUGCUAGCUGCCACGAAUGAAGGCUUUGAGUGAAAGAGAGAGAGAGAGAGAGAGAGAAACGAAAUUGCAAGCAAGAGUGACAAUGCUUCUACCCAAGGGCUCUAUUUAUAGAACCACUUGUGUGGGCUUCAAGCUAAAAGGCCCACUUAAGUGUAUAUGGCCCAUAUCUUAUAAUAUGCCAAAAUCACUUAAGUGUGUGGUACCUUACCAUAUUUCGUAUUCUACUUAAGUACACCGUACCUUACGAUGUUCUAUAAUUCACUUAAGGUAACCGUACAUUACAAUAUUCCUUAAUUACUCUAUCUCUCAUCAAUCCGUCCUUUGUGUGUGACCCUAUAGGUUUUCGCGGCGUUGACAAUUAUAUUAAAUCACGUAUUUAACAUAAUAAACAGUGAGCGGUAUCUAGCAACACAUCACUGCUACCCAAGACACGAAAAUGUCAUGUGAUCUGACAAAUCCUUCUGUGAUAAUANNNNNNNNNNNNNNNNNNNNNNNNNNNNNNNNNNNNNNNNNNNNNNNNNNNNNNNNNNNNNNNNNNNNNNNNNNNNNNNNNNNNNNNNNNNNNNNNNNNNAGGGUUUUGAAUCUUCUUCGAGCGAAAUCCGAUGCAUGCAUACGGAUGGGCUUAUACCUUUCAGGCCAGAGAUAUUAUAUCCUAAGGCUGAGGGAUAUCUUCGUAAAACGUCUAAAAGUUGGUUCGUUUCCUCAUGGCUUAAGGUAGCACUGACUAUAACUGGGCGGUUAAUCUUUUCAUCGAGGAACUCAUAUCUCAGGUUCUUAGGCAGUUCCUUAAGUUCUAAGGUUGGUUUCUUAGGGCUUGGCAUAGGAUCUGGAGUAAGGGAUAAACAUUCGUAAAGGUUAUCAUCGAUGUAAGGUUCUUUAAAGUCAUCAUCUUCCUUUAUGGGGGUUGAUGGUAACUUGAUUUUUUUUAUAAUUUCUUUUUGUUCUAAUUCUCUAACACAUUCAUCAAUGAUAUCUAAGGCAUAACACGAGUCUCCCAUCACAUGUGCCAUAAGAAAUUUCGAAAGUAUAAAUUCUAUUUUCUCGUCACCUACCUCAAAUGUCAACUUUCCUUUCUUGACAUCUAUUAUGGCUCCUGCAGUCGAUAAGAAUGGUCUACCUAGAAGAAUUGGUAUAUCAUUNCGGUCUCGGAGGUGCAUUAUUUUGAAUAGGGUUAUUGUUUUUAUAGGAGAAGUUAGGGUGAUUCCUCCAUCCAGGAUUAUAGGUAUUCGAGUAUGGGUUCCCUUGGGUGUAGUUCACUUGCUCGGAGUGGGUUUCGUUCAAUAGACUGCAUUCUACAGAUUGGUGUCCUUGGGUUCCACAUAUCUCACAAUCCAACGAAAAUGCGGCUACAGUAUUCGGGUUCGUGUACAUAUGCUCGACCUUAAGGGCUAAUGCGUCCAUUUUAGCAUGCAUCAUGUCUAUAGAGCUUAGUUCAUGCACUCCUCCUUGGGCUUCUUUUUUCUCAACUGUCGCUCGUUCGACUCCCCAUGAUUGAUGGUUUUGAGCCAUGUCUUCGAUGAGGGCACUAGCUUCAGGGUAAGGUUUGUUCAUCAGAUCACCGCCUGCGGCAGCGUCGAUGGUCAUCUUUGUGUUGUAAUGAAGUCCAUUAUAGAAGGUUUGAAUGAUUAACCAAUUUUCUAAGCCAUGAUGUGGGCAUGCUCGUAACAACUCUUUAUAUCUCUCCCAAGCUUCGAACAACGAUUCUCCUUGGUUUUGGGUAAAUCUAGUUAUAUGGUUUCGAAGAACGGCGGUCUUACUCGGGGGAAAAUAUCUAGCAAGAAAAACUCUUCUAAGGUUAUCCCAAGUCGUAAUGGAAUUGGGUGGAAGGGAAUCUAACCAUGAUAGNNNNNNNNNNNNNNNNNNNNNNNNNNNNNNNNNNNNNNNNNNNNNNNNNNNNNNNNNNNNNNNNNNNNNNNNNNNNNNNNNNNNNNNNNNNNNNNNNNNNNNNNNNNNNNNNNNNNNNNNNNNNNNNNNNNNNNNNNNNNNNNNNNNNNNNNNNNNNNNNNNNNNNNNNNNNNNNNNNNNNNNNNNNNNNNNNNNNNNNNNNNNNNNNNNNNNNNNNNNNNNNNNNNNNNNNNNNNNNNNNNNNNNNNNNNNNNNNNNNNNNNNNNNNNNNNNNNNNNNNNNNNNNNNNNNNNNNNNNNNNNNNNNNNNNNNNNNNNNNNNNNNNNNNNNNNNNNNNNNNNNNNNNNNNNNNNNNNNNNNNNNNNNNNNNNNNNNNNNNNNNNNNNNNNNNNNNNNNNNNNNNNNNNNNNNNNNNNNNNNNNNNNNNNNNNNNNNNNNNNNNNNNNNNNNNNNNNNNNNNNNNNNNNNNNNNNNNNNNNNNNNNNNNNNNNNNNNNNNNNNNNNNNNNNNNNNNNNNNNNNNNNNNNNNNNNNNNNNNNNNNNNNNNNNNNNNNNNNNNNNNNNNNNNNNNNNNNNNNNNNNNNNNNNNNNNNNNNNNNNNNNNNNNNNNNNNNNNNNNNNNNNNNNNNNNNNNNNNNNNNNNNNNNNNNNNNNNNNNNNNNNNNNNNNNNNNNNNNNNNNNNNNNNNNNNNNNNNNNNNNNNNNNNNNNNNNNNNNNNNNNNNNNNNNNNNNNNNNNNNNNNNNNNNNNNNNNNNNNNNNNNNNNNNNNNNNNNNNNNNNNNNNNNNNNNNNNNNNNNNNNNNNNNNNNNNNNNNNNNNNNNNNNNNNNNNNNNNNNNNNNNNNNNNNNNNNNNNNNNNNNNNNNNNNNNNNNNNNNNNNNNNNNNNNNNNNNNNNNNNNNNNNNNNNNNNNNNNNNNNNNNNNNNNNNNNNNNNNNNNNNNNNNNNNNNNNNNNNNNNNNNNNNNNNNNNNNNNNNNNNNNNNNNNNNNNNNNNNNNNNNNNNNNNNNNNNNNNNNNNNNNNNNNNNNNNNNNNNNNNNNNNNNNNNNNNNNNNNNNNNNNNNNNNNNNNNNNNNNNNNNNNNNNNNNNNNNNNNNNNNNNNNNNNNNNNNNNNNNNNNNNNNNNNNNNNNNNNNNNNNNNNNNNNNNNNNNNNNNNNNNNNNNNNNNNNNNNNNNNNNNNNNNNNNNNNNNNNNNNNNNNNNNNNNNNNNNNNNNNNNNNNNNNNNNNNNNNNNNNNNNNNNNNNNNNNNNNNNNNNNNNNNNNNNNNNNNNNNNNNNNNNNNNNNNNNNNNNNNNNNNNNNNNNNNNNNNNNNNNNNNNNNNNNNNNNNNNNNNNNNNNNNNNNNNNNNNNNNNNNNNNNNNNNNNNNNNNNNNNNNNNNNNNNNNNNNNNNNNNNNNNNNNNNNNNNNNNNNNNNNNNNNNNNNNNNNNNNNNNNNNNNNNNNNNNNNNNNNNNNNNNNNNNNNNNNNNNNNNNNNNNNNNNNNNNNNNNNNNNNNNNNNNNNNNNNNNNNNNNNNNNNNNNNNNNNNNNNNNNNNNNNNNNNNNNNNNNNNNNNNNNNNNNNNNNNNNNNNNNNNNNNNNNNNNNNNNNNNNNNNNNNNNNNNNNNNNNNNNNNNNNNNNNNNNNNNNNNNNNNNNNNNNNNNNNNNNNNNNNNNNNNNNNNNNNNNNNNNNNNNNNNNNNNNNNNNNNNNNNNNNNNNNNNNNNNNNNNNNNNNNNNNNNNNNNNNNNNNNNNNNNNNNNNNNNNNNNNNNNNNNNNNNNNNNNNNNNNNNNNNNNNNNNNNNNNNNNNNNNNNNNNNNNNNNNNNNNNNNNNNNNNNNNNNNNNNNNNNNNNNNNNNNNNNNNNNNNNNNNNNNNNNNNNNNNNNNNNNNNNNNNNNNNNNNNNNNNNNNNNNNNNNNNNNNNNNNNNNNNNNNNNNNNNNNNNNNNNNNNNNNNNNNNNNNNNNNNNNNNNNNNNNNNNNNNNNNNNNNNNNNNNNNNNNNNNNNNNNNNNNNNNNNNNNNNNNNNNNNNNNNNNNNNNNNNNNNNNNNNNNNNNNNNNNNNNNNNNNNNNNNNNNNNNNNNNNNNNNNNNNNNNNNNNNNNNNNNNNNNNNNNNNNNNNNNNNNNNNNNNNNNNNNNNNNNNNNNNNNNNNNNNNNNNNNNNNNNNNNNNNNNNNNNNNNNNNNNNNNNNNNNNNNNNNNNNNNNNNNNNNNNNNNNNNNNNNNNNNNNNNNNNNNNNNNNNNNNNNNNNNNNNNNNNNNNNNNNNNNNNNNNNNNNNNNNNNNNNNNNNNNNNNNNNNNNNNNNNNNNNNNNNNNNNNNNNNNNNNNNNNNNNNNNNNNNNNNNNNNNNNNNNNNNNNNNNNNNNNNNNNNNNNNNNNNNNNNNNNNNNNNNNNNNNNNNNACACAAUUGUGGUAACACUCCAAUGCGAAGCGAUUACCACUAUAAAAUACUGAAUAUAUGCCUAAGUGAAACAAAGUUGCUUCUGAGUUUGCCUCUGCUCUAAGUUUGGAUGAUUGUAAAACUGAAUUCGCGUUUCUAUUUAUAAGCAAAUAAAAAAGGUGGAAUUGACUUUGAUGCCCUUCAACUUGAAAAUAGAGGGAACCGUUUCCUUCUUGUGGCGCCCGCCACAAGGCUAUGGCGCCCGCCACAAGCACAAAGUGGGGCGCCUUAGUGGAUGAAGUGGGGAAACGUGGGAGUUGAGGAAGUUGGACUUGGACACGUCAUGGCUUGGUCUGUGGCGCCCGCCAUGGGGUAGGCCAUAAGCACAAAAUGCUGAAUUUUAGGGUUUUUAGCCCUUUUUCACUCCUUUUCUCGAUCGGGGCUCCGAUUAAAGUAAAAACCUGUAAACAAAGAAAAACAUAGCAAUAACACAAUAAAAUGAUAAUAAAACAACUAGAAUGCAUGUGAAAUCAGAGUCAAAAAUACGUAAAUUUUAGUGUGAUCACAUAACCAACCAUUUCAUUUUAAUUUUAAUUCACAAUUUAACUAUUUUCAUUUGUAAUUAACAGAUUAAUUUACAAUGGAUUUCAAUCUAAUUUCAAUGAAAUCUAAAAACUAAAUGGGACCUCUGUAAAACAACCUUUCACAGUUCAAUCCAUAUUACCAGAUCAGAGGGAGAAUCCAAUUUUUCUAACAAAAAAUCCAACAUCCACAAUGGAAAUUAACACGCCGCAUAAACACACAGAAACACACGUCAAAAUUCAUAAACGCACAGAAACACACCAAAACUUACACAACAAUUUCUUGCGACUUCGCGGCAAUUCGACUCCAAAGGAAGGAAGAAGAAGGAGAUGUGGAAGAAGGUGGGAUUGAGGCGGAGACGGAAGGUUUUUCGUCGAUGUCGUUAUUAGAUCCGCGGCGAAGUCGUGUUUUGGUUGCGGCGGCAAGUGUGUGGUGAUGCAGUGGUUGAAGCUAUGGUGACUGAAAGGUGGGUUUUGAGAGUUGUGCGAGUGAUGGCGGCGUCAUUCAAGGAUGGUGGGGAUGACGAUUUCCGGCAACGGUCAUUUGUGUUAGUGGAAGAGGUCAUCGGCGGAGAUGGUGGUGAUGGUAAUGAAGGUGGAGUAGCGAUUGCUUAUGGUGUCGGAAGCGAUGUUGUUUGGGUUGUUGAAUGGGUGGCGGUGUUGAGAUACGGUCGUGCGCAAGUGAGCCCGUUAGUUUUUGAACAACGUCUCUGAAAUCAUUUUUGUUGAUGUUGUAAACAGGUGGUUGAUGCUGUAGAGGAUUAUUAUUAAUUUGAGGUUGUUGUUCGAAAGAAGAGGGUUUUUUGUUGUUUUUGGUGGAGAUCAGCGGAGGUUGCAGGUGGUGUGAGGAGGCGAGUGGUGUUGUAGGGCUCUGUCGACGGUGGUGAUGGCGGAGGGUGAAAUUCAAAGGUGAUUUAGUGAGGAGAAGGCGGGGGUAUUCCGUGACGGUGGAAAUGAAAGGACGAAGAAGAAGGUGGGUGGUGGAUUUUAGAGAAUGGUGGAUUUUAGAGAAGGAGUGAUGAUAGUGAAGGUGGAGCGCCAUUGUGGAAGAAAAGAGGAAACAUUUUUUUUAGUCAGAGAGUGAUGUGUAGAGAGAAGAGAGAGACGUGUGAGGUUUUAUGAGUGGGUGAGGUGGAGAGAGAAGAGAAGGAGUGAGGCGCGUCAGAUUGUGAGGUGAUUUAGUGGAGUGUGAGAGAGGAUUUAAUGAGAGUGACAGGUGAGAUGGAAAUUUGUGUGAGAGAGGAAAGAGGGAGAGACACGUCAGGUAAUUGUGAGCUGAGAGAGGAUUCUUUUUUUAUUUCUUUCGUUUGUGAGGGAGAGUGUGUAUUGAGGAGGGAUACAUGUGUGUGGUGGAUUGGAGAGAGGUUUUGCCAACUGUCUAAAAAGAUCUUUCCAAGAUUUUCAAUGUUGGCUAUUUAAAAAAAGGAUCCAAUGUCAAAAAUAUAUUUUAUUUGUUAAUCAUUAUUAUUACCUAUUAUUAAAAAUAUAUAUUUAUUAAAAUUUCCUAAACAAUAAUUUAAUUUAAGUAAUAAUAAUAAUAAAACAAUCUCUAAUUUGGAUACUAGAACAAAGAAAUAAAAGGACCGAUUAUAAAUAGAAGUCAGAUGAAAAUUUACUCGAAAAAUUAAAUCAGACACACUAAAAUGAUCAGCAUAAAAUAUACUUAUUGAAAAAAAUACAGCGUUUCCUCAAAUUCUGAAAUAAAUUUGCACCGAUUAAAAGGCUUAGGCGAGUCACAAUGCAACCGAAACUGCUGCUAAAAAAUAUAACGGGCACACCAGGUUAAACUAUGUGAAUCGUAGGUUAAUAAUACUGGCGUUUGCAUUUUAAUUUUGAAACUUUUUACCCGCUGGUUUUUGCACGUUUUUGAGAAAUUAUUUAACCGAUUGUCUGUAUAUUCAUUAAAUUUAUUCCGACUGAUAUUUUAGGUAUUAUUCAUGAUGAAAUGUAUGUCAUGCUGUGCAUAUGAGGCAAAUUAAAAAUGAAAUCAAUUUUACAAAAAUUUAAGAAUGCCCAGACAAAAUUGGGGUAUGACAGCUGCCCCUCUUUAAUUAACUUGAACGGGAAGGUAGGAAUGACAACAGUUUUCCUUCAUUCGUGGUGGAAGGUAAUUAAAUACGAAAAAACUAAAAUUUUGUCCUUUGGAAUGCAAUGGAGAAAUGCAGAAAGAAAAUGCAAUGGAUUCUAACAACACCAAGGUACCAGGGGUAGAAUGCCAAAUCAAUGCCAACCCUCGAGUCGACACUCGAUCUUGCAGAGGUCGUAUUGAUACGAGGACAAAACUGAACAGGUUUCCCGGCGACAAAAGGACGACAGUAGAAAUUUCCACCACCAAAAGGAUGAUAAUAACUCACCACGAUUUCCAAGAUCGUCAUCACCAAAAGGAUGAUGGAUAAUCCAAGCUUCAAAGGUAGUCAUCAUAAACAGGAUGAUGGUUACAGUGGCUAUAACAAAGAUCGCCAUCACCAAAAGGAUGAUGGUAAGAUCAACAACAAAUCUCGCUAUCACCAAAAGGAUGAAAGGUAGACACAAUUCAAAGAUUUCCAUCACCAAAAGGAUGAUGUCCGUCACCCAAAAGGAUGAUGGUUAUUCUGAUAAAGUUUCCCAUUACCGAGAGUAUAAUAUCAAGGCUACCACCAAAAGGAUGACAGUUAAAUUAUCAACUUCAAAGAUCACCGUCACCAAAAGGAUGAGGGUAAGAUUCAACAACAAAACUUGUUAUCACCAAAAGGAUGAUAAUAAGUCAAAUAACUUUAAUGAUCACCAUCACCAAAAGGAUGAAGGUAAGGUUCACACAACAA
rnacentral:lncRNA from 1 species